rnacentral:lncRNA from 1 species
CCAGCACUGAGGGACAUUGGCAGUGAGAUCAGGUAAGUAGAUAAAGGAUUUUUAACCCUUUAUUCACAGCAGGGGGGAGGAGUUGGAGGCAUCCUCACCCUGUGUACUGUACAGACUGGGAGAUUUCUCAAAGUGCUCUGUUUUUUGUUACUUUUUUUAUUAAGCAGUAUUUUAAAAAACAUAUUGCACAUAAUUUGGUAUAUAAAGAAAACCCAAAAUAGUGUUCUGUUUUUUAAAAGUGGUGUAAACGUGGAGCAAUCACUAGAAAAAAAAUACACAUUACGUUUAAUAGUGCACAAAUAUAAUUAAAUACAGUUUUUAAUAUUGCAAGGUUACUUAAUGAAAUAUGGGGAUUUGGGUACACCAUAAGGCUUAUCGUGUUAAGCCCACCUCUUUGUCAAAAUACCCCAAUAUCAGUGAGUCUUAAACUAAUUUUAAUAUGGGAGAUAAACAUGUUAACUGCAAUACCUACUGCUUAAACUGCAUCCAGAGCCUUUCCUCAAGUUAAUGCUUUCCUGUGGUCACCUCCAAACAGGCACCUAUAGUGAAGGAGAGGGGUGCUCAACCCAAAAGGAAUCUGGCCUGGAUUCCAAAAUAUACACAGAAAAAAAAUAGGAAUUGGGGGCACACCCGGUACAUGCAUUUCUUUAGUGGUGCUGCCACCGUGAAGACCAAAAUAUAUAUAAAAUACAAGAUAAGGGAAUCAGUUUUUUGUGUUUGCACUAUUACAAUUACAAUUAUUGCAGUGUUGCUGUAAUCUGUGUGUGUGUGUGUGUAUGUAUAUCUAUAUAUAUAUAUAUCAGUAAUAUAACAAGUGGAGGUUCACUCAGAGCUGGAACUCAGCUAAGUUUAAAAUUCAGUUUGCUGAUUUAUAAGUUGUUGUUUUUUUCAAGAUUAGAGUAACUCUUUAAUCUAUCCUGUAGAGUAACCCUUUAAUCUGUAUUUUGUAUAUAUUUUGGUCUUUACAGUACUACUAAAAAAAAUGCAUGUUCUGGGUGUGCCCCAAAUCACCAUGGAAACACGUAUAACUAGUAGGUACAUUCAGUUGGUGACCCCUCCCCUAUUACAUUUUUGCACCACUUCUUAAAAGAGAAUAUUUUGCUAAAUCUCCCCCUUGUGUUCUAAUGACUGACCCCAUGCACUGAGCAGAUACAAUACAUGUGUUUUUUUUAUCAUGCUUUGCGAAAUAUGUUACUUUAAUGUUUACCAAGACUGGAUGCUGUGUGUUGAUUUCUAACACAAUUACUUUAUAGGUCAACGGUACCUGUACACAGACCUGUCAUAUAUAGGACAUUAAAAAUGAAAUAUUGUAAGAAUUGGGCGCAGGUGUAGGUAAUCUACGUUUGAAAAAAAAUAAAAAUUUAAUUUAUUUGUUUAUAUAAUUCUUUUUUUUUGAUGUGCAUGUUCAGGAACAAAGGUUACACGGUAUACACUGUCACGUCAGCACUGAAAUUGCAUAUUAUCUUAGGUUAAGUGUACAUGAAAAACUGCACUUUUAAUUUAAAAUUAUUAUUUUUUUAGAAUAACGACAAGAAAAACACAGGUGCAUAACGUUAAGGUAGUAAAUAUGCACUGAGAUUAUUGGAAAGGGUGGAAAUCACCAGGUGCCCCCCUCCCCCCGCCCCACCUUUCCAAUAGGUGAGUCAUGAGACUCCCAUUGAAAAAUUAAGCUUCACAAAAAACCUUCAUUAAAUUUAGAUGAUUUGUAUCCUAUUACAUUUGUAUUGUACACACUGGAAGAGUAGGCACUAAAUGUAUUAGCAGCUGAGAGUAAUAUAAAUUGUAAGACACCUUGAAUAUUAAAAAUUGCAGAUACUCUCUUUUACAAUCGCCCUGCAGAACUGUACGUGAAAACAUAAUUAAAGAAAAAUGUGUCAUGUAAAGCUUGGAAGGGAACUACAGCAUUGUUAAAAAAAAAAAAUUGUAAAUUGUAGCUUUAUUAAAAAAAAUGUAGGCAUUAAUAUACAGGAGUGUACACAAAAUGACUUAAAAUGUACACACAAGUUUAUAAUCAAUAUAUUAUAUUUUACCAGUGUAGCUAACAAUGUGAUAAAACAUUUAAAAGUAACAUAGAGAACAAAAGAAACUAACUUCUGAGCAAACGCACAUCAGGUUCUUACCUUUCGCUUUCAGGAAUAAUCAAUACUGUUCAGAAAUGAACCUGGUAAUGGAAUGACGAAUUUAGUUAUUUCCCCAAGAGAGAACUUGAAAGUACUGUAGCCUUUCUACUAAUAUGAAAGUGCUUUAUAGCAACGAUCUUUCACACUAUGAUGAUCUUCCUGUUGUUUUAAAAUAGUCACAAACCUGUGAAAUUAAAGGCACAGAAACAUAUACAGGGACAUGCUUAUAUCUCCAGGUCCUCUGCCUCAAUGUAAACUGCUGUAGUGCAAUCACUUUGGUUGUUAGUGGCCAGUUUGGACCUAAAAUAGGAUGUACUCUUGCAAAAGAUUUAUGUGGACAUUUUUAUCACACUGGAAGCAUUUUUAUGUACAUUUUAUUUAUGGAAGUCAGGGCCGCCAUCAGGGGGUGACAACCAUAACGGUUGUCACGGCCACCCGGGAGGAGCGCGCGCCCGGCAAUGAAGAGGGAGAGCGAGCUGACUCCCAGUCCCAUCAGCCCCAGCCACCCUCCUGCAAAGACUAGGUAAGAGACAGGAGGGUGGCUGGAAAAUGAGCUGUGUGUGUAUGUCUGUAUGCAUGUCACUGUGUGUAUGAAUGUCAGUGUAUGUAUGUCUGCAUGUCAUUAUGAAUGUGUGUAUGUAUAGAUGACAGUGUCUGUAUGAAUGUAUGUCUGUAUGCAUGCAUGUCUGUAUGCCUACCUAUUUGCAUGUCAUUAUGUGUGUAUGCAUGUCAUUAUGUGUUUAUGCGUGUCUGCCUGUCUGUCUGCAUGUCUGCCUGUCAUUAUGAAUGUGUCUGUAUGUCCUUAUGCAUGUGUGUCUGUAUGUAUGUGUCUGUCACUAUGUAUGCCUGUGUGUCUGUAUAUAUGUGUGUAUGUCUCAGUAUGUGUGUGUCAGUAUGUAUGCCUAUAUGCGUAUCAGUAUGUGUGUCUGUUAGUAUGUAUCAGUGUGUGUAUGUGUGUGUAUCUGUGUCCUUUUGUAUCAGUGAAUGUGUUUGUGUCUGUGUGUGUUUCUGUGUGUGGGAUUUGGAGGCGGUCUCUGUGGGCGGUUUUGGAGGCGUGCCUCCAGGGGCCCAGACCCUGAGCUCGGUUAGGGACACCAAAAUUUCUGGUGGCGGCCCUGAUGGUAGUAGACUUGUGCACAGGAAAAAUUUGGUUCAUUAUCUGAAAAAAGAAUAGUUUGAGCAGUUGGAAGGUUCGACCAAAAGGGUGCAAAAACGGGCCAGUGUAAAUAUUAUGUAUAUUUUUUUCUGUUGCACAUUUUUAGGCCAUUUGGUUCACAGAUUAGGUGAAAGUAAGUUUUUUCUGUUCGUCCUUUUUUCCACCUCUUUUGGUCACAUCUCAUGCGAUCUGUGAAUUAACAUUAAGUGGAUGUCCCAUAAAUAACACAUCAUUUAAAAAACAAAUUAUUUUAUUUUUUAUGGUGACACAGACAUAAAUCCAAAUCACAAAACAAGUGAACAGGCUCAUCUUUUGUGGUUCAGAGUUACAAAAUUCUGAUGAAUCCCAGAUAAUUUGAAACAUAGAAACAUAGAAUGUGACGGCAGAUAAGAAUCAUUUGGCCCAUCUAGUCUGCCCAAUUUUCUAAAUACUUUCAUUAAUACCUGGCCUUAUCUUAUAGUUAGGAUAGCCUUAUGCCUAUCCCACGCAUGCUUAAACUCCUUUACUGUGUUGACCUCUACCACUUCAGCUGGAAGGCUAUUCCAUGCAUCCACUACCCUCUCAGUAAAGUAAUACUUCCUGAUAUUAUUUUUAAACCUUUGCCCUCUAAUUUAAGACUGUCCUCUUUUAAAUAUAGUCUUCUCCUUUACGGUGUUGAUUCCCUUUAUAUAUUUAAAUGUUUCUGUCAUAUCCCCCCCUGUCUCGUCUUUCCUCCAAGCUAUACAUGUUAAGAUCCUUUAACCUUUUCUGGUAAGUUUUAUCCUGCAAUCCAUGAACCAGUUUAGAAGCCCUUCUCUGAACUCUCUCUAAAGUAUCAAUAUCCUUCUGAAGAUACGGUCUCCAGUACUGUGUACAAUACUCCAAGUGAGGUCUCACCAGUGUUUUGUACAAUGGCAUGAGCACUUCCCUCUUUCUACUGCUAAUACCUCUCCCUAUACAACCAAGCAUUCUGCUAGGAUUUCCUGCUGCUCUAUUACAUUGUCUGCCUACCUUUAAGUCAUCAGAAAUAAUCACCCCUAAAUCCAUUUCCUCAGAUGUUGAGAUUAGGACUCUAUCAAAUAUUCUGUACUCUGCCCAUGGGUUUUUACGUCCAAGAUGCAUUAUCUUGCACUUCUCCACAUUAAAUGUCAGUUGCCACAACUCUGACCAUUUAUGUUUACCUAAAUCAUUUGCCAUUUGGCUUAUCCCUCCUGGAACAUCAACCCUGUUACAUAUCUUAGUAUCAUCAGCAAAAAGACAUACCUUACCAUCAUGACCUUACAUGACAAUACUGCACUAUAUGGGAGUUUCAAGGAAGUAUUCAAAGUUUCCUCUGCGUGCAGUAUAUACCUAUCUCCUGGUGCAGACUGGACUAUGGUAGCAUAAAAAAAUAAAUCACUGCAACUUGUAUUUUAUUUUUCUAGUUUAUUCUUUUCACGUGUGUUUUAUAAAUGUUUGCAAUAUAAGAAAAAAUCACAAUGGGAAAGGGUACAAAAGAGGAAAAUAGGGCAAAAAAUUUUCCAUCCACAAUCAAUUCUAAAUGUAUGAGAACAAUGGGCACUUCAAACAAUCAUGAAAUAUAUCAAGAGAUAUAAAAUAAAGUAAUUGCAAUAUAAUCCCAUGCGUUGUAUUAUUAACUAAAUAAAAAAACAUUAGCCUAACAUCUAAAAACAAAAAGUGUCUCACAGUUUAUAAAACAUUGGGAUAUUGGCUCUUCACAUUAAAAUAUCCUAUGUCCACAGCGUAAAAAAGUAAAAAAAAAAAAAAAAGAGAAAUAAAAAUUCUGAGAGAAGGAGAAAAAAAAUUAAAGUAAAAAAAGGGGAGAAAACCUACAACAAAAGAAUAUACAGAAAAAAAUUAGGCAUCAAUUUACUCUUCGCUCCUCCAAAAAAACAGGCUAUAAGGUGGGGUAUUAUUUGUAUAACAUCCAGAUGUUGGCAUAAUAAUAAAAGAUAAACAAAUUAAAUUCUGAAAAUAUAUAAAAAAUUAUUUAACUAAAACAAACUUUCACAUUCGUUCACAUUACUACAGAAACACUGUCACAUGUUCAGUAUAGCUUUGUUAAAAUAUGUUUUCAAAUAUUUUUGUAGUAAAAAAAGGAAAAUAUUAAACUGGCUAAACAUCCACUUGAUCCUUUGAUUAUGUCUCUAAAAAAUAAAAUGUAUCAGAAAUCAGAUGUCUUUGUAAAUUAGAAAAAUUACAGUUCCUGCAGAACAUCUUGAGGAAAAAAGUUUUUUUUUACCAACCAUUAUAGAAGUAUCAAACAAAAAGAAUCGAUAAGCAAUCCAGCAAAGUAAUCUUGAAAAGUCUCUUCAUAAUAGAAUCCGAGUAUUCCUCAAUUUAAGUAUUUUUCUUUAGUUUUCUUUGAUCUUUUUUGCACUUGUACAGUCUACAUUUUUAGAAACCCUUGCCCUUCCUCUGGAGAGCAAAUUGCAUAAUUUAAACAUCAUAUCUGAAAAGGAGUUUGGCAGGAAAUCCCCCAUCUAUAGUUCAUAUUGUUUCUCAGUAACAGAACAAUCCCUAUCUGCGUGAUCGAGUAGUUGAAGACAGGUUUUGGAAAAACUUUAAGUUGUUAAAGUCAGAGGGUAAAAGAGUUCCCUGUCUUAACUGGGCCAUAAAUUGAUGUUUAAUAUGUAAAAAGUGAAACCUUACCAAAGUUUCAUUCUGGGGAACCAAAUUCGAUUUAUAGAGCCUAUGGCAUCUCUCAAUAGUCAAUUCAAUGUCAGAAGAAUUCGGAAGAACCAAACGAAGAAGACCAGCAACAUGUUUAGUUAAAGCAUUCGGGGCAACACCGUGAAUGCGAAUGUUGUGCAUUUGACUGGGAUCCUCCAAUUCAAUGUUUUAUUCCACUAUAGCUUGUAUUCACGAGUUGGGCAUUUGCACUUUUUUUUUCUACUAAUUCGCCAUGUUCCUCCAUUUGCUCAGUUUGUAGUCUUUCAAGCUGAGAAAUGUGAAUAUCCAUUUCAGUGACCUCUCUGCUAACUGCAACCAUUUCCUUCAAUAAGUCUGAUUUAAGAGACUCCCUAAGCAUAUGGAGCCUUAGCUCCAUCAAUGGUCCUUUCGCAGCUUCAAAUCACUCUAAGCGGUGGCCAUUUGCAACUUGGAAGUUUCUUCUGGUGCAUUUGCCAUUUUGCACAGUCUGCCUGGUCGAGCAAAAUACUUUGCAAAUCACUUUAUCCAAAUCCUCAGUUGUUAGUUUUCCCUUUGUUUGCUAUGAAUCACUUGAAUUCAACGUGGAAGGAGGAUUCACAAUUUUACCCAGCUACAUGUCGGAACACUUUUGCCUGCAGACUUUGGUCCGGGCACUACUCUCAUGAGUUUCUUUGAUGACUGCAUGGUUAAUAAGCAUACCAAUCGCAAAAUAAAGUGAAUAAUUUUCCAUACUUUUUCUUUGCGUUUUAGCACAGAUCUGUUCAGAGCUCAGCUAGUGACCAUCUUGGUUGCCAGCCAGACCACACCCCCAGUUUUCCAGUUUAUUCUAAUGAUUUAAUUGAUUAAACAUGUGAUUAGCCUCAUUGGGAUCAAUAGCUAACCUAAAUAGGAGAACUUACCAGGCAAAACACUUGUUUGGUUUUCCAGCACAAGGGUCAUAUGUUUUAUUUGAAGCAAAAUUGGAUUUUGCCAAGGCAUUUGAUACGGUUCCUCACAACAGGUUAGUCUUCAAACUAAAAGAAAUUGGUCUAGAUGAAUAUUCUUGUUCUUGGGUAGAACAUUGGCUUAAUGAUAGAGUACAACGAGUUGUAAUUAAUGGUACAUUUUCAGGCUGGACUAGAGUGGUAAGUGGUGUCCCUCAGGGUUCAGUUUUGGGACCACUUCUAUUUAACAUAUUUAUAAAUGAUCUUGAAAUAGGUAUUGAAAGCCAUGUAUCAGUGUUUGCAGAUGACACAAAACUUUGUAAAGUAAUAAAAUGUGAGCAGGAUAUUGCUUUGCUGCAGAGGGAUUUGGAUAGAUUAAAUUGGGGGACUGGGCACUAAAAUGGCAGAUGAAAUUUAACGUAGAGAAAUGCAAAGUUAUGCACUUCGGGGUUAAGAAUGCACAAGCAACUUACACACUAAAUGGUAGUGGAUUAGGGAUAACCACACACGAGAAGGAUUUGGGAAUUGUUAUAGACCACAAAUUAGGCAGCAAUAUACAAUGUCAAGCUGCAGUUGCUAAGGCCAGUAAGGUUUUGUCAUGUAUAAAUAGGGGCAUAAAUUCUCGUACUGAAAAUAUAAUUUUGCCUCUUUAUAAAUCGCUGGUAAGACCACAGCUUGAAUAUGCUGUGCAAUUUUGGGCGCCUGUUCUAAAGAAAGAUAUCAUGGCACUAGAAAAAAUCCAGAGACGAGCUACAAAAUUGAUAAAAGGAAUGGAGCAUUUAAGUUAUGAAGAAAGGCUAAAAAAAAUUAAAUCUGUUUAGUUUGGAAAAAUGGCGCUUGAGAGGGGAUAUGAUAACUUUAUACAAAUAUAUUUGGGGCCAGUACAAACCGUUAUCUUGAAAUCUAUUCAUAAACAGGACUAUACAUAGGACACGAGGUCACACAUUUAGGCUGGAAGAAAGGAGAUUUCAUCUAAGGCAAAGAAAAGUUUUUUUUACAGUAAGAGCAAUAAGGAUAUGGAAUUCUCUGCCUGAAGAGGUGGUUUUGUCAGAGUCACUACAGAUGUUUAACCCCUUGAGGACACAUGACAUGUGUGACACGUCAUGAUUCCCUUUUAUUCCAGAAGUUUGGUCCUUAAGGGGUUAAACUGCAAUUGGAUAAAUACUUACAAAAACAUAACAUACAGGGAUAUAAUUUCUAUUUAGUGGGGUAAUAGCUGCUUGAUCCAAGGAGACAUCUGACUGAUAUUUUGGGGUCAAGAAGGAAUUUUUUCCUAGUUUGAUGCAAAAUUGGAAUCGCUUCAGACUAGGGUUUUUGCCUUCUUUUGGAUCAACAGCAACAACAUAUGUGAGGAAGGCUGAACUUGAUGGACACAAGUCUCUUUUCAGCUAUGUAACUAUGUAAAAGAGUCCCUAUCAUGUUUUAAAGGGAAACUGUAGGCUCCAAAACAACUUUAGCUAAAUGAAGCAGUUUUCGUGUAUAGAUCGUUCCCCUGCAGUCUCACUGCUCAAUUCUCUGCCAUUUAGGAGUUAAGUCACUUUGUUUAUUGCACCCCUUACCCCACCUCCCUGCAUGAGAACUACACAGUCUCCCUAUUUCCUGAAAAGAGAGAUCUAAUAUUUAAACUUCCUUUAUUACACAGCCUGUUCACUUUAGAAUGUAUUAUCUCCUCUCUUAAUAGCCAACUAGAUCUUGCAGGAGGCUCAUGUAUUAUUUAUUUAUUUUAAACAUAUUUUACCAAGAACGAUACACUGAGCUUUCUCUUGUUUUUAAGUAUGUCCUGGGCCCAUAAACAUUCCAUUGCUACAAUUUUUUUAUUAAAAUGACUAAUCAUAUUAAUACACAACACAUAUAAAUUUAAUACAGAACAGGAAAUACAAUCAAACACGAUUACCUGUGCAUUCUGUAUUAAGAUUUGUAGAGAGGGGUCUCUUAAAGGAUUUUAAACUGGAGGAAGAUUUGAUUGUCUCUGUGAGGUUUUUCCAUAAUUGCGGUGCUUUUUAGGAAAAUGAGAACCAAACCACUUUAUUUCUGUAUUGCAGUAUAUACUAAAUAAAGUGCUGGUACUGGAUCAGAGGUUAUAGGAGGUGGGAACUGCUGGGGACGACAUUCUACUCAGGUAGGGUGUGAGCUUCCCAGGAAAGUUCUUAAACACAAAGCUGGAAAGACAAAGGGUGCGUCUGGAUUCCAUCUUUUUUUUUUCUUCAAAUUAGCAUUUUAUUGUUUUAUUAAACAAGGAUGAGGGGUACAAAAAUAAGAAAAGGGAGGAUUGGGAGGGGGAAGCAAAUAAAUCAAAUUUGACAUUUGUACAGUUACAUGUAAUCACUCUAGUUGUGCAACAUUAUCAUUAUUUCGAUACCAGGUAGGUGACACUCGAGUUGCAUAACCUUUUUAUGUGGUUUUAUAGCAAAAAGUAUGUAAUGUAUCAACUUUACAGAAGAAAGGUCAUUACUUGUUGUCUAUAAAAGCACCAUAUACUGUGAACAUCAAUUACUGUCAAAACAUAUGAAACAUAAAAGGGUGAAAUUUCCAAUGCAAACAAACAGUCGUCAUGGUGGUGAUGAACCCAUGACAAUUCAACACCUGGACAGGUUAUUGAGCGCUUUAGCCAGUCUGUUUCCGUGAGUGAAAUAGAGCAGUCUGCUUCCCAGUGUGUUUUACAUUGUGGGGGUCAUGUGGUAGGGUGUUUUGCCAUGCUCUGUAGCAUAGGGAGAUGGCCUUUGGUUUGAAAGGAGCUAUCCAGCAUCCAGUUGGGUUGGGAGAGGAUCAUGGCCUGAUGCAGGCUGGUAGGGCAUCACAUGUGAGUUGAUAACUCCUUUAAGUUGCAGGUAUGGGAAUAUAGUCUGGGGAGGGAGAUUCAAUUUCUUUUGCAGCUCUGGAAAUGGUAUCACUCUUUUUUUUUUUUGUCCACGAGAUGACCGACGUGGGAGAUCCCAGCUGAGAGCCAGCUCUGGAGGGGGCAUGUCAGGUGAAACCACUCUUAGGGCCGUCAGGGGGGCUUUGACAUGGAAUGUCGCUUUACAGCCUAAAGUGUCAAGGAAUGCGUCCCAAUAUUUGAGUGUCAGCUGUGUGGAUGGAAAAUGUUCGGGCUGUGUUGUUUGGGUGUCCACGUAUCGUCAGUGAGUUUGUGUUCCUGAUAUUGUGUGGCCUCCAUGUCUACCCACUGUAAGAUCCCAGCACGUGAGUGUAGAGUAAUGCCUGUCAUCAGUGCUGUAGCUUUGUACUAUUGCCCUAUGUUGGGAAGGCCCACCCCACCACAGUACACAUCAGCCCCAAUACAUACAGUAAAAACCAAAGAAAAAGUUACCUGCGCUCUCUCCUAAAGGCUGAUGUGUACUGUGGCAGUUGCUGCCGCCAAGGCGUGAUGGGAGUGAGUGCAGGACUUAUCUUUUUGUAUUUGUAUUUUGUGUCACACCGCUUUGUUACAAUGCUGUCGCCCAUCCCAUGUUUUCCCUAUUAAGGGUUAUAUAUAAAAUAUACCCUUCUCUGUCUCAUUAGAGAUAUCUUUGCCAGAAGCUCAAGGAAGCAAGGUGAAAGGUCAGUGUAGGACCCUCCUAGAGGGGUCUGCCUUGACGUUGGUAUGCGGGCAUUCCCUCCAAUGGCCAUUGGAGUAACUAAAUGACCUCCAUUUGUUUAACUAUACAUAGGGAUUUAGGAGAGAGCGCAGGAUAUCUUUUUCUUUGGUUUUUACUUUGUUAGUAGUAGGGUUUUGGGUAUUUGUGGCCUCUUGACCCCCCAUAUGAACAAUGCGCAUGUCCAGUUUAGCUCUUUUAACAUGUUCCAAUGGUGGGUCAUGUCAUUGCAUUGAAGCACAAAGUGGAAGAAUGUUAUACAAUGUAGUAAGUUUAUGAAGGUGGGUUUGCGGCACAGGUACAAACACAAUUCAAUGACCAGCAUUAGCAUUUGUUGUACAAUCUGUUUUGUUACCGUAGUGCUUAGGCAAGAUUUGUUUCUAUACAGGGCACCUACAGUAGUUUUGGAUAUAGUUUUGAUGAGAGUUUUUUUAACGUGGAAGCCAUAAGAUCGGGGUCUAGCAUCAUCCCUAGAUAUUUGAAGGAAGGGACUGCGGUCAGUGUGCUUUUUUAUUUUAUUUCAUUUUAUUUUGAUGCAUAGAUGGGAAUUUUGUAGUUUAUGUAAUUUAGGUAAAGUUCCAAAGAGCAUUGUGACAGUUUUGUCAGUGUUUAGGAAAAGUUAUCUGUUAUCUGUGAUCCACUUUUCUACCUCUGUGAACUGGUCUUGGAGCAUAGCCUCAAGCUGCGGUAGAUUUGGUUUGCUAGUAUAGAUUACGGUGUUGUCUGCGUACAUUUGUAGAGUUGAGGCUUUGCAGACAUUAGUCAGAUCAUUUAAUAAUGUGUGAUUAAAGUGCAAGUAACAGAGCAGGAGAUAAAAAAAAAAAAUCUAUAGUAAGUAAGAUCUGAUACCAUUUUUUAUGCAGGCUGUGUCAGUAACAGCCAGUGGAAGUGAUUUAAAGUGAUUUAACUAAAUGGCAGAGAAUUGAGCAGUGAAACUGCAGGGGCAGUGAAACUGCAGGGGCACUUAAACUACUUCAUUAAGCUAAAGUUGUUUUGGUGUUUAAAGUGUCCCUUCCAGUACUUAAAGGGACUCUCCAGUGCCAGGAAAACAAACAGUAUCCGGCGCUGGUUCAGGGUCCGCCCACGCUUCUCCCCGCGACGUCAUCCAGUGGGGGAGACCUAUUGAGCAUGCGCAGCCGCUGGCGGGGGAGACCUAAUGCGCAUGCACGGCAAUGCCGCGCACACGCAUUAGACCUCCCCAUAGGAAAGCAUUAAAAAAUGCUUUCAAUGCUUUCCUAUGGGGAUUUCAGCAACGCUUGAGGUCCUCACAUAGAGUGAGGACGUCCAGCGACGCUAUAGCACGUGUGCUAUAAAGACGGAAGUGCCCUUUAGUGGCUGUCACUAGAGGAGAAGUUAACUCUGCAAGGUAAAUAUUGCAGUUUAUGAAAACUGCAAUAAUUACACUUGCAGGGUUAAAGGUAGUGGGAGUUGGCACCCAGACCACUCCAAUGGGCAGAAGUUGUCUGGGUGCCUGGAGUGUCCCUUUUAAUAUAGAAUUUAACUGUAAUGAAAACUAUCAUACAUGCAUUAUAUAUAUAUAUUUUUUAUUAUUAUUAUUUUUCUAUGUUAAAAGACAUAAGUGAUUACUAAUUUUAUUCUAUCAGGAAUGCAUAAAGCUUCACAAGUUAGUGCCUCAAAUUGCUAACUGCUGACAGGCAUAAUUUUAUAGUGUUAAAGCAUUUACACCUGCAGCUUGUAAUAUUCUAUAUGCAUGAAAACAUCUAGAUUUUCAUCAGUAGCAUAUUUAUUGAUGUGCAGAAUUCCUUAUCUAUGAAAUCUUAGCUCAAAAAUGCUUAUUCUCUUUUCUUCACGUGUGAGUCAUGAGUUACGGGAUAUUGAACUUUUUUUUUGCAUAUUUUCCAUUGCUUGCAAAAUUUAUUAUCUUGUUAUUGUUAAAUAUUUGUGCAAUUUUAUACAAAAUCUUAUAAUAUAAAAUGUAAAUGAGGAGACUUGUAUAGUGACAGGAUAAUUAACACAGUGUGAGAGUGAGCCUCCCAUUAUUAAAGGCUUGAAGUAGAGUUAGGGAACUUGGACUCAUUCUAAAAUUAUAGGGAGUUGGUAUAACAUGGAGCAUGGGGGGGAAGUAAGGCGAUUCGAAGAAUAGACAGGUCAGCUUGGGAUACACUCCAGGAUGACUGAUGGUCACGCAUGUCUGCUCACUAAGAAUAACUUAUGCCAAGAGCACUAUUUCAGAGCAUAGUGGUCCUAGUACGCAGAGCAUAGCACAGCACAGCACAGCACAAAUACAUCUAAUGAUGUGUACUUAAAUAAAAUGUAAGCUUUACAAAGAAAACUAAAUUGGAUGCAAUUCAAUAUAAUGUGUACAAGUAUUGUCGGUAUUGUUAAAGUAUAGUCCGCCAUAUUUAGUGUUUAAACCUGGUAAGCUGAGGUGCAUUGGACUCCAGGAAUGUGCAUCUUUGUAUAUGAUGAAUGCAAAACCAUCAUCAUCAUUGUUUAGGGUAUCAAGGUGAUAUUCUUGAGACGUAACCACAGAGUUAGGUCACAAAACUCAGAGUGAACUUAUAUGGAGCAUUACUGUUUACUAAGCUACUCCCUUUAAAGUUUCAGUUCCUAUUGAUUUGUGAUGGUGACCCAUCUACGUAUAUGAAAUAUGGGAAAAAGUAACCACAAUUAAUUUAGUAAUGCUGUCUUUCCACAGAUUUGCCAGGAAGCUUUCCUUUGGGUUGCACAGUGAUUAUGGUACUGAGGAAGCCCAGUUGGCAUAGCUUACAUAAAACAAUGUUAGAAGUUGUAACCCAAGGAUUAUCACGUUUGCCAUUAGUAAGGUAUGUUCCCCAUGAGUGUAAUACAGGUUCCAAUAUUAUUAUAGACAUAUCACAGUUUCCGCUUACAUGAAAAUCCUGCCCAUGUGUCCAGGUCACAUUCCAUUACAUCGAGUGACCACAGGCACCACCUAGGAGUUGGAGAAAAUAGUAAUAAGAUAAGUAUUCUUCAGGAUCUCACAAGAACAAUGUAUAUAUUGGUUCUAUAACUACCAGAAGGCAAACUUUAAUAUACAUGUCUUUGUAGACAGUAUCUUAAACAUUGUAUAACCCUUUCAGAGGCAAACAAGCUCAACAACUACAUGACUUGGUGGGAUAAAUCUCAAGUUUCAGCACUAUUACUAAAGCAAAGUAAAGAAUGACACUAGAGCACAGUACAACAAUUUAAAAUAAAUAUAUAUAUAUUUUUUUGCAUUCUGCAAAUAUGCCCUGUAUAGUAAAAAUGCUUGGCUCAGCUGUAUUAGAUGUAUAUGGGCAUCAUAAUCACAUACAUGCAUUAUAUAUAUAUUUUUUAUUUUGUUUAUUAUUUUUCACACUACCUUGAUAGUGGGUAGGUUAAUAAAGAUGUUAUAGUUUAACAUACAUUAGAUAUGAAAUAUAAUUUUUUCCACUAGAUGUCACUAGAUGAUAACAGAAAAAAUAAAACUAAACAACAUGACCACACGCAGUAGUGAAACAUUAGUGAAAAGGGGCAAAUUAUGUUUUCUGGAAUACUGCUGUACCUAAAACAUGUAUCUCACUUUGAGCACAAACCAAACGUGCAGUUAAAGGUCCUAAAUCCCCCACGAACACUGUUUUUUUGGUAAGGUUUGCUGCAGGCCUUGUCUGGCCAUUGACUAGUAGCAGUUCUUGUUAACUGACUGAGGGUAUGCUGUGAAUGGUGGUAGAUACUGCACAAAUAAAACAGAUCACUAAUAAUAGUAGGCACUUUUAUUAAUAAAAAUAAAAAGCAGAAUCCUUUAAAAAAACACGUGAUCGCAACAUUUAGAUAGCUGUCUCUCCUGUAUGAAAUAAAAUUAAAUGUGCUUUAAUGCAUCUAAUAAAAAUGAGCCUAAGCCAUCUAAAUUUAUAGAUUUUUUUUUUCUUUCUUUAUGAAUUUAUAACAUUUACUCUGUGUUAUUGGUUUUGUACAUUUUUAUUGGGAAAAAAUUUUUUCAUGAUACACAAUGUAUAUCCUAACUUCAGUGCUCCAAAUUUGCACUUGCCACUUGCUUUUUGCGAGUGAAAACUCAGCCCUGGUGAGUAGUAAUUCACCCUUGAUAAGUGUGCCCUGCAAUGGCAAGUAACUUUAAAAGUCUGGCUGGUAGCAUUGGACUUGAAAUUUUAAGCUCUGUUUAGUUUAUAUAAACUAUUACUUAAAGUAGUACUGUUUAUUAAUACAAAUAAUCAUACAUUAAGAAUAAAACACCGUAUAAACAAAUCAGCCACUAACAUAUACAUAGUGUAUUUUGUUAAUUUUUAUUUAUUAGUUCUUGUAUAGCUCCCUUAUUCAUAAAGAGGGGAUAAAUAAUUAGACACACUGACACAAAAGGGGAAGAAAACUCUGCUUGUGAGCUUCAACCUCCUACUGGGUACUUUACAAGCAUGAUGUGUGAGUGAGUAAUCUAUUAGGCUAGAUUAUAACAUUCUAAAGUGAGAAUUCAAAGUGAAUCCAGGCAGAUUUUCAAUUUCAAAAAAAAAAACUGGAAAGCAGAACUGGACACAUAGUGAAUUUUGAAUAUUUUUCCUAUUUGGCUACGUUAGCCUUAUGUUUGAAAAUCACUUUGAAUUCUCGAUUUAGUAACUAACCAUAUAUAUAUGACAAUACAUGUAAACACUAAAGCAUAUCAACCAUCAACAAAAAGCCAGCAAAAAGACAGACAUGAAUCCAAAACAAAAUAAUUCUUUAUUUAAGUAAAGUGCAUGCCUCAUAUGACAUCAAUGAACUAUAAAUCCAAAUCGCUUCUCCAACCUGCGAAAAAUGAAUUUUCUCUUUCCAUCUCCAAGCACUGCCACAAUCUCCUGUUUCUAUGUCACUUAAAUGGAUUAUAGUUGAAGAACAAGUGUGCAAGGUGAGAAUUUUUCAAUGUCCACAUGUAGUUGCUGCAGCAUGACUUAGAAAGACACCUCUUACUGCUCUACUAUUAGAGACGCUAUUAGGUAAAUGCCACGAUGCAAAUGGUUGUAGCUGCAGGCCUAACCGACAUGGAAAAUGUAUAUAGAUGGCAGAGGAGUAUAGCUGAUCAAUAACAAUCGAAAUGAGCAUUAAAUGUACAACUUGAUACAUUUAGAAAGUCUACUACUAGCCAAUCUGAAUAAUGGUUUUCUCCACCUUUGCAAAAAAUACAUUAUUUUAUAGAUACAUACAGGUGUAUGGAUUUUUCUUUUUCAAUCUACUUGUCCAAGGGUCUGAAGUGGAUUCAGACACAAAAACAAUGACUUAUACAUUAACACAUUGACCUAUACACACUGCACACUGACAUUCACGAACACUGACCCAUACACACACUGCACAUUAACACUGACCUGUACUCAAACACACUGCACACUGACCCACACACAAACACACUGCACACUGGCACACACUGACCCAUACACACACAAACUACACAUUCUCUGACACUCACACACAGUAAAGAUUAACUGCAGCAGCCUGUCCCAUGCUCAUUCUGUCCUUUGUUGGCUGCCGGGUAUGGCGUCACACCGAGUCUCGGUGGCCAUGAAGCUAGAGCAGUGGUUCCCAACCAAAUUCUUAAGUACCCCCCAACAGUCCAGGAUUUAGGGACUACCAAGUUGUGUUUAAAAAACAAUAACAACACUUUAGACAUAACAGGGUAAUCCUUAAAUCCUGGACUGGUAAGGGGUACUUGAGUAAUAGGUUGGGAACCACUAGUCUGGAGCACUGUGAGGAGCGGUUGGAUGCUUCCGCUCUUCACACCUCCCUGUGAGCUGCUGCAAGGCCCAGUUACAGCAUCCUGGUAUGCCUGUCAGAGAUACACCCCCUGCUUGGCAGCAACUUCCCCGAUGCAGCCCUAAAAGAAGAACAAAAAAAAUAUCUUUCUAUCUGACGCCCAGAACUGCAUGUCCCAGGCGUUGGGCGAUAUAAAUUCCACAUCCCUGGUACAAAUGGCGUGCUUUAUACAUAAUUGCAAAAUUUUAUGAUUACAUACAUGUACUACAUACAUACACUGCUUAAUACACACACAUACAAAGACACUGCCUAAUACACACAGACACUGACUAAUACAUACACACACAAACAUGCACUGCCUGAUACAUACACACACACCCACACACAAACCUUGCCUAUUACACACACACACAGACACUCCCUAAUACACACAAACACCCACACACACAGACAGACACUGCCUAUUACAUACACACACAUACCAGAUGGGGGCUGGGGACACAGGACAAAGGGGAGCAGCACAUGGAAGCUGUGCCCUCCCACUGCCCUCCUCUUCAAAUCUCCUGGACUUGAGAUGAGAGGUAAGAGGCAGACUAGGGGCAGAGUUAGAAUGUUUGGGGCAGGUAACGGCGGAGUUUGCCAUGGGACAACGGGCAGAGUUAAGUGUUUGUGGGCGGGGAGAGGCGGAGUUACAAGCACAAUUCCUAUUAUCUGUUUAAAGCAUUUAAUCUGAAAUACAAGGAGGGCUGAAGCAGUGAGGGGAGGGCGUCGGCAUCUGUAUCACAGGCGGAAGCAGGGUCUCUGUGUUCUCAGUGAGUGAACAUUGCCAGCAUACUCUCAUGGGGAAUUCAGACAGUAUUACAGCCCCUGAGGGGCCCCUCUCACACAGCGCCCUAGGCCACUGCCUAGUCUGCCUAUAGGAAGCACAGGCCCUGAGUGACUAGUAUGAGAAUGUGAGAGCGAUAACACCAAAUUUAACACACCUGCUCCCCAUUCACAGCUGAGACCUUGUAACACUAACGAGUCACAUGACACCAGGUAGGGAAAAUGACUAAUUAGGCCCAAUUUGGACAGUUUACUUAGGGGUGUACUCCCUUUUAUUGUCAACGGUUUAGACAUUAAUGGCUGUGUGUGGAGUUAUUUUGAGGGGACAACACAUUUACACUGUUAUACAAGCUGUACACUUACUACUUUACAUUGUAGCAGAGUGUCAUUUCUUCAGUGUUGUCACAUGAAAAGAUAUAAUAAAAUAUUUACAAACGUAUGAGGAGUGUACUCACUUUUGUGAGAUACUGUGUGUGUGUGUGUGUGUAUAUAUAUAUAUAUAUAUAUAUAUAUAUAUAUAUAUAUAUAUAUAAAUACGUAUAUAUGUAUGCAUGUAUGUAUAAAUAAUGAAAAAAAUACCGGCACUCCAGGACAUCUUUAUUCUUACAGUUCCAGUCAGCGUUUCAGCUCUAGCACAGAGCUUUCAUCAAGACACCUCCCUGGACUGACAAGGAAGGGGGGACAUGACUGCGGCUAGGAUAAGGAGUCUUGAAGGAGUAGUGGAAGGGAGGGGUAUAGAUGGAUACAUAGUUGCUAAGAUGGAAGACAGUUAUAAGCACAGUUAGGGGAGGUGACUUACCAGUCAGCUUUUGGAAGUGCAGGGAUCCUGACUUUCAUCUGUCCUUCAUCUGUCCUUCUUGGCUGACCCCUUUAAAAAAAAAAAAAAAACUUGAUUAUUAUUCAGGCUUUAACUUACCUGUUUUUCCUGAUUGUCUGAUGGAAGUUUCCCAGGAAUCAUUGGUGGCCCUGUUGCAGGCUUACCGGGCUGCACAUGGUGCAGGCUCGUUGGCAGCGGUAUUGGCCGGCGUGGACGGUGUCCCGUGUGAAGAGGCAAGGCCAGUGGAUGAGGGGCGGCGGGCCAGGCUUUCAAGGCCGCCGUCGCGACUGUCUCCCAGCCCGGUGAGAGGAGAGCGAGAAGGCCGCAGGCGUAGGCGGACUGGUGUGGAUGGGGAUGUGGAGCCGAGCCUUGGGUCGUCCCCCGAGCGGUCCGGUCCCAGGUGAGGGUUGCGGUGGCCUCCGGCAGCCAUUCCCAAGAUGGCGGCAUGGCGGGAAGGUCGAGGAGCCCGCCGCCUUCUCUUCCGGCGCGGCCGGAAGUGACGUCACGGCGCCGGUCGCGCACGGCCGGCGCGCUGGAUGUGACCUCAUCUGCCGGCGACGGGCAAAACCCGGAAGUGGGUGCCCGCAAUGGAAAUAGGAGGCCGGGCGCCAGGAGAUGGCAGGCGCCGGCUGAAGAGACCGGAAAUAGGGGUGCUGUGACCCGGACAGCAGCCCCAAGGAGAUGGGAGUCCCCAGGACCGGGCAGUUCAAGGGGUGCUGCGGAUCAGGCGGCAGCCCCGGCGGUCGGGAGGCCGUGUCGGUUGCAGCCCCCCUGGGAGCUGGGAGGCUCCAGGGUGAUUCCGGAGAGGAGGAGGAGUCCAAGGAGGAGUGUGAAGCUGAUGGAGAACGGCCCCUGCGCCUCCCCUCAUUUGGUGAGUUGGCAUGCGCUGGCGCUUGGGGUUCGGCAGGGGGAUCAGGUCAGGAUAGUGAGGUAUUGUGCCUGCUGAGGUUUUUAGUGGAGGGUCAAGCCAGGGGCAGUGGUCUAGGGGUUCAGGGUUCGGGUAGUACGGAUAGUUUGAGGGGGCAGGGGAUGGGGGUUGGUUCCUUUCUCCCGGGGUGCGAACUGGCCCCUUUAGGUUUACACGUGCCUGCUGAGGUGCAGGAGAAGAUUAUUCGGGGUGAGUAUGUGGAUCUCCUUUCUUUGGUUCCGCCGGACAAGGAGUCCGUGGACAGACCGCGCCAGGGUGAACCACUGGACGGAGAGAGGGGUAAGGCUAUCCCGCGCACGUUCGGUAAUUGGCUGCAGGGUUUUAAUAUCUUUGCUAGCGUGCUAGUGCGUCGGUUCCCAGAGAGGGCCCCCUCGUUAUUUGGGUAUUUGGAUUUAAUUUGGGGCGCUUACAAGGUUUAUGGGGGACAGUGCUGGUUCAAAUACGACCAGCAAUUCCGCCAGAAGAUGGCGGCAUGUCCGGGUAUGGGCUUCGGGGUGCAGGACGGCAGCCUGUGGCUGCUACUGAUGACCCCGUGUAGACCCUCUCCCUUUUCGGGGGCUGCCGGCGUCCCCACGGGGACGUCGGCAGGUCAGCGGAAGGGAGUUUGUUGGCUCUUCAACGAGAGCCACUGUAAGUGGUUUAGCUCCUGUAGAUUCCGGCACGAGUGUGCCCAUUGUGGGGGAGCCCACCCGGCUCUCCGUUGUUUCAAGAAGGGAAGACCGUCUGCCGCCAAGAUGCGUCCCUGGUUAAGCAAGUAUCCUAAGAGGGACGUCGCAAGCCUUUUGUUCGACGGUUUCACAAUGGGUUUCUGGAUUCCUUUUGUGCUGUCGGACGAGGGCCGGUUUGCUGGGAAUCUUCGGUCCACGCGGGGUAGGGAGGGUUUAUUGCAAGACAAGCUGGAGGCGGAGAUUCAACGGGGCGCAUGGCCGGUCCCUUUGAUUCCCCCCCUUUCCACAACCUGAGGGUGUCUCCGUUGGGUCUGGUACCCAAAAAAGACCCGGGAAUUUUUCGGUUGAUUCACCAUCUCUCGUACCCUUCGGGGGCGUCGGUCAACGAUGACAUCGACAGGGAUGCGUGCAGGGUGCGAUAUGCGUCCUUCGACUCGGCCUUGCUCCUCCUGCGGUGGGCCGGUCGUGGGGCUUUAUUGGCAAAAUCGGAUAUCGAAUCGGCCUUUCGUUUGUUGCCGGUUCAUCCGGAUUGUUUUCACUUGUUGGGGUGUUUCGCGAACGGUUGCUUCUAUUAUGAUAUGUGCAUGCCCAUGGGUUGUGCUAUAUCUUGUUCUUAUUUCGAACAGUUUUCUUCCUUUUUGGAGUGGGUCACGUCUAGAGUUUCGGGUUUGGGGUCCUUGACCCAUUACUUGGACGAUUUUUUGUUUGUCGGUCCGUUGGGUUCCCAGGAUUGUGUGGCGUUGCUUCGGGCCUUCCGGCGGGUAGCGUCGGAGUUCGGGGUGCCUGUUUCCGAACAAAAAACGGUUGGCCCGGUGUUGGUUCUUUCGUUUUUGGGUAUCGAAAUCGAUACCGAGAGCAUGGUCUUCCGGCUUCCUGAGGAGAAGUUGGCGGGGUUGCUUCGGCUCGUGGACUUGGUCAAAGGUUCAAAGAAGGUUCAGUUGCGACAGAUGCAGGGCCUUUUGGGGCACUUGGUUUUCGCAUGUCGAGUGUUACCGAUGGGUCGGGCAUUUUGUCGCAGAUUGUCCUUGUCCACGGUGGGGGUGAGGGAACCCUUCCAUUACAUUCGGAUCACAAGGCGCCUCCGGUCGGAUCUGGUGGUGUGGAGCUCCUUCCUACGUAGUUAUAACGGGCAUUCUUGCUGGUUGAGGGAGGCCACCUCCAAUGCCGCGUUGGAUCUUUUUACGGAUGCCUCGGGGUCCGUUGGUUUUGGAGCGUAUUUUCGGGGUCAGUGGUGCGCGGGGGAGUGGCGGUCUUCCGUAUUGAGGAGGAAUUUGACCUUUUUGGAACUUUUUCCGAUAGUGGUCGCGCUGGAGCUGUGGGGCGAGGAUCUGAGAAAUCACACGGUGGUCUUUCACACGGACAACAUGAGUGUGGUUCAUGUGAUUGCCCGUUCGUCCUCCUCGUCGCCUCUGGUUUUGGCUUUUCUCCGUCACCUCGUGCUCCUUAGUCUUAGAUUUAAUGUUUGGGUGCGGGCACAGCAUGUCCCGGGUGUUCAGAACGUGGUGGCUGAUGCAUUGUCUCGCUUGCAGUGGGAGCGGUUUCGCGAGGCAGCGCCAGAGGUGCAGCGGACCAGUCUGCGGUGUCCAGACUCCUUAUGGAAGCUCGAUUUCGAGGCCUGAUGGGCUUGGUAUCGGAUUCCUUGGCGGAGUCUUCCUGGAAGGCAUACCGGGCGGUGUGGAGGCAGUGGCUGUCGUCAGCGUGGAACGGGGAUGUAUCCACAGAGUUGGGUCGUGCGGAGAGGACUCUCGUGUUGCUGGAUGACUUGAUCAGGAGAGGUAGGUCCUGCGCUGCAGCAGAAAAGGCGUUGGCUGCACUGUCGUUCCUGUUUCGCUUUAUGGGCUGGCAGGAUGUUACUAAGGAAUAUGGGAUUCAGAGGGUGGUCAAGGGUUGGUGGCUGCGGCGUCGCCCGGAUAGGCGUCGCCCAAUUUCGGCUGAAAUGUUGCGGCGGAUUAUUUUAGUACUACCGACGGUCUGUGGUUCGGAGUAUGUAUCGAAGUUGUUUCGCGUGGCCUUCUCGGUCUGUUUUUUUGGUGCCUUUCGCAUCGGCGAGUUGGUAGCCCCGAGCAAGGGGAAGGCCUCGCCGUUGGCGUUGUCGGAUGUGCGGUGGUCUACUUCCACCGUCGACAUUUUUGUGCGGCGUUCUAAGACGGACCGGGCGGCCCGGGGGGCCUGGGUUCGUUUGGGGGCCACGAGGGAUGAAGUCUGUCCGGUUGGGGCCUUCCACGCGUUUCUGGAGGUGCGCACGGAGCGGGGAGGCCCUUUGUUAGUUCACGUGGACGGGUCUCCGCUAACCCGGUAUCAGUUCUCGGCGAUGCUGAAGAGAGCAUUGGGUGCGAGUGGCAUGGAUGGUCCCGGGUUUUCUGCCCAUUCCUUUCGGAUCGGGUGGCUACCCAGGCGAGUGUAUUGGGGUACUCGGCUGCGGGAAUUCAAUGGAUUGGACGAUGGGGGUCGGGGCGUUUUAAGUCUUAUGUCCGACCUCAUAUGCUGUAACCCUCUUCUCCUUGUAGGUGGUCGGCCCCGGUACGUGUGGAUUAUAGGGCAUUCCUAUGUGUACUGGGCAGCUAGGCGAGCUGAAGGCGGAAUUUGGGGUUUUCGUUGGACGUGGCCAGAGUCAGGUGGAAGGGCAUUAGGGGCCUCCAUGGCCCUGCGUAAGUUUGUGUCAGGGCCGGUGGUGGCGGUGGUCCACGCGGGCGGUAACGACGUAGGGGUAUCCAGGACUGUGGACCUUCUCCACGCGAUUCGGCACGACUUGGCGAGGUGCAUGGCGCUCUUUCCAGACAUGACCUUGGUUUGGUCGGAGGUGGUUUCCAGGCCGUGCUGGCGCGCGCUUCCUCACUCUCGCGGUUUGGAGAAGAGCCGGCGCAAGCUGAACAUCGCAGUGGGGAAAUUUGUACGACGGCUAGGAGGGGUGGUCAUCCCACACGUGGAGCUGGAAGGAGAGAACCAGAACUUGAUGAGAAAGGAUGGGGUCCACUUGAAUGAAAUAGGGUUAGACAUCCUGAACACGGGUUUGCAGGGUGGGAUUGAGGUUGCGCUGUCGGCGGGGGGUGCGAUGACGGCAGGAGGCGGGAAGGGAAGUCGUCAUCGCGGUGGCGGGAGUCCUGGCCAGCGCAGGCAGAAGUGGUGAAGUUGCCGAGGAGGCUUGGGGAGUCGCAGCCUGUUGGGAGCUGAUGGCGGAGACAGGCUGCUCAGGACUCAUGGUUUGUGGGGAUAGACCUGUCUGUUGGGCAAUCACCCCAACAGCUGACAGUAUGAUUAUGUUGCUGGCAUGGAAAGAAUAAAUAAAGCUGUGGCCGAUGCCCUUACCCACUUAAUUACGGUCUCUGUGUGUCAUUGGGGAAAGGGGGGCAUCGGGUGGGUGGUACAGACAUCUAGACAGCAGUCAGGACAAUGUAUAUAUAUGAAACCAAGAGGGCUGCACUCACCUAAACAUGCAUACAUUAUAGGGUACUGCUGGGACCAAAAUAUACAAAAUACACAAUCCAGCGCACUUGCUUAUUCACUAUAUAAUGAUUUCAAAUCUUAGAGAUUGUAAUAGUUUUAUUUAAAAACACCUCACCUAAGCAAAAAAUAAUGAGAGAUCAUCAUAAAAUGUAACUAAACCCCCGUUAUCGUUUCCCUAGGUGAGGUGUUUUUAAAUAAAACUAUUACAAUUUAAAAUCACUGUUUAGUGAAUAAGUCUAGCAUUAACAUACAUUCUUUGGAGAGACUCCACAAGCAACACAAAAAUGUUAACUCAUUGUAGAAAGGUUUCCUGUCCCUGUCUACCUGCAAACAACUGUUUUCAGCUGCUUCAAAGAACUGAUGAAGCCAGUGUUUCUUUUUUUUAUUACUUAUUUUAUUUAUAAUUUUUUUUAUAUAUAUCAAAUAUACAAUAGUUAUACAAAUUUCAAUAUUACAACAUUAAUAUACAUUCGUUUAAUUAUCCAUAGCGUUAAGUGUAAUUCACAAUCCAUAAAAAAAAAAAAAAAGAAGAAACACAUCAAAUUGCAGUUAUAAGGUACAUGAUCAGUUCCCAAUUUAUCAAUUCUCCAUUAUAUAAAACAUAUAUGGGACCAAUAGAUCACAAAUUUCUCGAAUUGAAAGAUAUGUAUAGAAUUACAUCAUAUAUCAAACCCUUAUCCAUUUUACAUUUGAUCAAUACCCUAUUUACCAUAUUAAUCAUCUAUAUUUUUAUAUAAAUUCUACACAAAAAAUAAAAAAAAUUGAAAAAAAAUUCUCCUUUUUCUCUUAUCUUUCCUUUUUUUUUUUUCCUUUCCUUUUCUGUUUCUUCAUUCAAAAACAUGUGCAACAAGUCAUUCUUUGGAUGCUUGCAUUACCUCUUCAGCUCACUGUAAGGAGCCUAAGCCAGUGCUGUAUCUAAUAGUGCCAUAGAUGAAACUGUGAAUGGAGCUACCACUAACGGAUAGCAGCAGAGGUGCAUCAGCAAUGGAAGCCACAUGUCCCCUAUACCAAUCACUGGAUCCUAGGGAAAUGGAGCACAUGCAAGAACUUUAGAAGAGAAUAUCUCUACAUUCUACUUUAUCUGCAUAAUUUUGAAUGCAUUAAAGCAAAAUAAAUGGGGUUAUGGCUCAGUAUGUAAUGUCCUUAUAAGAUAAAACGUAUAUUUAAAAAAAUGUAUGCUGGCACAUACCUCACUAACAAAAAGAAGAAUCUUAAAGGGACACUAUAGUCAACAGAACAACCACAGCUUAUUGUAUUUGUUCUGGUUAGUAUAGCGAGACUUUAGACUGCAGACUUUUUUCAGCAAACACUGUCUUUUCAGAGAAAAUGCAGUAAUUACAUUGUAGCCUAGUGAUACCUCCACUGGCCACUCUUCAUAUAGCUACUAGAGGUGCUUCCUGGGGCAGAGAUGUAAAGAUAGGAUAAAAAAAAAGUUCUGUUAGUUUUAGUAAUUUAUCAGAAUUCUAACCAUUCCAGGCAUACUUCUUUCAAGGACGUCCACAUUUGCUUUGGCCAGAAAAGAUAAAAGAAAUAGCUCAUUGAGAAGUGAAGAUGAAGAUACUUAAAUUAAGGUUGUAGAGAACUAGAUGACCGUAACUACGUGAUCUAUACGAACACCCAAAAUGUAAAAGAAUCUGUGGUCAAAUGUAGAAUGGAAAUUUGUGAUUUUGGAACUGCAGGUAGUAAGUAUUAACACAGAAAUGGGCAUAAAGAAAUGCCGGGACAUAAACAAAAAUAAAAUAUAAGUUUUACUUAGCCCAUGCGAGAGAUUGUCAACAGCAUUCUGUAUGUGCACAGCCAAGCGUGGGUGACAUAAUUCCUUCUCAGCUAGCGAAAACCCCACAACACCGCAACCCACACAGCAACCCUUGAGUCGUAAGGAGAUAUAUGUAUAUUUGUGGAAAUUGUAAAAGGUAGGCCAUUACUGCUUUGUGUUCAUCAAAUGCUAAAAUGCCAAAAUUCAGUAUGGUAUAUCUAGCUGGUGUGAUUGGAUGAGUCUUUAUGACUAUCAUAGAGUUAGCUGCUGAAUUUUAUGUCACUUGUUUUUUCCGAAAACUUUAUGCUGUUUUUGCCAUAAGUGCUAAAGUGCUCUGUAUAGGAAACAUUACAAUGUGGUUCUAACUGGUCUAUAAUCAAACAUCUGUUCUUCUCACAGUGGUUUUCAGAUAAUAAUCUUGAGUAUCUAGACUAGGAUCAUUACAUUGAGAUACAAGUUUAAAGAUCUAUUUUAGAAAGGCACCAUGGCAGACAGAAAAUGUUUAACCUCUUGGCAUCCUGGCUUUGCUUCAUUGUGAAGUAGACUUUCUUUUAAUCAUGAUAUAUUGCAUUUGGUGGGUUUGUAAUAUAGAUCAACUAUCUGCCACAAAAGCAAAUUAAAUUGGCAAUAGAAUCUCUGUGAUGUUUGCAGAGCACUUUAUAGUUGUAGUAAGGUGGCAGCGUUUUCUUCAAGUUUGGAUGGCGUAUUGAUUUAACAGCUCCUGCAUUCCAUCAUUCCCACUGUUUGCUCUGAAUUAAAUCAUCAGUCUUUACUGUAAGACUCACACAGCCUCAGCAACAGCAUUUGUGGUCAUAUUCUGUCUGCCUUUUCUCAGUAUCCUGUGUUAUGCAGUAUUCUUAUUUGCUGAGACUAAUGGUCUAUUAAUUUGCAUUACUAUUCAGAUUGUUCGUGGUAAAUCUUACAUGUGCAAAAUGUAUUUUAAAUUAGUAACCUUAGUGUUGCUUGAAUACUGAUUUGCCUAAUAUUGAUAAUGCAAAGUGGAGGAGCAGCUGGAGAUAGAAGAGGGGUUUGAGAUGACACAGAUGACCUGCAGAUGAUAUGGGAAGAUCCAGACACGAAAGACAAAGCAUGGAGAGUUGGAUAGCUGGAGAUCCAAUGAUGGUCUGGAGAUAACAUAGGAAGGGAAUGGUGGUACUGGCAAUUAGAUUAGGGUUUGGAGAUGGGAUAUGGUAGAUACAAUUUACUGGAGAUAGGGCAGAAGACUUGAAAUGAAUAUGCGGUGCUAUAUACGGUGUAAACUUGAAAGAAUGAGGAGGCAAACCUGUAUAUUUUUAUUGGCAUUUAUAUAGUGCCAACUAAUUCCACAGUGCCUUACAAUAUUAAAGGGACACUCCAGGCACCCAGACCACUUCUGCCCAUUGGAGUGGUCUGGGUGCCAACUCCCACUACCCUUAACCCUGCAAGUGUAAUUAUUGCAGUUUUCAUAAACUGCAAUAUUUACCUUGCAGGGUUACCUCCUCCUCUAGUGGCUGUCCGGCAUUCUAGCACAGGUUUUCUGUGCUAUAGCGUUGCUGGACGUCCUCACGCUAAAAUUCCCAUAGGAAAGCAUUGAAAGCAUUUUUAAUGCUUUCCUGUGCCGCGCAUGCGCAUUAGGUCUCCCCCACCGGCAGACGUGAGCGGUCUCCCCCACCGGAUGACGUGUGACGGGGAGGAGCGUGGGCGGACCCAGAAGCAGCGCCGAGGGACAUCGGCACUGCCGCAGGUAAGUCACUGAAAGGAUUUUGACCCCUUCAGCAACUGGGGAUAGGAGGUGGGAGGGAGAGGGGACCUGCAGUGCCAGGAAAACGAUUUGUCUUCCUGGCACUGAAGAGUCCAUUUAAGAAGAGGAAAUAUAACAAUAAAUGAAACAAUUAAUUACAAAUUGUUCCAAAAACAAAAGUCUGAUGAAGGAUCUUAUAGUUUAUAAAGUUGGGUACCGUUACACAAAAGGCAAAAAUGCAAUACAUCCAGAAGAAAUAGGGAUUGGUAGAUGUACUAUUGUGGAACUAUAUAAAACAUUAUAUGAUAUGUGUUAGUAGGAGAAAGUAGGAAAUGAUCUAUGAAGAGAGAUUGUACAGACGUUCCAUGGAUUUGGAAUCACUAGGGAAACUGAUAUGCUUCCCUAAAAAAAGAUGGAUUAAAAGUACAUUUGGAAGAAAUAAAGACAUGGGAACAUCUGACAUGGAAGAAUGAUGUUCCAAAAGGAUGGAGCAGCAAUUGAGAAGGACUGAAGGUAAGAGCAGUAGGUGUUGGGGUAAGUACAGAGAAAUGACAUUGUCAGUGGCUCAUCUCAGAUUUAAUGUGAGCUGUAGGCUGUCUCUGCAGGGUGGAAGUUGCUGUCUGGACUCUCUGUAGAUGCACCCCUGCAGAUCAGUGAGUAGAGAUAGGCAGGGAGGGAUAUGCUGGAACUUCCUAUCCCUGCCUGUCUCCACAUACAGCGACCCCUACUGGCCAGUGCUGGUAUUGCAGAGUAAUCUCCAUUUAUACUGAGAACAAUACCAGCAUUUAUAUUGCCAGUAUCACUGCAAUAUUGGCACCAGCCAGGCAGCCUCAAAUACUGGUUGUGCCAAUAAAAUAAAAGCCAGGUGGAAUCCCUAAGAGUAGUGUGUGAAAAAAAAUGUAAAAAAAAAAAAAAUUUUUUUUUUUUUUUUUUAUAAAUCAAUGGGCCUAUUCCAUGGGCCUGGGCCUGGAGCUGCAGCUCCAUCAGCCCCUAUGUUAAUCCGGCCCUGUACAUAUUAACCACAAUAAAAAAAAAAAAGGAAUUUUUCAUAUACUCCCGAAACUCUUGAUACAUAAUUGGAAAUCAUGGACACCGGACCAAGUUGGUCGCAAUGACUUGCUGACCUUAGCCCUCAGUAAAUCACUAGAGUCCCUGUCACCAGACCUAUCCGUGGACACUAUUAUGAAAAAUGGAGUUAUGUCAAUUAGCUCUUUUCCCGAGUUGCAGGCGGAAUUCUCACUGCUUGGUAGAGAAGGAUUCACUUAUAUUAGAAUUAAACAUGUAAUAGAAUCCAAAGAUAUUACUCUCACCCCUUUUGGCAGAUGUUGCAUUGGUAAAUAUAAAACAACAAAAACCUUCUUGUUAUGCUAUAAUGCGUCACAUGACCUAACUCCCUUUGGAAAACUACCAUAUAUGAUGCAAUGGGAAAAGGAACUGCACAUCUGGUUGCAGACCAUACAGAUAACUAAAUCGACUUCUAGCAGCCUAUCCCAUUGGGAAGAAUUUUGUAAAUUAAUGAGGAGGUGGUGCUUGGUCCCUUUAAAGCUAUCACAAAUGUAACACACUUCACCCUUCAUAUGCUGGAGAUGCGUAACAGAGACAGGUUCAUUUAAACACAUUUUUUAGGACUGCUCUGGCAUAACUUCCUUCUGGUAGGUAGUGAAAGACUCUCUGCAUAAUAUAUCAACACUGUCAUUACCAUUUAAACCAGAAUACUACCGGUUGCAUCCUAUCCCAAACAUAAAGAGCAUUACCCACAAAACAGUGGUCAUACACAUUUUGUUAGCUGCAAAAAGGAGCAUAGCCCACCAUUGGAAGAGGGCGGACCCCCCUCGAUUAAGGACCUUCCUCUUUACUUCAUACUUUGCUAGUACCUGUCUUCCAGGUUUUAAGUUUUUUCUGUUCUAAGGCUAUAGGCAUAUUUAUCUCCUGUUAGAGGUAUAUGACAAUAUACCGUUACAUAUAUAUUUUUUCAUCAUAACUUGGGAAUUAUGGUAAGACUCAGUCAUACUGCCCCACUCUAGGGAUCCAAAAUCAUUAACCCACCCCACCAUGAGUUAGGGCAGAUGCAUUUAUUUUACCUAUAGCACUACUUACCAUACAGGAUACUUACUCUACCUGGAUAAACAUGCUUCUAAUGUAGCAGACUCUAUACCAUUAAGGAUCUAGCGGAGUUCCUACCUUGAGAGCCAAUUUAUUAAAGCUUAUUUACUUUAACUCAUUCUAGUCAUGGACAUUUUAAGCUGCUACAUAUCUUUAGAUGCAUGAGCAUUCCUUACUAGGUGGUUAUUUAUUUGCUUUUUUGGUGUUUAUUAUUUUAAGCCAAUAUAUUUAUUUUCCUGCAGGACUUCCUUUAUUGUUAUACUUUACCUAUGAUACUACCUCUACUUCCAGGUGAUACAGUGUUUCUCACCCUGUUUCUUGGUGAGAAUCCCUGUAUAUAUACUUUCCUUGUUAAGUUUAUACUAGGGUUAAGCUCUGAGAGACCUCUGGAGUCUCGCAUUGGUGCCAAGGAUUACCGGCUCCACCUGGACAGUAUAUUUGUCUUAGUGCCAAGGGAGGAACCGAUCUGUUAUCCUGUAUCUUUGUUUGUUUUAUGUUAUAUUUCCGUUGUAUUCAUGUGUAACUAAAAAAAUCUUACAAUAAAAACAAGACAUUGAAAAAAAAGAAGUGAUUUUUUUCCAUUAUUACUUCUGACAUCCUUGAUAUUUGCUUUUCAGUCAUUAUUUUCUCUGGCAUACUGUACAAUAAUAAAUACUUAAUUCUGUAGCUUUACUUUUAAUGAGUUUUGAGCCAUAUACAUGUUUUUUUCUUUCCUAUAAAAUCCGGAAGUGUAUCCCAAACUGCUCUGUGUGGUGUAGCACAAUCUUCCUUUGAAUAUUUACAAAGCCAUUCAAUUUAUUGUUAUAAAAAACUAUUAUGCCAUUAAUAUUAUCAUCUACUUUAGAAUUUAUUUUCUUAGCACAUACUUCUUAGUACAUAUAACUUACAGGCAGUGAUAUAAAUUAUAUUUGUAAAAAAAAGAUAUCUUAGCGCUCACAGUGCUUGAUGCAUCGUUCUACAUUUAAUGAGGAAAAAAAGUUGACAUUAUUUUUUUUCUUGUUCAAUGCAUGACAGACCUUCACAGUAUUUUGAGACUGACUCAAUUCCCUCCCUGUGCUUUUGUUACAGGAGAGAGUAUUAUCUCUUGGUUCCAUUACAGCUGCUAUUAUAUUGCUUUCAGCUCUGUAAGCCAACUGGGUCAGUCUGUACCAAAUGUGAGCUGGUUUUGUAGCUUGGAUAAAAGACUAUUAAGAUCUAAGCUGUGGCUUUUGAAUGUAUGUCAUUCACUUUAGCUGGAAAAGAUCCAUAGAGUUCCUGAAAAGAACGAAAAUGUAGAAUUUGUGGAAUCGUGCAAACUUUCUCUGUACUGAAGCACUGCAUUGUUUAAUUGCAAUUGAAUAUGUAAAACAGCAUUAUGAUCAGUGUUCUAAUGGGAAGAUAUACAGUUCUGCUCAAAUGUUUGCAUACGCUGGCAGAAAUUGUGAAAUUUUGGUAUUGACUUUGAAAAUAUGACUGAUCAUACAAACCAUUUCUUUUAUUGAAUGAUAGUGAUCAUAUGAAGCCAUUUAUUUUUUAUAUAGUUGUUUGGCUCCUUUUUAAAGCAUAAUGAUAACAGCAAUCACCCAAAAGUUUACAUACCCUUGAAUGUUUGGCCUUGUUACAGACACACAAGGUGACACACACAGGUUAAAAUGGCAAUUAAAGGUUCAUUUCACACACCUGUGGCUUUUUAAAUUGCAAUUAGUGCCUGUCUAUAAAUAGUCAGUGAGUUUGUCAGCUCUCACGUGGAUGCACUGAGCAGGCUAGAUACUGAGUCAUGGGGAGCAGAAAAGAACUGUCCUGCGUAAAAAGGUAAUGGAACUUUAAAAAGAUGGUAAAGUAUAUAAAAAGAUAUCCAAAGCCUUGAAAAUGCCAGUCCGUACUAGUCAAUGUCUUAUUAAGAAGCGGAAAAUUUGGGGAUCUCUUGAUACCAAGCCAAGGUCAGGUAGACCAAGAAAGAUUUCAGUCACAACUGGCAGAAGAAUUGUUCGGGAUACAAAGAAAAACCCACAUAGAAAUACACAUAGAAACAUAGAAUGUUAAAAUUUUCUCAGAGGUGCAGUCUAAAGAAAUAUGCUAUGCACAUCCACAGGUAACCUCAGGAGAUAUACAGGCUGCUCUGGAAAAAGAUUGUGUGGUUUUCAAGGAGCACAAUACGCCGAUACUUGAACAAAAAUGAGCAACAUGGUGGAGUGGCCAGAAAGAAGCCUUUAUUGUGCCAAUGCCACAAAAAAGCCUGGUUACAAUAUGCUCGACAACACUAUGACACGCCUCAUAGUUUCUGGGACACUGUAAUUUGGAGUGAUGAGACAAAAAUAGAGCUUUAUGGUCAUAACCAUAACCACUAUGUUUGGGGAGAGGUCAACAAGGCCUAUAGUGAAAAGAAUACCAUCCUCACUGUGAAGCAUUAUCAUGGCUCACUGAUGUUUUGGGGGUGAGUGAGCACAGGGAAUCUUGUGAAAAUGGAUGGCAAGAUGAAUGCAGCAUGUUAUCAGAAAACAGGAAUAAGGAAUUACAGAUGAAAGUUUUUUUUGUAUCUUUUCUGUUUAUGACUUGGUCCAGUAGUUGGAGACUCUUCGUUUCGAGUGGAAAUAUUUGAUAUUUUAAAAGAAAUGCGUGAACUUUGAGGUGAUUGAAGAAUUUCUUGUAGGAAAUUCUUGUAGCGCGGCUACAAGACCUACUGUCCUCCCCCCAGGCCCCUCCCCCCAGGCCCACACCCCUGAGCGGCGGGUGGGGUCCCUAAAUGAAAAUCCCCCCCAAUCAAGGUGACUAGGGGUUCCCAAGCCCCUAGUCACCCUCCCACCCAAAUAAAAAGUUUUCCCCUACCUAUCCCCCUCACCCUAAAAAUAGUGAGGGGGGGAAUAAAAUAACUAACCUGUAAAAAAAAAAAAAUGAAACUUAACGUUUGACGUCUUCUUUUUUCUAAAAUAUUCAUUUUUCAGCCCCAAAAAGGGCCAAAUAAAAACCAUCAUACCCGUCGAACAACCAGAGCGCAAAAAAAAAACCUGACGAAAAAGAAAAAAACCUAACGCUAAAAAAAUUAAUCCAUCUUCACCCAUGGAGGGCUCAGCGCAGACUGAGCUCCACAGGGCGGGGCAAGGCUUAUAAAGCCUUACCCGCCCUGCAAUUAGGCUAAGAACACUCUGAUUGGUUAGAUUUCAAGCCAUCCAAUCAGAGUACUCUGUGUCAUUUUACACAGCUUAAACCAACCAAUCACAGUGUUCUUAGCCUAAUUGCAGGGCGGGGCAAGGCUUUAUAAGCCUUGCCCCGCCCUGCGGAGCUCAGUCUGCACGGAGCCCACCAUGGGUGAAGAUGAAUUCAUUUUUUUUAGCGUCAGGUUUUUUCUUUUUUGUCUGUUUUUUUUUUUGACGGGUAUGAUGGUUUUUAUUUGGCCUUUUUUGGGGCUGAAAAAUGAUUUUAAAAGAUUUAAAAAAAAAGAUGUCAAAUGGUAAGUUUAAUUUUUCUUUACAGGUUACUUUAUUACCCCCUUACUAUUUUUAGGGUGAGGGGUUGUAGGUAGGGGAUAACUUUAUUUGGGCGGGGGUGGUGACUAGGGGCUUGGGGACCCCUAGUCACCUUGAUUGGGGGGGGAAAUUUUCAUUAGGGCCCCCCCCCCGCCGCUCAGGGUGGGGGCUGGGGGGGAGGACAGUACGUCCCCCCCUUAUUGUUAUUUAGGUCACUCACCUGCCGCUCAGGGGGGACUGUGGGGGGAAGUAGGUCCCCCCCACAUUCUUAUUUAGGGGGCCGGGUGGCUGCUCACUGUUCACUAGACAUGCCCCUACUCAUGGUAUAGCGAGUAGGGGCUGAAUUUACUAAAACUAAGUAAUCUUUACUUAGUAUUAGUAAAUGUAGCUGAAAGACCAAUUUAGGUCUUUCAGCCUUUUGGUAGAUUGCUCCCUGAUACCGUGGGAAUUAGGGAGUUAUCUACUAAGCGGCUGCAAGAUGCAGCCACAGCACGAAUAGGAUCGGAGUUUCAUUCAUUCUAAUGAAAUUCCGAUCCGAACAAAGUGCCAAAUUGCAUCCUGACACGAAUGGAGAAACUGUCCUGAUUCUGUUAGGACGCAAUUCUGCAGUUUUGCCGGCAUUCUGUCUAAGUGACAGGACGUUCGGCAAUACUGACAGGAAACAGGGAGGAAAGCUAAGGAUUGUGGAAAAAUUUCUCUGACCACCGGAAACGAAGCACACUUUGCUCCUCCACUGGUCAUAGCUGGUCAUGGCAUAGGAAACCUCCAGAAGAGAAAUAGUCGUCCCUACUUUGUCUUAUAAUUUAAAGAAAACUAGAGCAGACAGGAAGAAAUGAAGAACAGAUUCUGACAGAGGGAGAGAAGAAGAAUCGAUUGGGGAAAGGUAAGUUCGGCAUGACAGUGCCGCUUUAACACAGUGAAGGAGUUUAAGCAUGCGUGGGAUAGGCAUAAGGCUUUCUUAGCUAUAAGAUAAGGCCAGGGAAUAAUGAAAGUAUUUAGAAAAUUGGGCAGACUAGAUUGGCCGAAUGGUUCUUAUUUGCCGUCACAUUCUAUGUUUUUAUGUUUCUACCUGUGAUUAGACAUGUGCAAUUAAUUUCGGUCCGAAUUUAAAUUCAGGCGAAUUUCGGCAAUUUGGAUGCUUCCGAAUGUACGAAUUGCCAAAUUGCCGAAUUUCAGAAGUGCCGAACCAAACCGAAUUGCCGAAUUUCAGAAGUGCCGAACCGAAUUGCUGAAGUGACGAUUUUUGGAAGUGCCGAAGUGCUUUGGAUUUCUGAAAAGUGGCAAAACAGGAGAGGGAGAGAAAAUUAAGGGAAUGAUGACAGGAAUCUAAUCCUAACCCUACACCUAACCCUACCCAUAAUCGUACCCCUAGCCCUAGUGGUAGGUUAGGGUGAGGGGUAGGGGUUAGGGGUAGGGUUAUGGAAGUCCUGAAGUCCCGAAUUGCCGAAGUCCCGAAUUUCGGAAGUUACCAACCAAACCAAUUUUUUUGCCCAUGCACAUCCCCACCUGUGAUUAUAGUCAAGUUACAUUUUUUUUUCAAAAGAAACACUUUUUGUCUAGAUUUUUUAGUUCAGAUUCCAAUUAAGUGCAAUUUCGUGUAGACACACACUGAAAUAUGUCAGGGGGACAGAAGGUUUAACUGUUUGGCCAAAAUUGACAUUUCUUAACUACUUCCAAAUGAUACUCAUUACUAGGCUGGCUUAACAUAAACAUGGAGUAUGUAUAAAUAAUGGCUGAUUAAAAAAACGAUGAUACAGACUUCAGACAAUCCUGCACCCAUGAUUCACUGAUUCUUGACUAACCCCUACGAGUAGCAGAAUUACAGUAUUUCACUUUCAUUAUGAAAACACUUAUGCAAAAUGGAUAGUGGAAAAUUGUCUUCUAAUAGUUGGCAUGAUUAAAAGUUGCCAUGGCAUGCACAUCACUAACAGGUUAUAUACGAGGGGUGUUUUUCCAAACUAUUUUCCACAGUAAGCUAAGCUAAGUUGCCCAUCAACCCAUCCCCAUGGUUACUGGCUAUUGGUCCCUUGGUGUCCAUCUGUUGUUUCUGCCCAAUGAAUGCUGUCUCCUCCACCGACAUGAAUUGCAAUAUUUUCAGUUACUGCUAUUUAACCCACAGAAAAACAAGGGGUGAUUUAUCCAAGUGAAUCAGAAUAAUCUGUAGCUUUUUCUGAUGUGAGUUGCCAAUUAUCAGUAUUAUUAUUAAUUUAUUUUUUCCCGUAACAUUUUGUUAAUAUUUAUACAUUUAUUGUGCCAAAAAAAUGUAUUCUAUAUUUUUCUUAUAUAAUGCCACUUUUAUUUUGGAGUAGAAAGUCAGGCUAAUUUCUCAGCAUUCUGAGUAACGUGGGACAUAAUAGUUGGCGCAGCCCCACUUUUCAGAAAGUUUUUAAAACACUUUAAUAAAUUGGAACAAUUUUGUUACCACCCAAACAAACAGACACGUUUUAGAGCCAUUUUAUAAAUAUUGCUCACAAUCAGAAGCAGAUGGAUAGUAUUCUACUGAAACAAGGAGAUUAUGGACACAUACAAGGUAUAUGUCAAAUAUUAAAUAAGAAAACAUCUAAAAGAUUGACACCUUAAACAGUUUAAAAAAAUAAAAAUAAAUAUAUUUGUGGUGCUUGUGUCCUGUUAGAGUGCCAUCUCCUAAAAUGCAGUUAUCAAAAUAAUUCCUUAGAUAAUGGAGCUCUGACAACCAUAUUCAUAUAUCGAAUCAUUCCAUUUAUUUAAUUAUUUCCAUUUGUUAAUAUCAUGGGUUGUUAAGACUGAUCAUUAGGCCAUACAGAUUAGGACCACAGAUUAUGUGAAUUAGUCAUUACAUCAAUCAUUGUAACAGAUACAUAUAUGUCCCAUGUGUAAUCCUGUGAGGACUUAAUUUGAAAGUCUAGUUCCAUCUAGUGGUCAAAUAUUAUUAAUACUGGUUAAAUUAUUAUUAUCAUUAUACUACUAAUAAUAAUGAUUAUUAUUAAUUGUUCUAGAUAAGCUUGCAAAAAUCAUAGAGUUGUAAGGUAGAGAAUGAAUUGACUAUAGAAAUACAGGUAAAAUAUGGAAGAAUAGGAAUAGUCACCUAGGAAGAUGGUGAGCUAAUAAGAGGUGAGGCUGAUAGUAUGCAAACAUUAAUCUACAAUAGUCAAUAACAGCAAACAUAUUUGCUGCCUGGUCAAUAUGUGUUAAAAUACACACUGGAUGUUAACCGUGUGUAUUGAUAUCUGUAUUAAUCGUUAUACUACGUUAGUUCAUUCCCACACCUACCUAAUGUCCGUUUUUAUGAGGGACAGUCUCCCUAUUUAAGGCCCAUAUCCCUAUGUCGAUCUUUUCUAUCAUAAAGGUCCUAUUUGGAAAAAUCUCAGUAUUCUGGUGGAUCUGAAUGCAGGGCCAGUUCUACCAAAAGGCGACACAAGCUUCCACCUUAGGGCGCAAGAUCCAGCUGACUGGCAGCACAGGAGAGCACAUAGCACAACGGUCCUCUCCAGCCAGUCACCCUUGUGUAGUGUGGCUGAGCCGUGUACCAGGUGAGAGGAGCUUCAGUAAGCUCUACCCCAGUCUGACAGGAAGUGUGUGCACACUACACAGGUGGAGAUACAUGGUGGAGGGAGGAAGGGGGUAAGACACAUCAUUGAAUGAGACACAUGGAGGUCUGGGAUAGUGAGACAUAUAAGGGGGCUGUGGGAAUGAGACAUGAAUGGAAGGGCUGGUGGAGGAAAUGAGACACAUGGCAUGGAGGCACUGAUGGGAAUGAGACACAUUAACACACAAAGAGACAUAGAGAGGCUGGGGGAGAAAGAGACAAGGUGCGGGGGGAAGAGACAAACACAGGUGGUCUGGGGUAAAACGAGACAGACAAAGAUGCUGGAGGGGAGUAAAAGACACACAAAGGGGCUGGAGGGAAGUAUGAGACAAAUAGGGGUGAGUAAAAGACACACAAAGGGAAACAUGGGGGGGAUAAGAUAUACUAAAGGGGAGUAUAAGACUUAGGGGGACAAAAGUGGUAAGUGGUGUCCCUCAGGGUUCUGUUUUAGGACUGCUUCUUUUUAACAUAUUUAUAAAUGAUCUUGAAAUGGGCUUUGAAAGCCAUGUUUCGGUGUUUGCAGAUGACACAAAACUCUGUAAAUGAAUAAAAUGUGAGCAGGAUAUUGCUUUGCUGCAGCGGGAUUUGGAUAGAUUGGGGGAUUGGGCCCUAAAAUGGCAGAUGAAAUUUAACGUAGAGAAAUGCAAAGUUAUGCACUUCGGGGUCAAGAAUGCACAAGCAACUUACCCCCUAAAUGGUAGUGAAUUAGGGAUAACCAUACACGAGAAGGAUUUGGGAAUUGUUAUAGACAACAAAUUAGGCAGCAAUAUGCAAUGUCAAUCUGCAGUUGCUAAGGCCAGGAAGGUUUUGUCAUGUAUAAAUAGGGGCAUAAAUUCUCAGGAUGAAAAUAUAAUUUUGCCUCUUUAUAAAUCGCUGGUAAGACCACACCUUGAAUAUGCUGUGCAAUUUUGGGCAAAAUUAAUCUUUGCCUAUGUAGCCAAAAAUCCUUUCACCUGCCCUGUCUGAAUGUAUUCCACAGCUCAUAUGUCGUUAAACCACAAUAGAUGGGUUUAGAAAUUAUUCCUUGUAAAUAAGAAUACAUUGUUGUUGUUCUGGAUUACAUUUUAGUUGCAUAGAUUAUUGUUAGGAAUUCAGCUACAAUUUCUCAGAACAGCCCUGCCACUGACCACACCCCCACUCACGCCCCUAAAAUGAAAGUGUCCCUCUUUGUCCACUUGAAAUGUUGAGAGGUGUGCUCCAAUCAGAGUUCUCUGACAGGUAAUUGAAGAGACUGACAGGUAAAAUGACACAGAGCACUCUGAUUGGUGGAUUAAGUAACCAAUCAGAGUGUUAUGAGUCAAAUUACACAGCGUGGGAAAAUUCAAAAGAACUUUCCCACGCUCUGGAAAAUGACACAGAGCACUCUGAUUGGUUACUUAAUCCACCAAUCAGAGUGCUCUGUGUCAUUUUACACAGGGUGGGAAAGUGAAUUUUCUCACGCUGUGUAAAAUGACACAGAGCACUCUGAUUGGUUACUUAAUCCACCAAUCAGAGUGCUCUGUGUCAUUUUACACAGCGUGGGAAAGUUCUUUUGAAUUUUCCCACGCUAUGUAUUUUGACUUAUAACACUCUGAUUGGUUACUUAAUCCACCAAUCAGAGUGCUCUGUGUCAUGUUACACAGCGUGGGAAAAUUCAAAAGAACUUUCCCACGCUGUGUAAAAUGACAUCAGAGUGCUGUGACAGGUAAAUGUAGAGACUUACCUGUCAGUCUCUUCAUUUACCUGUCAGAACGCUCUGAUUGAUGGCUUAAACCCACCAAUCAGAGUGCUCUGAGUCUAAUUGCAGGGCAGGGGAAGGCGGAGCCCUCCAUGGGUGAAAAUGGAUAUAUAUUUUUUGCGGUUGUUUUUUUUUUUUUCAGUGCGUCGGUUAUUAUGGAUUUUUAUUUGGCCUUUUUGGGGGUAUUUAGAUAAGGGUCCCCCCUCAUUAUUUUUAGGAUGAGGGGGUAGGUAGGGGUAAUUUUUUUGGGGGGAGGGGGUGACUAGGGGAUUGGGGACCCCUAGUCACCUGGGGGGUACAUUUUUAUUUAGGGCCCCCACCCGCCACUCAGGGGUGGAAGCCGGGGGGAGGACAUUAGGUCCCUCCUUAUUGAUAUUUAGGGCCCCCACUCGCCAUGCAGCGGUGGGGGCAGAGGGGAGGACAUUAGGUCCCCCCCUUAUUGUUAUUUAGGGCCCCCACCGGCAGCGCAGGGGUGGGGGCCGGGGAGAGGACAUUAGAUUCCCCCCUUAUUGUUAUUUAGGGCCCCCACUCGCCACACAGGGGUGGUGGCCGGGGGGUGAGAACAUUAGGUCCCCCCCGCCUUAUUGUUAUUUAGGGCCCCCACCCACCGCGCAGGGGUGGGGGCUGGGGGGAGGACAGUAGGUUCCCCCCCCCAAAAUUAUUAUUUAGGACGCCCACCCACCGCUCAGGGGUGGGGGCCGGGGGGGAUGGACAUUAGGUCCCCUCCUAUUGUUAUUUAGGGCCCCCACCCACCGCGCAGGUGUUGGGACCAGGGGGAGGACAUUAGGUCCCACCCUAUUGGUAUUUAGGGGCCCAACGCCGCACAGGGGUGGGGGCCGGGGGGAGGACAGUAGGUCCCCCUCUCCACAUUCUUAUUUAGAGCCCCCACCCGUCGGCCGCAGGGGGAGCUGGCUGUGCUGGCUCUGCUCCCCCGCCCACGUGCACUACUUAAUGAGACCGGGGCCAGAAUAUCUGGUCUCAUUAAGCUGCGCGCUGGGGAGCAGAGCCAGCACAGCCAGCUCCCCCCUGCGGCCGCUGGAACAGCCAGGAGCCAGCUCCCCCCUGCAGCCGUCUGAACAGCCAGCUCUCUGUCCGGCCCCAGGUGCCGAUGGCCCACCGGGAAAUUUCUCGGUAUCUCGGUGGGCCAGUCCGGCCCUGCAGAUAACCACUUGUUUUCUGUUAAAAGAGUUAAAACACUCAGAUGUCUCAGUCUCAAUUAAGGGUUAAAAUACUCAGUUCUUCAUAUGCAUCUGUUUCAUUAUUUAUUUGUUAAAGGGAUUGAUUGUAGUGUUGACCCAGCUGUCUUCCCUGCAAGACUCCUGUCCGGUCGCCCACAGGUAGCUAUAUUAGGUCAGUGUGUGUGUCUGUGUCAUGGUGUGUGUGUGUGUGUGUGUCUGUGUCAUGGUGUGUGUCUGUGUCAUGGUGUGUCUGUCAAGGUGUGUGUGUUUCUUUCAUGGUAUGUGUGUGUGUCUUUCAUGGUAUGCGUGUGUGUGUGUCUGUCAAGGUGUGUGUGUGUCUGUCAUGGUAUGUGUGUCUGUCAAGGUGUUUCUGUGUCUGUCAAAGUGUGUGUGUGUCUGUCAUGGUGUGUGUGUGUGCCUGUCAUGGUGUGUGUGUGCCUGUCAAGGUGUGUGUGUGUAUGCCAAGAUGUGUGUGUCUAUCAAGAAAUGUGUGUGUCUGUCAUGGUGUGUGUCUGUGAAGACGUGUGUGUGUGUCUGUCAAGACGUGUGUCUAUCAUGGAGUGUGUGUGUCUGUCAUCUGUCGUGGUGUAUGUGUGUGUCUGUCAUGGUGCAUGUGUGUGUCUGUGUGUUUUUAAAAAGUGUUUUAACUCACCUUUUUUUUCCCAUGCCGUGCUGCGGGGCUGGCAUAGAUUGUUUUUCCAGGGCUGCUUUGUAUCCCCAGACCGGCCGUGGUUAUCUGGCACUAGCAACCAUACUGAUAAUGUUAAUUUGGCUAUAGGUCUUCCCCAUUCUAAUUUUGAUUGAGCGAUAUCAAACACUUUUGACCAUGUUUGUAUGCUUUAUAAAUUGGUUGCACGCACAUGAUUUGCAGUUUGUAAUAAAGUUAUGUAUCAUGUUAUUGGUGUCAAAACUAACCAUAUCAUUGGUUUGAUAGUAGCUAAUGUUAAUUACAUGUUAUAUGUGGUCUGAAAACAUAAACCAUAUAAAUAAGCUGUUAAAGCAGUUUUAUCCAAAAAUAUUUGAGCAUUAAUGAACAAAAUAUAGAAUAUUGAAUAUGAGAAAACAGAUUGUGCUCUUCCUUUAGUUCAUUGAGUUUGAGUUUGAUGUAACUGCUUUUUGCAUAAAUGUGACAAGACUACUGUCAUAUAUUUCACAAAGAAGCCGAAAUAAUGAAGCCAAGAGGGAAUGAGGUUAUUAGAAAUGCCUCAACUUACAUGGAAUUUGCACAUUUUAGUAAUUUGAAGCACUGCACUUCCUGAAUGUAAAUGAGGGAGUUUGCGCUCCAGUACCAAAUCUUCACAAAUUAAAAAAAAAAAAAAGACUAGAAAUUAGUUAAAGUAACACCAAACCAAAGGCUGUCUGACCAUGAUGCAGAGUAUAGUUGACAAACAUCUAGAGUGCUGAAGUUGUCCUUCAAUGGUUCAAGGUGACCGGGUGUCAUGGACCAUGUUAUCUAGAGUGCUGAAGUUGUCAAGGUGACCGGGUGUCAUGGACCAUAUUAACUCAUGCCCAUACACAGAGCUGUCACAACACCAGACACUCCAGAAGGACCUGUUUAACCCCUCCAGGCAGGCAUUGCCCUGUUACUGCUUCCUGUUAUACACGUGGGAGAAUUACUUACUGAUUUGUGGUGCCCUUGACAAGGCUAAUGGUCUCUUUCAUUUUACCAUAACCUUGUUUUCUACUGUAUUAUCUGCCUCCACAGAGCUUGGUACAUUGAUUUCUCACACCAACCUCUAUCCUUACAUACAAUCGUAUACAAGAUACAUCCAGACCAAUAAUUAUUUAUAAAACAGAUAUCCAGAUGUCCAGGUUUAAGGUGAGCUACCACCUCCCAGGGUUUCUAAUAUUAUGUUUAUUUAAACACAUAUUAAACAAAUAGAUUAAUAAAUUAAAUACCUGAAAUGGAAUGUAGCAGGGCAACAAACUCUCUCUCUCUCUCUCUCUCUCUCUCUCUCUAUAUAUAUAUAUACUGAAAUACCUUGCACUCAGGCUGCAAAACAACGUGGCCGGGUGCACUACCAGGGCUCCAACAUCCAAUUUGCAAAUAGACGGCUGCACUGCACUCUCGGUCUUUCAAUAAAAAUGUACUUUUAUUCCAUUGUAGGGAAAAGCUGGAUCCAGCUUUUAACUACUAUGUAAUAAAAGUGAAUUUUUAUUGAAAGACCGAGAGUGCAGCCGUCUAUUUGCAAAUUAUAAAAAUUAUAAAAAGAGUUUGUGCCAAAGUGUCACACAAUAAUCUUGUGAAAUAAAGCAAACUUUCAAUAUCUGCAGAGUAAAGCAAUAAUCACACAAGAUAGAGAGAUAUGCAAAACACUGGAUGAGAUGUUCAAUUAAAUAGUGUUGGUUAUAAGAGGAAAUAAGAGCCCUAGUGAAAAACUUGAGAUAGAACCUUCUCUUUUUUUCUUCUAGUAGGUAUGUUAAUUUGUAGCGGUCCCCAGUGUGUUAUGAAACAAGAAAGCACAAAUACAGGUGUGACCUUACAGUGUAGUAAGUAUGGAGAUGCAAAGUUCAGAGAUAAAAAAUAGUAAAAUGGCCGCUCCCAUUAGCUAGAGCUUGAUAUGAACUGAGAUUGGUACAGAGUACGCUGGUAUGUUCCCCGCUUAUGGAUAUGGCCAUUGAGGACACCCAUUACCAGCGGAGCAUGUAUCCCACUUGUCCUCCACAGAGAACAAACAGAAUGAUGUGUGCUGAUUCCAGUGUGUGCUCUAUACUGGAUCGCAAGGCUUCGCAGUUGUCUAAAGCCUUCAAAGCAAACUUUACCACAACUCUAGACAGUCAGUUGGGUAUGCUGUGCUCUUUCAUGCAAUACAUUUAUAUUACAGAACAGGUCAUUGUUCCAUGGAUCACAUGAUUUCCUCUUAAUUACAUAUACAAUAUUUUAAUUUAUCUUUUUGUAUUCUGAUAUAUUUUUCUAUAUGUGCUUUUAUUUGUCUGCAGUAGUUAUGGUCUAUCUAUCUUUCUGACUUCAUUUAAAGCUUUAGUUAAAUUUUUCAUAUAUCCCCUUGCUGUAACUGUUUCCACUCUCAUUUCUUUCUUUUUUUUUUUUUUUAUAGAAAUUUCUCCGUAACAAUUCAAGUCUUUCUCUCUCUUUCUCAUUAGCAGACUCCUGGGUAAUGAGUUUAAUGUCUCUCACAAGUGGAAGCCUUGGAAUAUCAGUAAAAGCUUCCUGAUACUCUUUUUGCUAUGAAUAAAUCAGUUACAAAUUGUUACAGAAUUCAAUAGUUGUGCCCUAGAGGUCCAUAGUUAAGUAGGAUUCCAGAAAUAUANNNNNNNNNNNNNNNNNNNNNNNNNNNNNNNNNNNNNNNNNNNNNNNNNNNNNNNNNNNNNNNNNNNNNNNNNNNNNNNNNNNNNNNNNNNNNNNNNNNNGCUUUUCUUUUCCCAAGAAUAACUAAAUGUACAUAUAUAACAUAAAUGGACCAUAAGGUACCUAAUCCAUUGUUCCCAAGUUCCAUUUAUACAUCCAUAGACAAACGGAUAGCAGGCCAAUUUACUUUCAGAUAAGUAAAGGCCAUGGGUUAGUCAGCCACUAGAUCACUUACAAGAAAUUCCCACUAACAAUGAAUUCUAACACCAGCUGUUGAUAAUAUUUAAAAUUAGUGAAUCUAUGUGUACUUGUAUACAAGCAGGCCCAUUAUAGCAAAAUGAUGCCCUGGUUUUAUUUCCAUGCCAUCAUUAUUUGCAGGACUCGUGGAGAAACAAAUUUGCAGAACCUUGACAUUUUUCUUACAGGCCCCUUACCUGUACACAUCGUGCAGUCACACACAGACACUUGCACACGCACAGUCACUCAGUCACAUACAUAUAUAUCAGUGGACCCGAACAUUUUAGCCAAAGUUGAUAACAGUAGAAUUUUCAUAAAACACCUACUUUGAUAGUUUUCCAUCAGCGGCUUAUCAAUGUAGGGCUGUAGGAAUGGUAUAUAGUGGCAACCAGUGGUGUACUAAGGGGGGUUUGGAGGGGGUGGUCCGCCCCGGGUGCCACUCACUGGGGAUGUGCCAUGACAGCCAGUGUCUACUCACCCCCAUCAAAUCUUAUAGUGCGGUUUCGCGGCCGGCCAGCACUAUACUAAUUCAGUGAUGUGUAGGAGCAGGGAAGGAGCAGGGUAGAAGGACUGUUGAAGCAUGCCAUGUCACGCCGACGGGCGCCGCCUAUGCACCUUCACAGAACUCCAGAAGCAGAAGGAUCUGCUCUGACGUGAGGGCGGCAGUGCAGGCAGUAGUGAGGCCGGAGUAGAGAGUAGCAUUCUCCACCAAGUCAUCUAUAAUUUUGAGUACACAAUGUAAGGGGUGCAGCAGGAAUUUUAUGUAAAGGGAGGAGAAGGGGGGAAGGGGAAUGUAUGAGUUUUAUGUGAAGGGGGGUGUAUUCAUUCAUGGAAGAGGGGUGCAAGGUUUUAUUUGUGAAGGGGGUAUAUUUAUUUAUGGAAGGGGGUGCAGGGGUUUACUUGUAAAAGGGGGGGUUUAUUUAUUUAUGGAAGGCGGUGCAGGACUUUACUUGUAAAUGGGGGUGCAUAUAUUUAUGAAAGGGGGGUGCAGGGGUUUCCUUGCAAAGGGGGGUGUAUUUAUUAAUGGAAGGGGGGUGUAUUUAUUAAUGGAAGUGGGGUGCAGGGGUUUACUUGUGAAGGGGGGUAUUUAUUAAUGGAAGGGGAGUGCAGGGGUUUACUUGUGAAGGGGGUGUAUUUCGGUGCCAAACACAUGAUACGCCCCGAGUGCCAAAUGCUCUAGGUACGCCCCUGCUGGCAACCACUCUGACCACCAACUAGAGAUGUAAAUGCAAGAGCCCCUCCAUUACUGACAUUGCAGAGAGAGAUGGAACACUCAGAGCAUGUAUUAUUUAACAGCGGUGCUACUGGAGCCUGAUAAUAACCAACACUUGUAUGUAAUACACCAAUAUGGCUCAGGGCGCACACACAGAAAAUUUGUGAGCAUUUUUCAAACAAUCUUUUAAAGCCAUUUUUAAAUCACCUGUCUCUUUUACAAAAUAUUGGGAUUCAGUCACGCCAUAUGGUCACAGACUAACAGUAUAUAUUUCUCUCACGUUGAAAUUUAAAAAUGUAGGCAAUGCCUCAUUGAUAAUAGGUUGCCUGUAAAUACUAGAAAGUUUAAACAUACUGUACGAUAUAAUAUAUAAAAUUACUGGCUAUAUAUAUAUAUAUAUAUAUAUAUAUAUAUGUUAAUAUUGUGUGUUUUAUUUUAUAGGAAAAUGUUUUGGCACUCAAUUUGUGAAUUCAACUAACAGAAACAGCAAAUGUGAGCCCCAUACAUAUUUCUUUGACACAGCAAAUAUAUCACUUAAUGUGAAGCAUGCUCCUGCACCCUUGAGUGGCUCCAUUUUUUUCCAACCGUGGUAAAUACUGCUGCUAUGCCUGCCCAAGAACUGUGCAAGACCAAACAAUGACUUCUGUAAUUCACCCCAAGAGACUACAUUCUUAAAUAGUUCUUCUAGCAAACAAUAUCUUCACACCCAGUUGUCUUCGUAAUCCUAUUUUUCUCUUAUCUGUGCUUCUCACCAUUUCCUCCAACAUCUGUUUGCCUUUGACAGCAUAGUACAGCUGAACUAGUAAUUAAUUAACUACUGUAUGGCUUGAAAUCCCUUUGCUUCCAAAAGACAUGCACUGAGAAUUUUGUGUCUGCCAGCAGUCACCAAUAUCCAGUGACAGUUACUGGUGCGGGAUACACCUGCACAAAAUCGCGCUGUCUGCUCGGGUUAUAAACUGGAUUCCAACUCAAUAUUCUAUUGAACAAAGUGAUUUAAACACCUUUAUCACUCUGAACAUAUUUGCUUUUUGACAAUUUACAACUCUGCAUAUUGUCUGCAAUAUUAUAAAGUCUCUUAUCUCCUUUUAAAAGGUGACCAGCUACCAGCUGCCAAUGAAGAAAAUGUAAUGAAUUGUAAUGCUACAGAUAAAUUAACCCCUUCUUUUGAGUAUGCACACAUUACCCAUUGCCAGAUUUAUUAAUAUUUGGAUUUCUAAAUGUAUUAACCGAAGUAUGUUGGAUUAACCUAACCUGCUCAGUUCUUUCUCUACAACUCCUGCUUUGAAUACAUUUACUUUCUUUUUCGCUCGUUCAUCUAGGUAUCUUUCUAUACACUUUGUUUUUAUUUUAAGAACUGCCAAGCAGAUCAGUCUGGAAGGGAAACAAAUUUAGUGUUAAAAUCUAAAUGAUAAAUUAAUUUGAUUAAAUCAUACAGGGAGGAUGCACAGACCACUUAGAUAGACAGGUCAUAUACAAGGGGCCUAUUGGCAGUAAGGGGCCAGGCCACAGCGGUGCUAUUACGAGCCUUACUGGGGAAGACUGCCAUCAGACUUAAUUAUAUUCUUUUAAAUUUAUGGUGCAAACUAAGCCGGGUCCUUAUUGUGUUCUGGUUGAAUUGAUUACCAUAUAGAUGGUGUUACAUGAUCUCUCAGUAACAGAACUUAAAUAAACAUAUAUUUAAAAAAAAAAAUAGUAUUAAUAGCCCUAAUAGUUAUAACAGUAAUAAUACCCGUAACUAAAACUGCUCGUGUGUACAGCAACCAGACGGUUAGUAUGUGUGCAGUGGUGUUGCAGCUUAUUUAACACUACUGUCCCUUUAUCCCAUUUUAACAGAGUGUUAUUUCAUUCAUCGGCUCUGUGCUGUCUGCUCUAAUUGAUGGAAAAGCUUUGAUUGAUAUCAGCUCCUAGAUGCGUUUUUUUUUCUCAUUUCACUUGAUUCUAGAUGUAAUAGUACCAGGCUCAACAAAAGUAUAUCAAGUGUCUGGCAGAAUCAGCUUCACAUUUUUGCACUUUCAGCAGAAACAAUAUGAGCUAUUUUCUCCUGAUGAGCCAUUUGGGCAAAUAAUACACUGGGUAAGGCAUGGCACCUUUUUUUUUUUUUUUUAACUAUCUGACCACACGACAAGUUAAUGGAUUUCUUAUUGUUUGAGCUUCAAAAUUAUUGCAAGUGCAGUGAAAACUCAAACUAUGUCACAUAGUAAACUGAUAUAUAUUAAACUAGGUAACAAGAUAUUCCUUUAGAAGAACAUAAUAAAUAUAUAUAGAUAAAAUAUGUUCUUCUAAAGGAGUAACUUGUUAUGCAGUUGAAUUAUAUACAUUAAAACCUAGAUUUUAACAAAUCCGUUUGUACUCAGACUGCUCAUAUUUCAAAUAAAUGUUAUGUUUUUAACAAGACUUGCUAGUGAAGGGUUUGGCAGAAUUGUAAGAAUCUGCGGAAGAUUUAUACUUUGAAUCUUUGUAACACUUACCAGCUCAGUCAUGAUUACCCAAAGAAACAGCUGUCGUGAUUAGCAUAGACCAGGGGUAGUCAACCUUGUCCCUACUGCCCACUAGUGGGCAGUGUUGGAUUUCAGGUGGGCGGUGGUUGUUUCUGCAGAAAACACCCGGUGGCCCUCGAUGGCCGUGGGCCAAGGUGGCAGGGGAGAUCCUUUCAUCUCCCCUGCCGGCCCAUGCAGAGCCAGCCUUUCUGUAAGCCCUCUCGUGCUGGUGAGGAGAUUAAAGAUCUCCCUCACCGGCCCGCUGGUACUGAGUUCCAGCAAAGGAAGCGACGGGCCUAGGAGGCACUGUGUUCCUACCGCAAGCAGGUUGGUCAGAGCGGUGACGCACAUUACUAUGGCAACGCUCCGAUACAGUGCUGUGCUCAAAGGAGGGCAGGAGAGUCAGUCUGCAGCCGGAGGAGUUGCAGGCUAAAGUGAACGUGACACCACUGGACCACCAAGGCUUGCAGCAUUAUUUCCCCCUCCCUUUUAAAAGGUAAGAAGAAGGGAGGGGAGACAUUAAGAUAGAUUAUUACAUCUCACCCACCUACACACAGCAUAGACCCUAUGCACCAAUUACACACAAACACACUACACCCCUCACACACACACACUGCCCCCUCACACACACAGACUGCCCCUCAAACAGACUGCGCCCCCCCACACACAGAGCACCCUUCACACGCACACUGCACCCCUCACGCACACUGCACCCCUCACACACAUGUAGCAACCCUCACCACACACACUGCACCCCUCACAAAUAUACUGAACCCUUCACACACACUACACACAAACAGGGCCGGACUGGGGAAAAAAUUCGGCCCGGGCAUUUUUAAUUACAGCGGCCCACUGAAAAGGGGGCGGGGCCAGAUAGGGUGUGUUUUGUCAUCCCCAAUGACAAGCACGCCCCAUCUCAAAGUGAGCAUGUGGGUUCAAUGCUCUUCCAGGGCAUGAGAAAAGGGCCUUGUAUUUGAUCUGCACAGCGCAAGCAAAUUUAAUAACAUGCUUGCAUUGUGUUUGCUUGAAACUUGUCUCAGGGGUUUCCAUAAUUGGAAUACUCACUGUAUCCCAUUUAUGGAGACACUAUGUGUUUGCUUAAAGGAUAUCUAGUGUGUUCAUAGGGUAUCCUGAGUGUGUAUGUCAGAAAUGUAGUGUGUGUAAGUGGUGCAGCGUCUGUGUGUAGGGGAUCUAGUGUGUGUUUGAAGGACUCAGGAGUGCGUAUAGGAGAUCUAGUGAGUGUGUGACUGGUGCAGUGUGUUUGGGGGGUGCUGUGUGUGUGAGGGGUGUAGUGUGCAUUUGUGAGGAGUAUAGUGUGUGUGGGAGGGUGCAGUAUGUGUGUGGGAGGGUGCUGUGUGGGAGGGUGCUGUGUGUGAGGGCGCUGUGUGUGAGGGCACUGUGCGAGGGUUCUGUGUAUUUGAGGGUGCUGUGUAUUUGAGGGUGAUGUGUGUGUUGGGGUGCUGUGUGUGUUGGGGUGCUGUGUGUGUGUUGGGUUGCUGUGUAUGUGUUGGGGUGAUGUGUGUGUGUGUGUGUGUGCUAGGUUUCUGUAUGUGUUAGGGUGCUGUGUCAAUGUUAGGAUGCUGUGUCAAUGUUAGGGUGCUGGUGUUAGGGUGCUGUGUGUGUGUGUGUGUUAGGGUGCUGUGUCAAUGUUAGGGUGCUGAUGUUAGGGUGCUGUGUGUGUUUUAGGGUGCUGUGUGAGUGUUAGGGUGCUGUGUGUGUGUUAGGGUGAUGUGUCAAUGUAAGGGUGCUGGUAUUAGGGUGCUAUGUGUGUGUUGGGGUGCUGGUGUUAGGGUGCUGUGUGUGUGUUAGGGUUCUGUGUCAAUGUUAGGGUGCUGGUGUUAGGGUGCUGUGUGUGUGUUAGGGUGCUGUGUCAAUGUUAGGGUGCUGGUUUUAGGGUGCUGUGUGUGUGUUAGGGUUCUGUGUCAAUGUUAGGGUGCUGGUGUUAGGGUGCUGUGUCAAUGUUAGGGUGCUGGUGUUAGGGUGCUGUGUGUGUGUUAGGGUGCUGUGUCAAUGUUAGGGUGCUGUGUCAAUGUUAGGGUGCUGGUGUUAGGGUGCUGUGUAUGUGUUAGGGUGCUGGGUGUGUUUGCCAGGAUUUUGUAUUGGGGGAGGCAGGUAAAUGGAACUAUUAAUGUUUUACUAAAAAAUAAAAAUAAAUACAUAAUAAUAAAUAAUAAAAAUAAAUACAUAAUAAAUACUAAUAAUAAAUAAUAAAAAUAAAUACAAACUAAUAAAUACUAAUAAUAAAUACUAAUAAUAAAUAAUAAAUACAUACUAAUAAUAAAUAAUAAAAAUAAAUACAUACUAAUAAAUACUAAUAAUAAAUAAUAAAAAUAAUAUACUAAUAAAUACAUAAUAAAAAUACAUAAUAAUAAAUAUAAUAAUAAAUACUAAUAAUAAAUACUAAUAAUAAAUAAUAAAAAUAAAUACUAAUAAUAAAUACCAAUAAUGAAUAAUAAAUACAUACUAAUAAAUACUAAUAAUAAAUACUAAUAAUAAAUAAUAAAAAUAAAUACAUUAUAUCCCCCCCCCCCCUCUAUUCUUACCUGUAGUCUGGAAGGGGGGGGGCGUGGGGGGGUCGUGCUGCUGCCAGCCAUCCCUGGUGGUCCCCUUUGGGGCUAGAGUUCACUCUCGCGAGACCCGGCCGGUUGCCAUAGCAACGGUCCGGAUCUCGCGAGAGAAACCCGGCGGAGCUGCAAGUUAGAGCUCCGCCGGGUCCUCUCUCCUGGCGGCUGGCUCCCCCCCCCCUCUCUCCCCCCCGGCGGCCGUGUUUGAGUACAUGUGGGCCGGUGAGGGAGAUCCUUGAUCUCCCCACCGGCCCUUCAUGGAACAUAGCGGGGCCGGCGCUCGGAUAGCGCCGGCCCUGCAUAGACCGGCAGGGGAGAUCCUGUGAUCUCCCCUGCCGGCCUCGGCCCAUGGCCACCGCGGCCCACCGGGCAUUUGCCCGGUGUGCCCGAUGGCCAGUCCGGGCCUGCACACAAACACACAGCACCCUUCACACAGCACCUCACAGACACAAAUAGAAAAAAAAAGUAGAAUAGAAAAUAGAAAAAAAGGAAAAAAAUAGAUGAAUUAAAGUACAACUACAUAUUUUUCAAAAGAAUCCUAAUUUCUAAUAAAAAAAAAUCACACAUGCGCUAUAAAAUGAGUUACUGCGGCACUCGUAAGCGGUAAGGAAAUUUUACCAUCAACAAAGAUACAAAAGUAGCGGUAGGUAUUAAAAGGUUGUCUAGCUCUAGCAUAGACUAUCAAAACUACUUGAAAUAGUCUUUGAAUCAAAAUGUAAAAAGCAGGUUUACAGAGAGAAUUAAAAGAAAUUCAGGCAGAUCUUAAAUAAGGUCUGUAAUGGAACAGGGUGUGACAGGUCCCUGAUUUGGGAUCCCAACCUGACCCACUACAUCCAUCCAUUCUCUUCUAGCACCAGAAAACCCUAUUUCUUCCAUACAUGAAUCAAUUCCUCUGCCUGCUUUGUCCACUCAGGUAUGAAUCAACCCCUCUGCCCUCUCCUUCUAGGCAGGAAUCAACCCCUCUGCCCCUUCUUCUAGGCAGGUUUCGACUCCUAUGUCCUCGCCUUUUAGGCAGGUAUCGACCCCUCUGCCCUCUCCUUCUAGACAGGUUUUGACCCCUCUGCCCUCUCCUUCUAGGCAGGUAUCGACCUCUCUGCCCUCUCCUUCUCCUAGGCAGGUAUAUACCCCUCUGCCCUCUCUUUCUAGGCAGGUAUUGACCCCACUGCCCUCUCCUUCUAGGCAGGUAUCGACCCCACUGCCCUCUCCUUCUAGGCAGGUAUUAACCCCUCUGCCCUCUCCUUCUAGGCAGGUAUCGACCCCUCUGCCCUCUCCUUCUAGGCAGGAAUCAAGCCCUCUGCCCUCUCCUUCUCCUAGGCAAGUAUAGACCCCUCUGCCCUCUCCUUCUAGGCAGGUAUCGACCCCACUACCCUCUCCUUCUAGGCAGGUAUUGACCCCCCUGCCAUCUCCUUCUCAGCAGGAAUCAAGCCUUCUGCCCUCUGCCCUUCUAGGCAGGUAUCGACCCCUCUGCCCUUCUAGGCAAGUAUCGACCACUCUGCCCUCUCCUUCUUCUAGGCAGGUAUUGAUCCUUCUGUUCUCUCCUUCUAGGCAGGUAUCAACCCCUCUGCCCUCAACAUAUGCAAAGCAUUGUCAUUUGACAUAAUCCAUGGUCUUUAGAAUCUGAGUGUAACAAGCCCAAUAUCACAUCUACACUUGUGCAUGUAUAUUUUAUAUGAAGUGACUGUUGCUGACACGAUCCAGUUCAUCCCAGUUCUCAGCUUAGCAGAUCAAAUAUACACUGAAAAAAAUUAGCUUUUUGUACUUUUGUUUGUUUUUUAAGGUGAUUAUUGAAGGUCAGUAAAUUUGAAGUGUCUCUGUCACAAUCAUUUAAAACAGCACCCAGCCCCUCACCACCUCCAAAUAUUUUAGGCCUUGGAAAAGGAAAAUAUACCUUUUCCAUUGUUGUACCGGCCCCACUGGGUCUACUUUAAUGGCUAGCUCCAACAUCUUUGUGUUCCUAAGAUGGUGGUGGCUGGGAAGUCUAUAUCUGCCCUUUUUUCUGCACGUGCGUCAAAUAAUGCAAAUGCCCCAAGGCCUCCAAAGAACCGUUGCUGAUUUUUGCAAUUGCGUAAGAACUAACACAGAGUGCCAGUGAUGUGCAGCUCCCAAAACUAACACAACACUGGAAAAAGAUGAGUACAGCCAAUGACAAAGGUUGUAAUAUAAUGUUUUUGAUAUCAUCAUCAUCCUGUCUUAAAGCUGGUGUUUAAUAUUUUUAAGAAAAUUAAGUUCUCUUUGUAGUAUUUAAAAUUCAAAUAGAUAUUAAUUAUGAAAAAACUUUUAAAACUUAAAAAAAAACAUUUUCUAACAGAUUAUGUAAUUUUAAACUACAGUUGCAAGAAAAAGUAUGUGAACCCUUUGGAAUGAUAUGGAUUUCUGCACAAAUUGGUCAUAAAAUGUGAUCUGAUCAUCAUCUAAGUCACAACAAUAGACAAUCACAGUCUGCUUAAACUAAUAACACACAAAGAAUGAAAUGUUGCCAUGUUUUUAUUGAACACACCAUGUAAACAUUCACAGUGCAGGUGGAAAAGGUAUGUGAACACCUAGAGUAAUGACAUCUAGAGCUAAUUGGAGUGAGAUGUCAGCCAACUGGAGUCCAAUCAAUGAGAUGAGAAUGGAGGUGUUGGUUUCAGCUGCCCUGCCCUAUAAAAAACACACACCAGUUCUGGGUUUGCUUUUCACAAGAAGCAUUGCCUGAUGUGAAUGAUGCCUCGCACAAAAGAGCUCUCAGAAGACCUACGAUUAAGAAUUGUUGACUUGCAUAAAGCUGGAAAGUGUUAUAAAAGUAUCUCCAAUAGAUACUUGCUGUUGACUUGCUGUUCAUCAGUCCACGGUAAGACAAAUUGUCUAUAAAUGGAGAAAGUUCAGCAUUGCUGCUACUCUCCCUAGGAGUGGCCGUCCUGGUCUGCAAAAACGACUCUGUGCAGAUACCACUUGACAAGGCUUUCUUUAUAGCCAGUGUUAACCACUAGCUAUUGUGGUCUGCACAAACUAUUCUGUGCAGAUACCAUUUGAUAAGGCUUUUAAAUACUUUGCCCUGUACCCUACUUAUUUGAGGCUUACAGGGCGUCUUCACAUAUUUUCCUCUUGAUAAGUUACCAACUAGAAUAUGUAUAUACCUCGGUUUAUUAUUAUACUUGUGAAUAUUAGUAUGUAUAUACCUUAGUUUAUCACUAUAUUAAUUCCUAUUUAGAAUAUUUUGACUAUAUUUUAGAAUUACCAUUAAAAGUUAUAUUUUUAGGACACUCACUCUUUUUCUUGUUUACUUUUCUAAUGCUUGGGUUAACCCCAAUACGAAUGCUCCUCAGGCUUCCUCCUUCCCGUUUUGUUUGCUAUAUCCAAAUAAACACAUAAAAAUACUAUCUAUUCAUUAGUAUUCCUUAAUCAUUAUAAUAUGUUAAUUUAUUAUUUAUCUAGAAAAUAUUUGGAUACAUUGAGAUGCUGUAUGUUCUGCACAGCAUAUUUAACACUUCGUGUGGUAUAAAUAUAAAUACAUCGAGAUGCAUGUAAAAGACACGUACAAUACAAUCUGUUAUUAAAUAGCAAUGAGUACAGUUGCUUUUUGAUUGAAGGUAGACUGAUGCAGAUAAGAUAGGUUUGGACAGACAGGACUGGCCUGGUAGAGUAGAAAAUGGGUAAUGAACAAGGACUUAUUGGAGGGUUAAACCUCGUUGAAUAGUGAACUAAUGCACAAAUAAUCUCAACUAGUAUAGCUAAGCCCUCAUAAUGGCUUAGAAAAUGUACAAUAAAGUGUAAGGAUAUAAAGUCGUAAACGUACUAGGAGAUCACCUGUGAGAAAGCUGUAGAGACUUUGUAUAUGGCUAAAACAUUAUUUCAAAAAAAGUGUUUCUCACAGGUGAUAUAGUACGUUUAGAACUUUAUAUCCUUACACUUUAUUAGACUGAUGCAGAUGUUUUCGUGGACUUCAGACUGGUGGCAGAUUUUAUAUUCUUCCACAGCUCAGUCCUUGCACAGAUAUACAGGAGAACGCUGAUUGCCCUCCUGUUUGAAAUGGAAGAUGAAUAGUAAGGAGAAUUUAUUAUAUGUAUUUGUGAAAUAUUUGCUAUAACCAUUCCUGCCGUCUAUUUGUUGUUUGGAUGGCCUUUCCUUGGACUCUACGGAGGAGAAAUGCACAGUAUCAUGGAAGGUUGGAUAUUCCUUCAAGAAAAUGUGGUAUCUGAUAACGUGCCUUCUUACCUGGUUGGUUUGUGAGUAUUUAAUAAUAAAUAUUUGACUCCUAUGAUCUUUGUUGUGAGUUUUACAUCUACCUGUGCCAAGUGUCAGAAGAAGACAUUCAACAGAAACUUGUUAUAUUCCUAGAUUUUUCAUGUGAGUUUAUUACCAGAGGGAAAUGCAUCCAUCCCCAGAAGAUACAGUUCUUUAUAGUUUUAUUUCGGAUUGUAUAUCUACGAAUCCAGUUUUUAUUUGAGUUUAAGAUUGUGAGGAGUCCCUGAGGAAUUGUGACAUUUUGCUUUAAGGAAAGUUUUAUUCAAUUGUUUCCUUCUCGCACUCCUGGGAGUAUUAAAUCUGACAUAAGAGAUUUUUGCCAUCUGUUUUGUAUUUUGUUUUUUUCUGUGGUGCUGCUUGCUGUUUCAUAGACAUGUUGUAUCUUCAUCUGAGAUCAGUGAUCUGUGAGUGAUGAGGCAACAUAACAAACAGGCGUAUUUGUGGUGUACAAGAGACUGCUGCGUGUUUAAUUCCAUGAGACUGGGCACCCUCUUGCACUGUUUAGCACAGAGCACUUAAUGCACUGAAUAUGGUGUGAGCGACUUGCCUAGGAGACAUUUGCCAGGAUUGGCAAUAUUAUAUGCUAAACGUUAUUUUUGUUCUCUUAAGUAUAAUAGCUACAGUAGAAAGCCUGGAGAAAAUGACACUGAAUUUGCAACAUCUAUAAUACACGCAACAUUGAACUGUAGCAAAUUAAAAUCUGAAUUGCAAAAUUCUGGCAAAAAAUCUUCGGAUAUAACUGUGAUGGGACUAUAUGUGGAUUGAAAAAUGUCUGUUUCUGUUUAAAGGGACACAAAAGUGCUUUAUUUGUGAAGCGUGUCUUCUUUUUUGUUCUUUUCAUUUUUUUUAGAGUGUAGAUUUCAGUAGAAAUUGGCACUUUUACAAAUUAACCUUGUUAUACCCACUGGCUGCCAAUCAGACAACCAGUCCUGAUACUCCCUGGUUGUUUAGCACAGUAGAGAUAAACUCAAAAGGUAGCAUUUACCCAGAGUGCCUGGCUUGCAAAAACUUCUCAUUGAGCUGAAUUAGGAAAUCUGUGAUUGGUUAGUCACAGAAAGUCUGGGCGGGGUUAGAAAGGGAGGACUUGCAAAGGCUGCAGACAAAAGAUCUGCAGCUUUUACAAGCUGGUUUUAGAUAUAGCCCCAAAUUUAAAAAAUGCAUAAUUAAAUGCGCGCAUAUUAUGUUUGGGUUAUAUCAACAAAUUAUUUGAAAUUGUAGACAGUAUAGUGUCAAUUUAAGUCAAACCACGACGAUUAAAGUUAGUUUAUAUAGGGGUUAUAUACUCACAAGCAGUGAGUGAAAAUGUUUAAAGAUUAAAAAAGGAUUAAUACAAAAUUAAGGCAAAUGUUACAGCUAAUUAAAGAAGAAUAAAUAAAUCAGAACAUACACAUUUGUUACAAAAAUAUUGUAUGUUAAGAUUCUAGGUAACAACAUGGAAAUAUAAUAGAAAUGCAGUGGGGGAGGGGAGAUUGCUGCAAAUAGAGCACAUAUUCAACCAAUAUAUUACAUUAUUCCAGAAAAGGCUGAAUAGACUUGAAUAAUAUGCCAUAAGUACAAGGCUGCAGGGAGAGAAUCCUGUGCACAAACUAAAUACAUAUUAAUGGUGUAUUAUAUUUUAUUAUGCAUGGCUGAAAGAAGUAAUUAAACGAGUUCUAGAUAUACAAAGAGUCAGACAGACAGAUCAUCACUAUAUAGUGCCAUAUAUGUAUAUAUAUAUAUAUAUAUAUAUAUAUAUGAACUAAAUACCCCAAUCAGUCUUUUAUGGGUUUUUUUAAGUACGCCAUGCUUUCAGUUUGGCUACUCUGGCCUUAAAUUUUAAAUUCACUUGGAAUUCUCAGUUUAGUAAAUAAUCCUGCUUAUGUUAAACAUAAUACCACAUAAACCAUCAUGGCCUCCCGGAGCCCAAGAAUUGCAAUGACCUUUUAAGAAAUGAAUUCAUUUUUGUAAAGAAUUUUCUAGAUUAUUAGGAUUUUUCCCACCAAUUUCAGGUUGGAAAGAAACUAUAUGCGGCAUGCAUGACAAUGUAUUUGGUCCGAUUAACAUUUCAUGCGCAGGAAGUGCAAUGUAAACACUACAUAUCCCUCUGCCACUUACAUGUUUUGUGCCUGUUUCUCUACUAAGCAAUUGCGAAAGUGGGAAAAGAAAGGAAACAUCUUAGAAUUUGAAUAAUUAUAAUACAUAUUACAGCUCUUGAUAGGUCUUCCAUAAAUUAUUUCAGUGAGCAUUGUAUUGCACAUCAUAUAAUUUGCAAGGGAAAUAGAUCUGUCAAACUGACAGGACUAGACAGGGCUAGUAUUUGUUUCUUGAAUAAACUAUAAUUCUGUAUGAAGCCUUUCUGCACCACACAUUAUUAAUAUAGAUUUUUACUAAUCACUAGUUGUGUCUCUUAUGGGUGUUUUUUAGACUUCAUAUUUAAAAAAAAAAAAAACAGAAAAAACCCCAGCAUUUUUUUUCAUUUUUUUUUCAUCACUUUUCCAAACUUGUGUAUGUCUCAGAUUUUCUUUAUGUUUGAAGUAAAGCUAAUCUAGAAGCUACUGAAAGAUUUAUUUUAUUCUGCAUUGUAACCAGGGAGGAAUAUACUAUUUGAUUUUCUCUGCAAUACAUUGGGCUUAAAAAGAGGGACACUCCAGGGACCUAAAGCAGAAGCACAGAUCAGACAGAGCACUGCUGUCCAACUGUUGGCUCAUGAGAUUCUUAAAGGGAAACCCUAAGCACUAAAACAACUUAAGCUUAAUUAAGCAGUUUUGGUGUAUAGAUAAUUGCAACAGACCACGUGGCACCCCGUCCCGGGUACCUCCGUCAGUCGCUGCUUCCACGGCCAGAUUAAGAGCCCAGUGGGCCUGGUGCUGACAAUUAUGAUGGGGCCUAAUUAUAGAAUCUUAUCGACCAAAAACACUGAAACAGUCUUACCUCUCAAGUGUCAUGAUCUGAUAAAGAUGGUGUUGGAGGGAAACAAAGGAUGCAGCUAUAAGAAAACACAUAGUGUAUGCUAAUCUCUCUCUAAUUUAUGCUUUCAUCUUUCAAGUAAAUCCAUACCCCCCUAAAAGCAGUAUCCAGUGAAGCAGGAAGUCAAUGGGCGGGGUAAAAGGAUGGGCCACUGACGCGAAUCCCAUGACCAGAACUGCCAAAAGAGCAAACAUGCCUAAAAAGGGGGCAUGUCUGUCCAAAGAAUUGGAAGGCCAGCCUGGCAUCAGUGUCCCUAUGUAUCACAGUGUCAGUGCCCCCAUGUCACCUAGUCCCCUAGUCUCCCAGUGAGAGACAUGGGGACACAGUGAGACAUGGGAACACUGAGAGACCCAAGGACACUGAGACACUUGGGGACACUGGGAGACAUGGGGGCACUUGUGGAUACAGACAUGGAGACACUGGGAGAAAUGGGGACACAGACACUAGGGACACAGAGACAAGCAGACACAGACACUGGGAGACAUGGGGACACAUACAUUUGGCACUAGGGACACUGAGAGAGACGGAAGACAGACACUGGGAGACUAGGCGACACUGGGAGACAUGGGGACACUGAGACACUAGGUACACUGGCUGGGAGGCAUGGGGACAUAGAUACUUGGGGACACUGGGAGACAUGGGGAAUUUGUGGACAUAGACAUGUGGACACUGAGACAUUUGGGGACACUGGGAGACAUGGGGACACUAGGGACACUGAGAGACAUGGGGACACAGACACUGGAUGGGAGACAUAGAGACAUGGGGACACUGACACACUAGGGACACUGGCUGGGAGACAUGUGGACACUGGAAGACAUGGGUACAAAGACAUUUGGGGACACUGGGAGACUUGGGGACACUGAGACAUUAGAGACACUGAGAGACAUUGGGACACAGACACUGGGGGACUAGGGGACACUGAGAGACAUGGGGACACAGACACUGGGAGACUAGGGGACACUGAGACACAAGGGACACUGGCUGAGAGACAUGGGGACAUUGGGAGACAUGGAGACACUGUGUCCCUAGUGUCUCCAUGUCACAAUGUGUCUCCCAAUAUCCCUAUGUCUCACAGUGUCCCCAUGUGUCUCAGUGUCUCCAUGUCUCACAGUGUCCCCUAGUGUCUCAGUGUCCCCAUGUUUCCCAGUGUCCCCAUGUUUCCCAGUGUCCCCAUAUGUCCCCUAGUGUCUCAGUGUCCCCAUAUCUCCCUGCUGCCUUUCCCCCCAUCCUUCACUUACCUGAGCUGUAGGCUAUCUCUGCAGGCUGGGAGCUGCUGUCUGGACUCUCUGUGCUGUGUAGCUACUCCCCUACAUGUCAGUGAGUAGAGAGGCAGGGAGGGAUAUGCUGUAACUUCCUAUCCCUGCCUCUCUCCACACACAGUGACCCCUACUGGCUGGUGCUGGUAUUGCAGAAUAAUCUCAGUUUAUACUGAGAAAAAUAUCUGCAUUUGUAUUGCCUGUAUUACUGCAAUACCAGCAUGGCCAGCCAGCCUCAAAUAAAUACAUAAACUACCAGUCAGGUGGCAAAUCUAAGAGUAGUGUGUAAAAAAAAAAGAAAAAAAAAAAGUAUUUUUUUUGUUUUAUAAAUGGGCCUAUUCCAUGGAGCUGCAGCUCCAUCAGCCCCUAUGUUAAUCCGGCCCUGGCUGCUUCCUAGUACUUGUGAGCACCAUAAGCACUGUAAACCCCAUGAACCACUGCAGCUUGGUUGAGUAGACCUCUCCUAGUCCAGAUAGCGUAGCAGGAACAGCUCUUAUAAGAGCUAGAACUUAUACUCAGGGGAGUGUUGUGAUAUAGCAAUCCCCAGAGUGAAUAUAGUUCUCCAAUCCCCCAAACAUGAGCCCAGACUUCAUGAAGGGGUAAACAAAUCUCUCUUUUUUAUUUUUUUGCAAUUUUUAUGGUUUUACAAUGUGUAAAGAUUUACAUUCCAACAUGGUACAUUGUUAGAGUAAGCGUUACAAUAUGUACAUGCUAUCAGUUCACAUUUUUAAGAUGAAAGAUUCUUAAGUUACACCAUACUUUGCUACAUCAUACAUAUUAUAAUUCUUUCAGUUUGUAUUCCCUUUGCAGCUGGUUAAAUGGUAUAAGUUUGUGUUGGUCAUAUAGCUGGUAUAGGUGUCUCAAACCUGUCGUGUUCCAAGUGACGAUGUUCACAAAGGGUAUGAGUUCUGUGAAGGAAGAAAGAGGCAUUGCGGGUGACAGUGUUGUGUUCAUUUUAUGGAUUUUGUGAUGUCUGUCCCAUUCUCUCAGUGUUAUCGGUUGUAGGAGCCAUGUGUAUGUGUUUUCUCCUGUGUUGUGGCAGUAGCCAAGCAAGAGAAGUAAUGUGUUGUCCGUCUGCGUGUGCCGCCUCAAUGUCUAUCCAUGAGUUUGGUGUCGAGAAUUGGUGUAACGUUGUUAUGAGUUGGCGCAUGACGGCCGCUCUAUAAUACGUGGUGAGGUGUGGUAGGCCAAUGCCCCCCAAUUUGUAUGGUAGGUACAUAAUGUUUGCUGCUGUCCUUGGCUUUUUGGGUGCCCAAAUAAAUGUGUUAAUCACUUUCUGAGCUAUCUUGAGGAAUGUUUGGGGUAGUUUAAUUUGUAAUGUGUGGAAUAAGUAUUGCAGUUUUGGCAAUAUUAACAUUUUUACUGCAGUAAUUUUCCCCAUCCAUGAGACAAAUUUCCCUUUCCAUCCCAUCAUCUGUUGUUUUAUAGAGUUUAGGGUUUUGAUGUAGUUGUCUCUGAGCAGGCUGUGUUCAUGUUUUGUGAAAUUGAUCCCCAGGAAUGUAAGGCUGUCCUUCCAUUCAUAUUUGCGUGUCUGUUUCAGAAUUGCUGUUGUGUGUGGUGGUGUGUGUAGGCACAUGGCCUGCGAUUUUGUAGUGUUAUGAAUUUCUCUUUAAUGUGAGCCACACUGGCCUUUUAUGCAAGUCCCCAAACAUGGUGCACGCUCACAUGGACCUUGUUGGGGACAGGGACACAAACUUAACAACCAAUACCGGCAAGGUUACAAAGUAUGACACUCCCCUACACAUCAUACAAUCCCUCCUCUCUGCCUGUGAGAUAAUUGAGGCAGAUACUGUAUUAACCCAAUUCUCUCCAGGCAGAAAAAAAUCACAUAUUUUACAAAACCCCCAAAGUACCCCAAAACCAAAUAAAAUCCCCACAAAUAUUACAUCCCCUGAUAGGUUCGGGAAUUCUAUGGAAGUCUUAUUUUGACCGACCGCACGCAUGGUUUCAUGCCCAAAACAGUUCCAGAGAAUCAGGCUGUGCGGCCGGUCUACUUCGAGGAUUCGAAAUAACGUUCAAAAUACUGAACGUAGCUGUUCAUGAAUGGAGUCAUUAAAUGUCUCUUGUUCUUGGGUUUCUUUUUACCGAACGCCGUUCAACUCCCGUUCGAAUAGCCUCCAUGGAAGGUAAAAUUUUAGGGGUGUCCGAUUUGAGUUCCAUGCACUUGACGACCAAAUACCGCUGGGUGCGUUUGACUAAACAAGAAGGCCGCCACCACGUGUUCGAAUGCCACUUUGAAUGACUUCGGGAGUUUGAAAGUUUGAAGGGUUACUGUCUGGGUCCAAACAGGCACAAACAGAGUCUUUAACCCAAAAUUCAAUACAAGAGCCAUAGUCACAGGUCAGGAGGCUGGCAAACAGGUUCCUCCAAAAAACAGUGACGAGGCUACUUUCGUCACACUCAUACCUCUGCAAUCUCAAUGCUAAAUGUUCCGCCAUUUAGGAAUUAAAUCACUUUGUUUUUGCAGCCCUAGUUACAUUUUCCCUGACUUUAGCUCACACAGCCAGCAUGAAAAAACUGUUCAUUUUCAACCUGAUAUUAUAGAACAGCGUGUUUACUUUAAAAAUUAUCACACACAGGAGGCUACUGGAGGCUCUAGCAAACAACGAAACAGAAGAUGAAAAAGUCUAAAUUAAACACACUGUGUAAUAUGGUAAGCUAAAUAAUUUGCAAUAAUGCUACACCAACCAACCCUAACCCUAACACUACCAGUAACCCUAGAACUCCCCCUACCUCAGAGGAAAUCCCAGCUUGCACAGUAGAGAGUGCUAUGUGAGAGCUCUCUAGUGUGAUUACAGGUGGGCACGCCCGGAGACCAUGUUGUGGUCUUUUUAGAUUCCUCGAUAAUAACCAUGGUUGAAUGAUCACAUGAUUUAAAGGAAUUGUAUGCAGCUUAUUGGCCAGUUUGGGGCCACUAAAUAGAAGAAGGAAGCCCCAGGUAUAGAUUGCUAUUGAGGUCCCCCUGGUGCAAGCAGGGAUUUAACAUAAUUUGCACUUCCAGUUAUGUGUCAUUUAAAGGGGUAUGCUACACAUUGUGUAGAUGUGGAAAAUUUUGCACAUUGAGUAAAUGGUUAUUGCUCAUGUCAACAGGGAUGUAACCCUGAUUGCACCAAAUUUUCAGGAUGUUUCAUGCCAUCCUAAUGUCUGUAAAGCCCACUAUUUUUAGGACAGGCUGGAAUGUCCUAAAGACAGGGAGGGGUUAAAGCAGUUUGAUAAAUACUGCACCUGUGGACUCCUUGAACAGUAAUUAAUAAAAUAAAAUGCGGUGGUUAUGGUGCUUAGGGCGAUCCUUUAACGCUGCUGCCACAUUUCAGAUUUUAACUGCAAGGCUGAAUAGCUGGGCUGAGGAUCUGGAGGAAAAUGAAGAUAAACCAGCAGAAACAGGGUUAAACAAAUGCAUAGGUUACAAAACGCACAUAAAAUAGUAUCAAAGGGAUGUCUAUGUGAAAACAUUUGGAUCAAUACCACUCGGGCAUUAAUUGGUUCACAGUUGGAAGCCAAUGACACAGUAAUUGGUUCCUUAUUAGGACAAUUUCUUUCAUCUGUGUCUGAGAGCUUCCACCACACAAGUUUUAAUACUUGCAGCAGCAAAAUAUCUUUCAGUCUUUAAUUUUUCUUAAGUACAUUUUUUUCUUUAUAAAACAAAUGCAAUCUUAAAAUAAAUUAGAACAAAAAGACAGUACAUCUCAAAAGAAAUUAGACGAAAUGUCACCUUGAGCAUUAACAGUAUCCUUAAAAAGUUACUGUGCCAAAAGACUGUUUAGCAGGGGAAAGUAAGGUCAAUAAACAGCCAUAUAAUGCUAAUCCUCUAUCUAUUGCUGUUGUUGGAUCCAAGAUAGUAUCAAAAGGGAUUGGAACAUUAUUCACUAAUUGGUUUUAUUCAAUAUGGCCAAAUUUGAAGAUGUAACUUGAAAAAGAGGUGUUAUAGGGCCUACAAAUAGAUAUCAUCCUCCUAUAACACUUCAAAGCCUGAUUGAAAACCCUAGAUCCAGAGGGAAUACUGUGGCUUAACCCCUUCAGGACUGGACUGUUUUGGCCAUGUUGUACCAGAGCCUUUUUAACACCUUUGUGGUGUUUGUGUUUAGCUGUAAUUUGUAUCUCUCGCAUUUACUGUCCCCAUACAAGUUAUAUAUUGUUUUUUUUCAGGACAAAAGGGGCUUUCUUUACAUAUCACUUUUUCAAUCAUGUCAUAUAAUUUAAUUUAAAAAAAAAAUAUGGUGACAAAAUGAAAAAAAAACAUGUUUUUUUACUUUUACUUGAAAAAUCUUUUACUCAUCUACAAAAGCUAAUGAAAAAACUGCUAAAUAGAUUCAAACUUUUGUCCUGAGUUUAAAAACACCCAGUGCUUACAUGCUUUUUUGCUUCUUUUUUUUUUGUUGCAAGUUUUAGGGUUAUAAGUACAAGUAGGAUAUUGUGGUUUCAAAACAUACAUUUUUUAUAAUUUAUCAGUAGUGACAUUGUAAAAAUGUUAUCUGUCAUAAAUCUCUGAAAAACACCCCACAUGUACAUAUUUUAAAGUAGACAAACCAGAGUAGUCGUCUAAGGAUAUUUUGACACUUUCUAUUUUAUCACCAAUUUUUUGCAAAGCUUCGCAUGGGUAGCUUAUUUUUUUAAAUUUUUUCACAUACAUUGCAAUUCAGGUAUAAAUUCACAGACCCUGUUAUGUGUUGCUGCCAAAAAACACACUAACGUGUUCAGCAACAUCUCCUGAGUAAGGGCGAUACCACCCAUGCAUAGGCUUGUCCAUUUGUUUGGGGGCUAAAAGGCCACAUUUGGCAGGUGCGCAUAUCUGUUUUCCAACUUGGAAUUUUGAAAUGUAGUCAACCUGCGCCCAUGUCCUAUUUGGGACAUUUUUGAAGCCAGCCAAUGUAUUUUACCCCCCAUCAAACCAUAUAUUUUUGAAAAGUAGACGACCCAGGGUAUUUUAAAUGGGGGUAUUUUAACACUUUUCAUGCACUGAAUUUACCACCAGCCUUUGUCUAACGUUUGGGUAGUAAUUUUUGUGGUGUUUUUUUCACACACAUUGUACUUUAGGCAUGAAUUAACAGAUCCUGUUACGUGUCACUACCAAACAACACCCCAAUAUGUGUUCAGCAACAUCUCCUGAGUACAAUGAUACCACCCAUGAAUAGGCUUGUCGGCAGGGCUGGCCUUAGGCCUUUAGACGCCGGCCUUAGGCCUUUAGACACCCUGUGCGAAAAAUUUUCACAGUGCACCCCCCUCCCCUGUCAUCCAUGUAUGAUGUAAUGCUUGUGUUGUCUGUGUAUGUGAUAGUAGGUGUGAUGACUGUGUGAGAUAUGCAUGCUAUGUGUUGGCUGUGUGUGAUAUUUGUAAUGGGUGUAUUAACAGUGCGUGAUAUGCAUGUAUUGGUUGUAUGUGAUAUUUGUGCUGGGUUUAUUGGCUGUGUGUGAUGGUUAUUUAAUUCAGAUAAAACCAUGCAUUUAAGCCUGUGUGGUAAUGCAGGUGUAUAUUUUUGCAGAGUUAUGUGCACACAGUCAGAUGCACACAGUUUUACAUAUACACUGUCAAAUCCCCCACAUGUACUCAGUCGCAGUCAGAUAGUCACAUACACAGGAUCAGGCAGUAACACAUACUCACACACAAUUACAGGCAGACAGCCACACACACACACACACACACAGGCAGCCACGCAUAUAGUCUUACACACACAUACUUACAUGCAGACAGCCACACACACACACAGACAGCCACACACACACACAGACAGCCACACACAUACACACAGGCAGACAGUCACACACACAGGCAGAAAGUCACGCACACACACACACACAGGCAUACAGUCAUAAACACACAGGCACACAGGCAGACAGCCACAGACACAUACACAGGCAGACAGUCAUACACACAGACACACACACACACACACACACAGUCAUACACACAAACACACACACACACGGGCAGUCAUACACAUACACACACACACAGGCAGACAGUCAAACACACAGACACACACACACACACACACAGGCAGUCAUACACACACACACAGGCAGACAGUCAUACACACACACACACACACACAGGCAGACAGUCAUACACACACACACACACACAGGCAGUCAUACACACACACACACACGCAGACAGUCAUACACACAGACACACACACACACACAGGCAGACAAUCAUACACACAGACACACACACACACAGGCAGACAGUCAUACACACAGACUCACACACAGGCAGUCAUACACACACACACACACACACACAGGCAGACAGUCCCACACAGACACACACACAGGCAGACAGUCACACUCACACUGGCAGUGCAGCUCCUGGAGACUGUUUGGUGGGGAAGCAUGGACUCCUUCCUGCUUCCCCUGCAGCCGUUAUCCUGCGCUUUUAGCCCCGCCCCGCCACAGGUAAGCUCCGCCCUGCAACAAUUUUUUUUUUAUUCAGCCCAGUCAUGUGUGAGCUGUGUUAGCUGCAGGGUGCCCCCUGCUCCAUAGCGCCCUGUGCGGCCGCACAGCUCGCACACCUGCUUGUCGGAUUGUUAGGGGGCUAAAAGGCCACAUUUGGCACCUGUGCCCAUGUCCUAUUUGGGUCAAUGUAUUUUACCCCCAUCAAACCAUAUAUUUUUGAAAAGUAGGCAACCCAGGGUAUUUAAAAUGGUGGUAUUUUAACACUUUCCAUGCACUGAAUUCUACCACCAGCCUUUGUCAAACUUUUGGGUAGUAAUUUUUUUUUGUUUUUCCUUCUUACACACAUUGUACUUUAGGCAUGAAUUAACAGAUCCCUUUAUGUAUCUCUGCCAAACAACACCCCAACAUGGGUUCAGCAACAUCUCCCGAGUACAGUGAUACCACCCAUGCAUAAGUUUGCUCGGUUGUUUGGGGGCUAAAAGGCCACGAUUGAGACUUGUGCAUGUCAACUUGAUGUAUAGGCAUGCUUGGUCUAUCUUUAGUUUGGCAUAUUGUUGCAUACCCCAGUUAAUGUUACCAUCAUGAAAUUACAUAUUUUUAUAAAGUAGACAUGCCAAGGUAUUGUAUAUGGGGUGUUUUAACAUCCUUCCCCCAACCAUUGUGCUACAAAAUUUAAGAGAACUUGCAUGGUGGUAAUUUUUGUAAUUCUGCUUUUUUAUUUUAGCCAGCUGGUUAUAUAUUACUGGCAGAAAACACCCCAGUUUGGUUUCUGCAAAGUCCCCUGAGUAAACCAAUGCCCCCCAUGCAUUGGCAUGCCAGGAUUUUACAGUAACAAAUUUUGGACUUGCCUAUUUUGGCUUAAUAUAGUUUGCUUGCUUUGCUAGGCGCAUGUUGAGUGUGGUGCAUUUAUACACCCCCAAGUUGAAUUUAUGGUUUAAAACUAUAUAUUUUUAUGAAGUAGACAUUUUGACUUCUUUCCCCCAACCAGUGUGUGGUGGUAAUUUUUGAAUUCUGUUUUUUUUUUCCACAUAUGUAAUCUGGUUUUGGCCAGACGGUUAUAUGUUACUGCCAGAAAACUUUUUUAACCAAAUGUGCAGGUAUCAAAUGCACCUUUAGCAGCAAUCUCUAAACUAACUCCUGCACUGGAGAUUUGGGGUAAGGAAACUGACUAACUAAAAUUUGCCGCUUUCAAAAGAAACAAAAUUCAAAUUCAGGAACAGUAUUACAAAAAGGUAUGUUCUGUGUGGUAGAGCUUAAAACAUGUUCCAAUACACAGUCCAGGUUUUGAAGGACAAUCAAGACAAUGAAAAGGGGGGUCUGUCCUUUUCCCUUUUUUAUAAGAGACCCGGCAAAGUUUCCGGGGAUUUGGUUUUUUUUGCAGUUUGCGGUAUCUUAAAAAUAAGAUGUGUAGCAUUCUGGACUCCUCUGGCACCAUUGUUGGAACUUGACCAUCUCCAUAAAUGAUUGUGGAAAUCAGCUUGAGCUGAAAUUGGAGAGAGGUGGUUUUUCCAGGAUUCAUUUUUUUUAAAAGUAAAAAUUAAUUGUGGGCUGCUACUUGCAUGAUAACCAUCUUUUUUACACCAGGAUUUUGUCUUUCUUAAAGGAGCACUAUAGUGUCAGGAAAACAAAGCGGUUGAGAAAUGCUUUCCUUUUGACAGCUUGAAUGCGCUCGCGGCACUUGCCGCGCAUGCGGCUCCGCUGACAUCGGCGGGGGAGGAGAGGUCGCCAGCGUCGAGGGAGCCCAGCGCUGGAAUAAGGUAAGUGGCUGAAUGGACGCUCUGCGUGAUGGAGGCAUAAUAUGCCUCCAGCAUCGCAGAUGUGCCUCUAGUGGCUGUCCGGAAGACAGUCACUAGAGGCUGGCUUAACCCCAAAUGUAAACAUAGCAGUUUCUCUGAAACUGCUAUGUUUGCAUCUGCAGGGUUAAAACCUGAAGGGCCUGGCACCCAGACCACUUCAUUGAGCUGAAGUGGUCUGGGUGACUAUAGUGUCACUUUAAGAUAAUAUAUGGCUGCAUCAGCUGAUAAGCCAAAUCAACACCCCCCAUGUGCCUGUUAUAAGCCCUGAUGCAAACAGGCUUGAUCUGUACUCUGCUUCGGACAGUGUCGUCUGCCAUGCUUUCGUCAUGGAUGGUGGUUAGUAUAUUAACAUCCUUCCUGUCCUUAAAUUUUAUUGCAAGCACUUCAGCUUUGCGCAGAGCUUUACAUUCACCUUUUUUUAAUUUGGACUCUUUGGAGAGGUUUGGAGUGUCAGGAACUGCUCUGAUCUGUUCUGAUGUCUACCGUGGCUUCUGGUAUCCAGUGCUCUUUUUUCAAUUCUUGUUUUGUUUUCCUUGGUUUUUUCUGGUUUUCUAUUCUAUGUCUGGUUUUCUUUAUGCUGGGUUUUCUGGGUUCAUUCCUGUAUUCCAUUCAUGGAAUUCCCAGUCUCCAGGAUUCCUUUAUAUGUUUGUUUUAUAUUGCCACAGCCGUUCCUUUUCCAUGGUUCCUUUUUGUUUCAGUUGGUUCCUGCAGGCAGAUGCUUCAAGUCAUCUGCUCCUUCCUUGCAGGUAAGUGCUGUAUGUAUGGUUUAUUUAGCAGACAUUAGGCAGAGUAGGAUUUAUUUAUCAGACAUUAGGCAGAGUAGGACCUGCCAAAUAUGGGGUACAUUGGCGUUGUGGCAGGCUUAUGCAAUGUAUGAUCAUAUAAUGUAACUAAAUCCCCAUGGUUUUCACACAUAGUACUCUGUUAUGUUUCCUCUUGUUUUGCCUAUCAUAUCUUGUCUUGUUUUAUUUUGUAUUCCCAUUCUAUGUACAGUCCUGUCCUGCCCAUGUUCUGUUUAUGUUUCCCUUAUGUAUUGUGUACAUGUUCUGGGUUUUGCUUUCUGUCCUUCUCUGGUUCUGGGUUCUACUAGUUUUGUCUUUUUUUUUUUUGUUUGGUGUUAAUCCUAGCCUUAUCUUGUUUCUAGUACUGGAUACAUUUCAACAUAUAUCUGCUCUGGCUUCCCCUAAGUUGCAACAGAGUCUUGGUAUGUGGCCGCACAAACACUGGUGCUCAACACCAGGGGGCGUGCAUUUACCCUGCACCAGGCCCCACCUAGCCACUACCACGCUGAAGACUCCGCUCUUCUGCACAUCAGGCACAGGGGUCCCGGUCUUCGGACUGCCACCCUGACAUGGGGAAAUCUUUGGCAUUAUUUCUCACAGUGCUGCAGGCCAGUAUCUGCAAACCAUAAAGAAUUUGAAACAAACGGACACUGCUAUAAAAAUUGAUCAGUAGGUCCAAAACAAUUUUCCCACUUGUCCCAGAGAGUCAGGACAGCCAGGAGGGUCCAGUUGACCAUCUUUCCCCUCAUAGAACCAUAGAAUGUGACGGCAGAUAAGAACCAAUCGGCCCAUCUAGUCUGCCCAAUUUCCUAAAUACUUUCAUUAGUCCCUGGCCUUAUCAUAUAGCUAGGAUAGCCUUAUGCCCAUUCCACGCAUGCUUAAAUUCCUUUACUGUGUUAACUUCUACCACUUCAGCUGGAAGGCUAUUCCAUGCAUCCACUACCCUCUCAGUAAAGUAAUACUUCCUGAUAUUAUUUUUAAACCUUUGUCCCUCUAAUUUAAGACUAUGUCCUCUUGUUGUGGUAGUUUUUCUUCUUUUAAAUAUAGUCUCCUCCUUUACUGUGUUGAUUCCCUUUAUAUAUUUAAAUGUUUCUAUCAUAUCCCCCCUGUCUCGUCUUUCCUCCAAGCUAUACAUGUUAAGAUCCUUUAACCUUUCCUGGUAAGUUUUAUCCCGCAAUCCAUGAACCAGUUUAGUAGCCCUUCUCUGAACCCUCUCUAAGGUAUCAAUAUCCUUCUGAAGAUACGGUCUCCAGUACUGUGUACAAUACUCCAAGUGAGGUCUCACCAGUGUUCUAUACAAUGGCAUGAGCACUUCCCUCUUUCUACUGCUAAUACCUCUCCCUAUACAACCAAGCAUUCUGCUAGCAUUUCCUGCUGCUCUAUUACAUUGUCUGCCUACCUUUUAAGUCAUCAGAAAUAAUCACCCCUAAAUAUACACAAAAGGCAAAUGUAUAGCCACUUUCGCUCUCGCACAGUUUGUAGAACUUUACGUCUUACCUAGAGCGCUGUGAAGGGAUGUAUUAUUUGAAUCCUAAUCUCCCUUUAUAUUUCAUUAAGGAUUCAUCAAUGGAUAAAUUUUGUUGGGGAGUAUAAACUUCAGAAAAUUUGUGCUGAAGAUGGUAUAUCAGUGAGCUAAACCAUCCAACUAGGUCACUCCAACAAAAGGGGUAAUGAAUAUCCCAUAGCUUUGUAGAUAAUUCAUAGGUCGGGUCCUGAGAUUGGGACAUUAAAGGCUUAGGUUGCCACAGUUACAAGGUAUUAAUGGAGGAAACAUCCCACACCCCCCAGUCUUGUGGCCUCAUGGACAAAAUCCAAAAGACCUAACUUAGCCAAGAAAGUGUUCAUCUGGGAGAUGUCACAGAUGAUGUCUGGUCCCAUUAUGGACCACCUGGAGGGCCCUUGUGUCAGCACAAUGGUAUCUGAUACCAUGUUUCUGCAACAGCCUUGUGACUGGAUGUAGUGAAUGCCCAGUCACACUGUGGAGUGACACAAAUACGGGAAUACAGUAAGUUUACACUCUUCAAACAUGUAGAGUUUUUUUCCAUUGGUUGCCAGUAUAAAAGUUGUUUUAUCUCGUCUCCUGAGGAACUUGAUAAUUACACCUAGCGGAGCAUCUUUUGGGGCUUUCAGUGAUUGGGAAGCUGAAACAUUCCAUUUUAAUAUUCUUUGCUACCAUAUUAGAAAGCACAGAAUUUAGUAGCCUUCAAACAUUUUGGGGUAGUUCCCUGUCAUCCACUGAGUGCAGUAUGCAUCUCACUUGUAAGUGUUUCCAUCUACUUUUAUUCUCCAGUGAAUCUAAACAGGCAUCAAAGCAGGCCUGUGCUGCCUCCAGGCAUUGAGUAGAUGCAGAGGUUGCCUGCUGUCUUAUAUUUACAGAAUCCAGGUCCUCUUCCACAGACUUAACACAGCCCAGAAUAUUUCAGUAUUUAUAAAGUGUCUAGUGCCUCUGUGUCCGAGGCUACACUCAUUUUAGGUUGGCUCCAUCGGGUCACUCUAGAGAGAGGCACACCAAUAUCUCCAGUGUCAUUUAAUUUCUCAGCACGUUGCUUCUUCCCAUGCUUCUCCAUUUUCUUAAGAAGUUUUCUCACCAAUUUUGCAAAUGAUAAAAGAAAGUAAGUUGUUAUUUAGGCCCCUUUUCAGAUGGUCUAUGCGGGGGCUCUAAUAAAACACAACUCGCCCCCAUGUUUUUCUUUUUUUAAUGAAUUUAAUGAAAGUUUUCAAACGUCUAGUUUUGGUAUUGUCAUUAUAGGGUAUUGAGUGUAGAUUGAUGUGUAUAACAUGAAUUAAGGCUGCAAUAUUUUAAAAAGUAAAAAAAUGAAGGGGUCUGAAUACUUUCCUAAUGCACUGUAACAUUUAUCAUGGACCCUGUAGUUGAGCAAAUGUUCUAUCUAAGCUUAUUUUUGUAAAACCCUCUUUUAUCAUAUACAUAUCCCUUGUUUUUUUGUUUGUUUUUCAAAUAUGUUUAAUUAUUUAAAUUCAAUUUUGGAACGGAUUGUGUGCUAGAGUUUGUUCUUUUUCAGAAGUUCACAACAAGAACAACAUUUCUGUCCUUGUAUUUUUGUAGAAGGCCAUCUGAUGAGCCAGCUGCUCACACAGACCUUUCCAGUUUUCUGUAAACUAAUAAAAAUGCUUUCACAUGGAUAAACAUUGUAUGUAUGUCACAUUAGCAGAAGUUUACAUUUAUGCAUUCCUUUAGCUGAAGAGAAUUACUUCUGGGAUUUGCUGCUACUUUUCUCAAUCUAUUUUCAGUGUUUUUUGGGUUAUGGUUUGUAAACUGACCUUUCUUUCUUCUUCAACUAUGAUUAUGAAGGAUUUAGAAUAGUUUUCACCCGUAAAUAAUGAUUCAACAGUAUAAUCAGGCUGUUGAAUGUGAGAAGAUAAAUAUAGAACAUUUAUAAAACGUGCAUGUAAAUAUUUAUAUAAACAUCUAGUUCUUUGCAGGAAAAUAAAAUCAUUGUAUAACAAUUGAAAAUAUUAAAUUAAAAUCAGGGAACUUUAUAGAACAAAACUCACAGAAAAACCUCUCUUUAGUUACAAACUAGUGCCAAUUAAAAAGUCAGACGUUUAGUAUAUUUAAUAAAACAUCGUCUUACUAUUUUCUGCAAAAUUUUGAGGGCAAGUGUCUAUCCUUAAGAAAUAGAGAGCCAAAUACGCAGAGCUUUUACUUUCACUAUGUUAUACUGUCUUUUAUAAAAUGUCUUCCUGGCUUUGAACCCCUAUCUCUAUUCUGUGCUUUUGUUUGCGACCGACACUAUUGACCCUUGUACUUUUAGGUUUGUGUGUUACAGCCCUAGUUGUGUCAUUUGUUUGUUGCCUGGACUAGUAUGUCAUCAGUGCAUGCGUACAUUUGUCCCAUUUAGCUGGUUUUACAUCAUUUAAAGGAUAGAUACUAACCACUACAUACCCCCAAGACUUUACUUUUGGGAGAUGAUCUAACCUAGUGGUCUGGCCAUCACCAUUUGUGCCAUAGUAACAAUAUCAUCAAUGUCAUUCACUUCAGCUGUCAGUUGUUUUAAUGUUGUGGCUGUUUGUAUAUGUAUAUAUGCAGUGGCGUCACUAGGGCUGUGGGGGGGGGGCAGAGGUGGCCAUGGCCCCCCUACAUAAUGCAGUACCCCCCCCCCUAAUUUAAAUUGAAGUCGGGAGCACUGCGCCUCCCUUCACAAGCUGCAGCAGCACUGUUACUGGUGGACUUUUCCCACGUUCCUCCAGAGGGGGUCAUAGAGAGCAGCGCAGGGGAGAGACAUUGAGAGGAAGUUGAACUCUGCACAGUUUAUGGGUCAGUCUCUGUAAGUGCUUGAGCUCCAAGAGACAGAACUCUCAUCUCGUGACCUCCCCUGUUCCCGAUGAAUAGACAGCUUUCUCAACCACCACGGAUCUGAUUGUGCCACUCCCUACCUGCAAGGUAAGAUGAGGGAAAGGGGAAUAUUCUUUUUUUAAAAAAAAACUAUUAUUAAAGUAAAAAUUGUAAAGCUCUUCCCUAUCCCACUCUCUACACCCCCUGAACACAGUAUACCCUCACAGACAGUGAAUCCCACACAUACAGUACACUCGCACCAGCACAGAGUACACCUUUGCAUACACACACAGUGCACCCCUCACACACAUCAUCUCUUCGCCCACAUACACACUUCUUCCCCACAAACCUUUACCCCCACACACACAUGCAUACAUACAUGCUUCACCCCAUUACACACUAUAUCUCAUAUAUCAUAUAUAAAUAUUACACACUAUAUAUAUAUAUAUAUAUAUAUAUAUAUAUAUAUAUAUAAUAACUAUAGCUCCUUGAUAAGCGCAUAAUGCAACCCCAAUACACAUAUACUCACAAUGCAGCCCCUAGAUGCACACGCACAUCUUUCAGCACACACGGGCGCGCACGCACGCACACAUUUUCUCACACAUUCACAAAUUGCCAUUUGGAUCUGAAUGGAUCUUUCCCUGGCGUCCAGUGUGUCUCCUCUCUGUCUUCAUGCAGUUUCUCUCUGCUCAUCUGCGCGCUCUCUGUAGUGAUACCAGGGGCGGAGUGACUUCAUGUCACUAACUGCAUGAAACUUACUGCUCCCUCACGCGCCGUCUCCAUGCUCUCCGAAUGCUCACCGGCUCUAAUAUUUCCUGCGCGGCUUAGCAAAGGGCUGACAAAUGCCAGACGCCAGGGCGAAAUUUCUAGUCACCAUGGCGACCUGGAAUUUGUUGAGCCCCGUGUAUGUAUGUAUGGAUGUAUGUGUGUGCAUAUAUAUAUAUACACACGUUUUAUAACUGCCCCUCUUUUUUUGUCCCUGGCCCCUUAUGUGCCCCCCUAAGUAUGAAUCCUGGAGACGCCAUUGUAUAUAUGAUAUUCUAUAUAUAAAACCAUUUAUUUCUUAUAUAGUACCAGGACAAAAAAAACUAAACAUCCCUUCUCUAUGAAAUAUUUUCUUUUAAAACUAUGCUUAAAAAUUAUUAUUUCUGCCAAAACCGCUGAAUAAUGCACCUAUAAAAGCUUGGCUCACAGUGUAAAGCUGCCAGUCACACUAACUGGGCACGGCAUGAAUGAUAAAGUAGGAGAACACUUGCUAUAAGAGAAUGAGCAGCACCUUGGCAGAAUGAAAUAUUAUUGUUGCUUUGGUUAUCCUUACCUUUUCCUCAUUAUUCCCAGCCAGAAGGCACAUAAUAAUAACACAUGAGAACAUAUUCAGGAACAAAAUGAAUAUUUGCAUCCACAUAGAAAGGCCUUACUUAAAUUAUUUUUUUAAAACAUUUUAUGUUUAUUACCUUAUUAAUGUAAAUAUUAACAUCUUCACAUUACCAAAGCAAUCUACACAAUAUUGUCAACUGGACAUUAAAGGAACACUCUGGGCACCGUAACAGCUUCAUCUCAAUAAAAUUGUUAUCGUGCCUGGAGUACCUGGGUACCAUCUUACCUUAAUGGGCUUACUGUUUGUGAACAAUUGAACCUCAAAGUUGUGCAGAUAGCACCCAUUAGCUCUGCACCUGUCAUUCUUCUGAUGUCUGAGGCUUCUCACACAGUUCGGUAAAUGGAGAGCUAGUGAUUACUGGAGUCUGCCCACAGUAGCUGUCUACUAGACUGGAUUGAAACGGACCUUUGGCCUGAUAUCUGAUGCUAGAUGUCUUCACGCUCUGCAUGAGGACCUCCAGUGUCAGGUUUUUCCCCAAAGGAAAGCACUGAUUCAAUGCUUUCCUAUGGGAAGGUCUAAUGCACGCAUGUAGCCAUUGCUGCGCAAGCGCAUUAGAUCUAUUAGCGUGGGGAGAGCCUGAUCCAGGGCUGAGGGACAUGGGCGGAAUUCAGGUAAGUGACCGAAGGGGUUUUAGCGCCUUCAGCGCCGUGGGAAAGAGGGCACAAGGGAGGGGGGCACUGUAGGGACCUCUUGUGCCAGGAAAUGGCUUUGUUUUCCUGGCACUAUAGAAUCCCUUUAAGGUUUCCUCAGUGAAACCUCAGGCGUCACCAGAACAAGAGAAGUAGAGCUGAUGAAUGCAGUCUAAACAACUUUUGCAUUAAAUUUUAUGUAAACUCUUGUUGUAACCAUUUAAGAUAAGAUUGAAACGAGGACCUCCAGUGUCAUUGAGAGGAAGUUGUUAUGGUGCCCAGAAAAUGUAUUUAAGAAUUGGCACCGCUGCAAAAAACUAGAUGAAUUUAAGGCGAUUUGUCCGAAUGCCGUAACUCCGAAUUGCCAUAUGACCGAAUCACUAAACAAGCAGAACAAAGAACGAACGAGCCGUUUAAUUGUUUUGUGAUUUGGAAUUAUGUCCUUGCAGCCAAAGAAAAAAAUUACAGAUUUUUAGGAGGCAGCCACUAGAUAUUGCUUUUACUCACAGUUCAAGUGAAAAGUGACCAAUAAAGGGAAAAAAAGGAGCAGUGAAAAAAAUGUAUACAUUACAUAUUUAAUAAAUAUUAUAAUAUAGAAAUAUACAAUUUUUUACUGCUCCUUCUUUUUUCCACCUGGUUGUUUCUUCUCACUUGAUCUGUGAACCAAAUGGCAUGAAAAUGCACCUGUCAAUAUACUCCAAAAAGUAUACAUAAUGCACCUAUAUACGUACUAUAAAUAUUUUCAGUUAUUUUGGUUUAUCCUAGUAGUUUUGCCUGAAAUGAUCGCAUGGAUGCAAUUUGUCCGAACUGAAAAACCUCAUGGACAAAACCCAAAUCGCCUGAAACAAAAAAUUUUUUUAGACAAAUUGAUGUUGGCAAACUAAAUAUUUUCACGGUGCCCACAUCUACUACAUAAUGCCUCGUUAAAAGGUGGAAAAUGUAAAUAACACCUGGUUUAUAUAAUAUUUGUCAAGCAAAAGAAAAUAGAUGAAUUUAUCCUAAUUUUAAAAGUGCCCCAUAUGCUCAUGAUUAAAAAAAAUUGAUAUGUUACCAUGUAAGUCUAAUAAACACACAAAAAUGUCACAAAACAAUAAAACAAUCUCUGACGUUCCAGAUGUGGAACACAAUACAAUAAAAUACAUCUUGUAAACUUUUUUUGGCCUGAAAUCUGAAUUCCACUUUGAAUUUUUAGUAUUAGAGUUCCCUAUUAGAGUUCAAACACAGCCUGCAUCUAGUAAUGCAAUUUCUGUCAGGAAGAACUAGCAUGUGAUGUGGUCUUAACAAAUGCAGAGGUGAAUGUCAAUACUGAUCAAUUCCUUUAUUUUUUUUUUUUAAUUCUGGGCAGCAAUGUUAAUACAUGACAUGUCAGGCACAUUAUGGGUGCUUGUGAUCAUAAGCAGCUUUAACUGUUUCCCUAAUGUUUUUCACAAUGAAAAGUAGGAUACCAGAUUAGUUUUUAGACCUGUGCAAAAAUUUGUUUCAUCAGUAAACAAAUCAUUUCGUCUGAAUCAACAGCUUUUAAAUACACACCCAAAUGGUAGAUUUGUCUGGGGAAUAAAGGGACAGAUUGAUUCACUUGGGAGUUGAAUAAAAGUUGUUUUUUAAAUAUCUUAUUUUGAAGGUUUCACAAAGUAAUACAAACGUCAGUAGUAGAAAACAAUGCUCUGUAAAAUACAUCAGGUACAAUAAUAUAUAAAUAAGAAUUAGCGUGUAAGCUCUUUGGAACAAAUAGAAGACUCUGAGAAGACAAUGAUUUAAAAGGUUUUUAAUUUGGAAGAAUUGAUUGGCUAUUAGACAAAAUUAAUUUCUGUAUAUAUCUACAAAUUUUACUCCAAGUAUAAAGGGGCACUAGAACCCUGAAAAACAAUACUAGUUAAUGCACACACAUCCACAUGAAAGUCAGGGGCGUACCUAGAGAAUUUGGCACCCAGGUCCUAUUUUUGGCAACCCCCUAUCCCCCCCAACAUGAAAAUGUAAAAAACACCGGCACAUUUUUAAACUGUAUUUAGCACUGAGCAGCAUUUGUAUGUUGGAAUGUAAGUAUGUUUAUGUAUGGAGUUUGAAUACAGGCAUGCAUUUGUGUGUAGUGUGGUUUUUGAAUGCAGUGGUAUGGAUUAUAUAUAAUGGUGGUUUAAUACACAGGUGUGUUUGUAUGUAGUGCUGAUGUUGGAAUGCAGGGGUGUAUUUGUGUGUAGUGUUGACGAGAUGCUGAUUUGUGUGCAUAUACACAUACACACACAGAUACACAUGCAGAAACAUAGACAUAGUCACACACAGAUACACACUGACACACAUGCAGCUACACAGACACAAACACUGACACACAUAAAGAUAAACAGAUAAAAACACACAUACAGGAGGUGGGGCCUAGCCACUGAUCAGACUGGUCGCACUAAACGAGGGCUCCGAGCAGAAACUCACAAAAAGCAACAUAUUGCUAACAAAACACGCCAGAACCACUCACUUGAAGCAGCAGAGCAUCGGUGAUACUCGAGACUCAACCAGGUGGAUUUCCGGGCUCGGAGAAGCACACUGAAUCAAACUACGAAUUGUGGCCUACCAGCAGACGCAGGAGCAGGAGAGGCGGACGAUCUCCCUGCGAGCAGCUCUGCAGGAAUGCGCUGAGGCACUUGGGACCCCCAUUUCCCCCCCUGCCAGUGAAGAAUAUCCCGGCACACUCACUUAACAUAUAGGCUCUACUGCAAAGCAACAAGGGGAGUCAGUGAACUCACCUGAUCCUGUUACAUCACAAUAUACCACAGCCAGAGUCAAGAUGGCGAUGAUGGCGCUGACCACGACAACACAAGGCCUACUGGAUAGUUUCGAGCAGUGGCUGGACGUGAUCUUCAGCUACUUUUGGCCGAAGCUGUGGCAAAGAGGGGCGCAGACAGGGAAAGCGGCCACAGACCGACAGGUGGCGACCACCUCCCAGCUGUCUUCCCCACGAGGCUGGCAGAUCUUGGAGCACUGGGUCAACCUGCAGACCAAAGAAGCAGGGGAAGAAGAGAGCACACCUGCAAACUGCGCCCAGUCACGAAGUACCCAUGCCCGCAAUUGCCAUCCAAGGCUGAGAGCCCAAAGGGGGCCAACCCGGGCACAUGACCCACAUUCUCGACAGUAACAACCACGAGCUCAAGCGACGAAAGCACCCCAUCGGGACUAUGCUUACGGUGGUGUGAGAAACCGGAGCAGUGGAGUCCGCAUAAAGGCUCUGGAGACAGCCUGGGGCUGGAGGAGCGGCCUAGCAUGGCCUUUUUGGGAAUUGUUCCCAUACCUGACUCAGAUAGUCAGCAAAGGCAUCGGGUGAAAGCCGGACAGAGUGAUGCAAGACACAAGCUUGGCAAAGUAUAGCGGCUCGCCACCUUACUUCACGGUGAUGCACUUGUUUUCGGUGAUGCUCCUAGCAACCAUUAACUUUAAAGCCUAUGUUGAUGCCUGUUUUUCUUUUAUUUACCUGACUUGCCAUCCUUAUCUUGAAGUAGCCCGUUGUACAGUGAAGCUAGCGUAUUAUUCCUAAUUUUUAACUCCCAUAAUGGGCUACUGCCCUGCAUUCUCAUCAUAUUUAAGCAUGUCCCUUGCAUUCAACCAAUAGCAGUAACCAUCAUGUCCUAUCGGCUAAAUGCCUCUAUACUCUGCCAUAGUUCUAACUAAUAGCUGGAUAUGCAUGAUUUACCACUAUAUUUCACCCCAUAUGUUCCCCACCUCUACUCUGUUCAUGCUAUAGACCAACCUGGACAUGUAUUAAUUCGCCUGAUUAAUUAGCUUGUUUAUAUACUAUAAAAAAAAUGUGCACUGUUUAAAUGCCAAAUCUGUGAACUCUUCUGAUAUCACUGUGCUUGCGUAUGCUGUUGUGGCAAAGUAAACUGUUAUGUUACCUCAUGCACUACAAAAAUAAAAUAUAUUAAAAAAAAACACACAUACACAUACAGACACAGAGCUAAAACACUGAUACACAUACAAUUACACACACACACAGACAUACAGACUGACAUACGCCACCAAUUAAUGGAAAUAUUUACUAAACAGCUUAAAGAUCAACAGUAAAAAAAGCCCUUCUCUUUAUUUUAAUCUUUCAGUUGUGUAGUAGAUAACUUCCUUAUUUGUUAUCCUUACGUGGGAUUGACACAUUUAAGUACACCAAAUAAGGGUGUUAUGUGCUAAACAAUGCCCUAAUUUCGCAUCCUUAAAUAUUGCAAUCCCACAAAAAGGUACCAAUUUAGGAAGUUAUCUACAACAGCUGAAAGAUCAAAAUUAAGAAAAGCUGUUUUCUUAAUUCUGAUAUUUUAAUUGUUUAAUAGAUAACUCCCUUAUUUGUUAUUCUUAUGUGGGAUUGCCAUAUUUAAGGAUACCAAAUUAGGUAACUAUCUACUAAACACAUACACAUUUAUAUACACGCACACACAGACUCUGUGUCUCUGUGUGUAUAUAUUUGUGGUUGAGUGUGUAUAUGUAAAUACAUACACAAUUAGAGACACACCCACACAUAUUCACAGACCCAAACACAUUCACAGACCCCCAAGCACACAUUCAAUCACAGACCCACACACACACAUUUAGUAAUUAAGAGUAUCACCCACCCCCCUUACCUUGCUCUGGGAGGGCUGGAGUGGAUCCUCUUCCUGGUGGCCAGUGGUUGCCGUGAUCUUCCUGCACAGGUCCCUCAGGAAGAUCAUUCUCUCCUAACAUCUACAAUAACUGCAGAUCAACAUAUUUCAUGUAGGGAGGCAUGUCUACAGAAUUGGUUAAAUAAAUAAUAUUUAUGAAAAAGAGUUACAUACUAUUUUAGCUUAGUUUAAAUAAAUAUAUAUAUAUAUAUAGAUUUGUCAUUGCUUUGGAUCUUUUUGAUAUAUUCACACCAAACAUUCUCCUAGAAAGUGUGCAAUGCAAAAGAUUUUGUAGUGGAAAGAGAUAAGCACAGCAACAAUUUAUUUACUAGAUAUUGUAUCUGUAUACAUGAAGGGAAGAAUUGCUUAAGGUUUAACACAAAGAAUACAAAUGAUAACGUUAUUUUAUGGAGAAGGAUUUAUGCACUAUAAUAAAGAGUAUAGGAAUAUUUAAAGUGAAUUUUAGGUCAUUAUAGGUUAAAAAGAAAACAAAUUUCUUCAAUUAGGGUACUGUAGCCUGAACUGUUAAUUUCACAGCUUGCUGAAAAGCUGUAUGCGUGAAAAACGUGUUUUCUUUUAUCAUUUUACAAAAAGUGCAGAUUAGAAAUUUACACUUUUAUAAAUGAACCUUGCUACAUGCCUUGACUGUCAAUUGGACAACCUGUCCUGUUACGUCCUGGUUUGUUUAACUCAGUGGAGCUAAACUCAAGAUGCAGCAAAUGCCUAGAGUACUUGCCUUACAAAGACUUCUAAUUGAGCUGCAUUGGGAAGUCUGUGAUUGGACAGACACAUUAAGUCUGGGCAGGGCUAGAAGGGGAGGUCUUACAAAGGCUACAGACAUGAUAUCUGCAGCUUUUACAUGCUGUUUUUAAAUAUACCCUAAGAAAAAUGCAUAAUAAAUGCAUGCAUGUUUUUAUUGGGGUUAUCAUUGUGAUAUAUCUAUUAAAUUGUGAUUUAUAUUUUUUUUUUGUAUUUCGGCAGUGGAGUGACAACUCACUGGAUCUGCAGAGCCUUUCGAACUUGUAUUCAUUUUUCUUUAUUUAAAAUGUCACUUGCUAACACAACUAUUAUUUUUUAAUAAACAAUAAACCCAUUAGCAGCGUUUCACUAAACAGUUAACUGUGAAGAAAUGACUUGAAAGAAUUGAAACUUCUAUUCCAAAAUAUCAUACCUCAGCUCUUUUUACUCCAGUAAUAAUAUUUUGGCUCAAAAUGUGUUAUUUCCCUGUUCAACUGUCCAGGAUUUGCAGUUUAUUGAAUAAAGCUCCAAUAGCUAAUUAUCCACAGUAAAUGUAUGUAGUUCUAUUUUUUUUCCCCCUCCAGCGUUGUUUCCUUCGUUCUUUUUUUCCAUUGCUUUUCUUUGUCUGCCUGAGUCCCACUGAUCCCCUCUCCCUCCCAGCUCCUUCUUUCUACCCACCUUUUGUUUUGUUAGAGAACCUGAAAAAUCUGUGCUAUAUUAUUCAGAUUGUAUACCCCAAAUUUCCUAAAGAAUACUACCUUUUACAUUAAUAAAACAGCUUGAUCCCGUUUUAUUAAUUGUAGAAGUGUAUUCAUCUUGGGAAAUGAUUGGUAGAGACGUGUGAAGGAAUUAAUGUGGGUUCAGCAGUUUAUUCAGAUAUGAGAAUGAUCAAGAAAUCCAAGCUCAAUACUUUGCUUCUUCACUACAAGGUUUUCCCUUUGAUCUGCUUUGUAUCAGAGCAGAAUAACAAGUAGAAACUGCACAUUAGACCACAAACCGGGUUUGAUAGCCACGCAGCACUUUCAGAGCUGAACUCUUGUUGCUUUUCACAUUUUUAUUGAUUCCAAGCAGGCUGUAAAAUCUUUUAAUGGACCAACGGGAUACUUCUUCAAAGGUUUAAUCGUUUAUAUGUUGCUUUUUCUACAUCCCUGGUGUAUAUACAAAUACACACAGCCGUUUUGUAGCUGAAAAGAGUAUGAUAGGUGUAACGAAACAACCGAGAGCAGGACGACCAACAAUAUAUAUUAUUAUCAUUAUUUAUUACAUACACAAGAUUAUUUACUAAGUUUGUUUGUUCCAUUUCUGAAGUAACAUAUUGGAAAGUACUCCCUAAUGGCCAGAUUCUUAUAUAAGGGACAAGGAUAAAUCUGGUAUUUUGAGUAGCACUUUUCCCAUAGAUGUUAUUGGGAGAACUGAUAUUCAGUUACAAGCAGGACCGGACUGGGGAAAAAAUUUGGUUCAGGUAUUUUUUUUUUUUUACUAGAGCUGCCCAGUGGGAGGGGGUGGGGCCAGACUGUUAUUCCCAGUGGCAGAACUAAAAUGCAAUACUUUUUUUGCGCCCCGAGAGGAAUAGUGGCCUAAUAGUAGUGUUUGCAGGGGUGUGUUUGCAUGUAGUGUUGACGUUUGAUUGCAGGGAUGUAUGCAAAUAUACACAUACAGUCAUGUUAAAAAGAAUGUACAGCCUCUUUCUAUGGUAUUCCAUAUUAAAACAUACCAACAAUCAUCUGUUCCUUAGCAGGUAUUACAAUUAGGUAAAUACAACCUCCGAUAAACAACAACACAUGACAUAUUACUCUGUGUCAUGGUUAAUUUAAGAUGGUGCAUUAUUAGUGUAGGAGUCAGAGGUUUUGCCUUGAUGUGGCAGGUGAACUUACGCUCUAAUGGCCAUUCUUGUGAUACUAAAAAUCUCCAGUUAUUUAAAUGUGCAUAGGGAUUUGUGUUAGUGUGCUAGCAACUUUAUACUUUGAUUUUUGUUUGUGUUUGUGUCUAGAGGCUGUAGAAAGUGUGUGUGUGUGUGUGCUUUAGUAUGUAUAUAAGGGAUGGAGUGAGUGUAUACACAUGUGCUAUAACGUGUGCAGGGUCUGCAGGCAGAGCCGGCUCUUCCUAUAUGCAGACUAGGCAGUGGCCUAGGGCGCUCUGUGAGAGGGGCGCCUGCAGGGACUGUAAUACUGUCUGAAUCCUUCAUUAGAGUACGCUGGCAGUGAUUACUCACCGAGAACACAGAGGCCCCGCUUCCGCCUGUGACAGAGCCUCCGGCGCCCUCCCCUCACUGCUGGAGCCCUCCUCCUUGUAAAUCAGCUAACUAAAAUGCUUUCAUCAAAGCAUAGGGGUUACAGUUAUAACCCCACCUCUUUGCCCACCCACAAAUCAUUAACUCCGCCCCUCUCACAACUAACCCCACCUUUCCUGGCACAAACAUUCUAACCCCGCCCCCCACAUGCCUCUAGCCCCUCUUUCCAAGUUCCUGCCUCCAGAAGUCCUUUGAAGAGGCGGCCAGUGGGAGGGAGAUGGUUUCAUGUGCUGCUCCCCCUGUCCUGUUCCUGGUAGGAGUGAUCACAGAAAGACUGGAAGCAUGACACAGAACAGGUACCGCACUGAACAACUGGGCUGCUUCCAGUGCCCCUAGACUCCACCUGAGUAUGUGUUGUGAGGGAAGGAGGGCAGCUUGCUGUGUGUGUAUUAGGCCUGUGUGUGUGUAUUAGACAGUGUAUGAGUGCCUGUGUGUGUUUAUUAGGCUGUGUGUUUGUGUAUUGGGCAGUGCCUGUGUGUGUAUUAGACUGUCUGACUGUGUGUGUUUGUUAGGCAGUAUCUGUGUGUGUGUGUACGUGUGUGUAUAAAGGUGUGUGUAUGUGUAUUAGGCAGUGUCUAUGUGUGUGUAUGUAUUAGGCAGUGUCUGUAUGUCUAUUAGACUGUCUGUGUGUGUGUGUAUGUAUUGGGCAGUGUGUGUCUCUACUGGACAGUUUGUGUAUGUAUUAAGCAGUGUAUGUAUGUGUUAAGUAUGCAGUUUGUACAGGGCCGGAUUAACAUAGGGGCUGAUGGAGCUGCAGCUCCAGGCCCAGUCCCAGGCCCAUGGAAUAGGCCCAUUUACACACUACUCUUAGGUUUGCCACCUGACUGGUAUUUUAAGGCACAGCCGGUAUUUGAGAAUGCCUGGCCGUGCCAGUAUUGUAGUAAUACCGGCAAUACAAAUGCAAAUAUUUUUCUUAGUAUAAACAGAGAUUACUCUGCAAUACAAGGACUUGCCAGUAGGGGUCACUGUGUAUGGAGAGAGGCGGGGAUAGGAAGUUACAGCAUCUCCCUCCCUGCCUCUCUCUUAUCACUGAUCCACAGGGGAGCAGCUACACAGAACAGAGAGUCCAGACAGCAGAUCCCAGCCUGCAGAGAUAGACUACAGCUCAGGUAUGUGAUGGAGGGGGGGAAAGGCAGCAGGGAGCCAUGGGGACACUGAGACACGAGGGGACACAUGGGGACACUGAGACACUGGGGGACACUGGGAGACGUGGGGACACUGAGACACUUGGGGACCCUGAGACACUAGGGGACACUGUGAGACAUAGGUAGACACAUUGGGACAUGGAGACACUAGGGACACAGUGUCUCCAUGUCUCCCAGUGUCCCCAUGUCUCCCAGCCAGUGUCCCUAGUGUCUCAGUGUCCCCAUCGCUCUCAGUGUCCCCUAGUCUCCCAGUGUUUGUGUCCCCAUGUCUCCCAGUGUCCCCAUGUCUCCCUAGUGUCUGUGACCCCAUUUCUCCCAGUGUCCCCAAAUGUCUCAGUGUCCCCAUGUCUCCCAGUGUCCCCAUGUCUGUAUUCACAAGUGCCACCAUGUCUCCCAUUGUCCCCAAGCGUCUCAGCGCCCCCAUGUCUCCCAGUGUCCCCAAGUGUCUCAGUGUCCCCGGGUCUCUUAGUGUCCCCAUGUCUCUCAGUGUUCCUUAGUAUCCUAGUGACACGGAACACACUGAGACAUGGGGACACUGGGAGAAAUGGGGACACAGACACUGGGCGACAUGGGGACACUGACACUGUGAUACAUAGGGACACUGAUGCCAGGCUGGCUUUCCAAUUCUUUGGACAGUCAUGCCCCCUUUUUGGGCAUGUUCGCCUUUUUUGGCAGUUCUGGUCACGUGAUUUGCAUCAGUGGCCCACUCUAUUACCCGGCCCAUUGAAUUCCUCCUUCAUUGGACACUGCUGUUAGGUGGUAUGGAUUUACUUGAAAAAUGAAAGCAUAAAUUAGAUAAAGAGAUUAGCAUAGAGUAUGUAUUUUCUAAUAGCUGCAUUUUUUGAGUUUCCCUCCAACACUAACUCCAUCAGAUACAUGACGCUUGAGAGGUAUGACUGUUUUAGUGUUUUUGGUCGAUAAGAUUCUGUAAUUAGGCCCAUCAUAAUUGUCAGCACCAGGCCCACCGGGCUCUUAAUCUGGCCCUGAGUUUGUAUCAUAGAUGUGGAAUGUAUAUCGCCCAACGGCUGGGACAUGCCGUUUCGGCGUUGGACAGGAAGAUUUUUUUAAAUUCUUUUAGGGCUGCCUUGGGGGGUGUUGGUGUCAAGCAGGGAGUCUAGCUCCGGCAGGCAUACCGGGAUGCUGUAACUGGACCUGGCUGCAGCUCACAGUGAGGUGUGAAGAGCGGCAGCAUCCAACUGUUCAAGACUCAUGGCCACCGGGAUUCAGCUUGAUGUCAUACCCAGCAGCCAACACACUAUAAAAGGCAAAGUGAGCAUGUGACAGGGUGCUGCAGGUUAUCUUUACUGUGUGUGUCCCCGAUAAUGUGUAGUUUGUGUUUGUAUGGGUCAGUGUGUGCCAGUGUUCAGUGUGUUUGUGUAUAGGUCAGUGUGCAGUGUGUUUGAGUAUGGGUCAGUGAUCAGUAUGUCUGUGUGUGUAUAGGUCAUUGUCAGAGUGCAGUGUAUAUGGGUCAGUGUUGGUGAGUGUCAGUGGGCAGUAUGUUUAUGUGUGUGUCAGUGUUAGUGUAGGUCAGUGUGUGGAUGGGUCAGUGUUAGUGUCUGUGUUUAUGUACGAGUCAUUGUGUUUGUGUAUGGGUCCACUUUAGUCUCUUGGACAAGUAUAUUUAAAAUAUAUAUAUAUAUAUAUAUAUAUAUAUAUACCUCUGUAUUUAUCUAUAAAGCAGUUUGUGUGUGUGCAUGUAUUAGGCAGUGUGUCAGUAUGAGACAGUUUGUGUAUUGGUGUAUGUAUUACAUGUAUGUAAUAAUCAUAUUUCAAUGUACUUAUUAGGCAAUAUGUGAGUAUGUAUCUAUAAAGCAGUUAAUGUGUGUGUGAGGCAGCAUGCUUAUGUAUUGGGCAGUUUGUGUAUGUAUUAGGAUGAGUGGGAGUGUAUGCAUUAGGCAGUGGGUGUAUUAGAAAGAGUUUGUGAGUAUGAUGCAGUUUUAAUGUUUUGGUGUAUGUAUGUAUUCGGCAGUUUCUGUGUGUGUGUAUUAGGCAUUUUGUGUGCAUAUAUGUAUAAGGCAGUGUGUGUGUGUAUUAGGCAGUGUGUGUGUGUGUGUGUGUGUGUGUGUGUGUGCAUUAGGCAGUGUGUGUGUUUAUAUGUAUAAGGCAGUGUUUGUGAGUGUGUGUAUGUAUAAGGCAGUUUGCUAAGAGAGAGGAACACUCCACACACAUAAAGUAUUUCAACUUGCUGAAGUGCUUUAUAUGUUUGGAGUUUGUCAUUUUAUUGACAGUUUAUAAAAUAGCUGAUUUCAAUAGAAAUUGGACCUUUUAUAAUUGGGGUCAAAACAUCUCCCUGCCUGUCACACAGCUAGGAAGGUUUUCUUCCACUUCCUUUAGCUCCACAGAGCCAGCAGUAGAAGCAGAUGUGCUGUAUUAACAUGCACUUGCCUUCUCCCUUUCUCAAUGAGUUGAAUUAGGGAAACUUGGGAAAGCUGUGAUCGAGUGCACAUGCGCACAACUGCAGCCCCAGAACAGAGGCUUCUCAGUGAGAAGCUUCUGAAUGGACGGUUUGCAGGAAAAAAAAUAUUUUCUUUAUGGGUAUAUCUACUAAAUUGUUAAAAGAAAUCAGUAGAAUGUUUCCUUUUGGAGUUUAGUGAAUAAACUCAUGAGGGGGCGGCAAAAUGGAUCUUUGCCUAGGGCAGCAUAACUCCUUACACCGGCCCUGCCUGCAGGGUGUGUGUGUUUAGGGAGCUUAGUGUUUGUCAGGAAUGUAGUGUGAAGUAGUGCUGUGUGUGUCUUUAGGAGAUCUAGUAGGGUGGGAUAGCGCUUGCAUUGUGUGUGUAUGUUCAGUGAUGAGAGGGAGACAUAGAAAAACUUGGUGGUACAGUGGUAGUUAGCCACUCUAGCCUACACCUCCAGCAGGCUGAUUUCACACUUCUCAUAAACUCAAGCAUAGCGAUGUAUCAUAGCACUAAUAUUUUAACCCAUGGCAAUGAUCCUAACUGUCAGAGCAAAUGGGGGGAAUAUCUCUCUGCACACAGCAGAGGUGUAUGCUAGAGCCUCCUGGUCCUCCUCUUUCUUCAUUACUUCUGUUGAAAGGUUCAUUGAUCUCUCCAUUGGCCUGUGAAGGCACAAAACAUGGCUUUUGAUCGCCCCCUUUUGGCCUCAGCACAUGGAUAUCGCUGCACUUGCCAAUCUGGGCGUAGUUACCAGAGGUAAGUUUAACGCUUGUAAUAUAAUUCAUAUCCCGAUCCUUUGGAUUUUGCAAACCUACCUCUGAAUUAUUAUGUACAAGCCUUAAAUUGGAUUUCAUCUUAAUUUAUCAUAAAAUAGUCACUUAUAGGGCCACAACCACUUUAUCUUACAGUAUGCCUACUACACAAAAAUUAAUUUGAGGCAGUUUGUCCAAAUUAAAACCGUUUUAAUUCAUGCGUGAACAAAUUAAUUUGCCCAGGAUGUAACUGCAGAGUCAUAUUAAUUUAAUAAGAUUGCACAGGUAAAUCCUGGAUAUAUAGUGUGGAGUAAAAGGAAUUUGGAUGAGCAGUCAUCAAACACAUUUUUACAAGUUUAAUACUAAUUCUAGGUUGAAAUUGUGCAGUGCAUGGCUAGUUUCUGGUAUGCGUUGGUGUGUAUGUGUGUGAAUGUAAAUAUAUAAAUAGAAUUAUUAUUUUUUUAUUUAAUUCUUUUUACAAUCCAAAAGAUAGUGUCAGUCUCAGAGGAGAAUUUAUCCUGCGCUGGAAUGCUGCAGGUUUUAUGUGCAGAUGUCGAGACAAAGCAGCAGUUUUCUGUAGGGAAGAUAUCUGUUAGAAGAUCCUCAGGCUUCUCAUUAACUUGCCAAUUAGCAGCUCACCUGCAGCAUUCAUUGCAAACUAGCUCACUAACCCCAGCUCUGCCAAUUUUCUCUGCUUGUUCAUUGAAAUUAGCCCAUGGAUCUUUCAGUGUUGUCUCGCUCCAUAAUCUGAAUGCCUCUCCUUUUUAUUUUUUGUCACUUUUGAUACUUGAAUACCUUUAAUUAAGAUUGUUAAUUCUUGGCUGCUUUGCUAUGCCUUAUUUUCUUAACUUGUCGAAGGAUAUUAAGAAUUAUGGUGCAAUAAAAAAGUAUUGGUAAUUACACUAGCAAAGGUGAGAUUCCCUAAACGUAACAAUGUGAAGAAGAACCCUUUAAGAGGGUGUCAAGGUGUUUGAUUUUGUCAUUGUUCCCCUCUAGUAUUGUGUGCAGGAUCUUAAUAAAACAGGCCUGUUGGGAUUGAUAAGUGGUUUCUUAUUCUGAUCCGCCUUACUUUACUAAUUCAUAUCUCACUAUUGUUCCAGAUCCAGGGGACAACAUAAAUUCAAGCUCAUUUUUCUUUGUAGUGGGUUUGUUCUUGGCUGUCUCACAUCUGGGGAUACCAGAUUUGGGGCUCCCAAUCCGUAUAGAACUUCUCAGAGUAAUUGCCGCCCAUGCCAGAGCUGUGGACGAGAGUGGGGCCGGGAACAGAGACUGUCAGUAAGCCUGGUUUGAGAGCAUGCCAGUCUGACAUGCCCAUCCCUCAAUGUGUUUAUGUACGAGUCUGACAUGCCCAUCCCUCUAUUGGCCCACCAUUCCUCAUUUCUGGAUCCAGAUCUCCCAUUGUCGGGAGCAGGGCUGCCAUCAGAAAUUUUGGGGCCCCUGAUGUAACUCAAGGUCUGAAGGACCCGCCCAAAGGGCUGUCACUAAGUCUGCUCACAUGGCACACUUCAGAGUCCCCUGAGUCCACCCACAAGGAUGCAGAGUUUGUGUGUCAUGGAUGGGGUGUGUGUGUUGUGAAUGCUGUGUGUGUGUCAUGGAUGCAAAUUGUACGUUUGUGUAAUGUAUGUAGUGAUUGUGUGUAAUAGAUGCAGAGUGUGUUUGUGUGGUGGAUAGAGUGUGUGUGUGUAUAGUGAAUGCAGAGGGUGUGUCUGUGUAGUGGAUGUCGUGUUAAUGUGUAUAAUGAAUGCAGAGUGUGUCUAGUGACUGCAGAAUGUGUGUUUGUGUAGUGGAUGUAGUAGUGACUGCAGAGUAUGCAUAGUGACUGCAGAGUGUGUGUGUUUGUGUAGUUGGUGCUGUGUGUAUGUUUAAUGCAUUGUGUGUGUAUAGUGAAUACAGUGUGUGUGGGUUUGUGUAGUGAAUGCAGUGUGUGUAGUGGAUGCAGUGUGUGUAUUUGUGUAGUGAAUGCAGUUUGUGUAAUAGAUGCAGUGUGUGUAUUUGUGUAGUGAAUGCAGUUUGGGGGGGGGGGAGCUCAGAGUGUCCUGGGCCCCUCAUUGAAACCAGCAGGGCCCACAGAGGCAUAUAUAUAUAUAUAUAUAUAUAUAUAUAUAUAUAUAUAUAUAUACAUACAUACAUAUAUACACACACAUUGGAGGGCAGGAGGAGAGGACUCCGGGCCCCCCAGGACUGCCAGGCUUGUGACAACCUUCAUGGUUAUCAUCCCCUGAGGGUGGCUCUGGUUGGGAGUUAUGAUAAUUUAAUAUAUUUCCAAGGGAGGGCUGGUUACAUUUGGCCUGGUGGGAGGCAACUGCAAAUAAAUAGCCCAGUGUGAGACCAAAUUAGUUUACUCUACUCCUUUUAUAAUUUUACAUGUGUUUUAUACAAUAGUACAAGGAUUGUAAUACAAUAACAAAAGGAUACAGGUACACGAUAUAGUUUAGUACUGUCAUGUGAGGCAGCAGCCCACUAUCCUUGCUAUAUUAGCAGCCCAGGGGGCAAUUGUGUCCCUUGCCAGUGCUAGAAUAUUAAAAAACCCAUAGAGCGAGCUGUCCUAGCGAAAGCACAGACCCCUUUCUUGCAGCAACAUGAUGAACAUGUAAAAUGAAAGAGUAUGUAAGUAGAACAAAGCCUUAUAAGCAGGGCCAGAUUAAGAGCCCAGUGGGCCUGGUGCUGACAAUUAUGAUAAAGCCUAAUUACAGAAUCUUAUCGGCCAAAAACACUAAAACACUAAAACCUUUCAAGCGUCAUGUAUCUGAUGGAGUUGGUGCUAGAAGAAAACUCAAAGGAUGCAGUUAUGAGAAAACACAUACUCUAUGCUAAUCUCUUUAUCUAAUGUAUGGUUUCAUCUUUCAAGUAAAUCCAUACCCCCUAACAGCAGUGUCCAGUGAAGCAGGAAGUCAAUGGGUAAAAGGGUGGGUCACUGGCGGGAAUCACGUGACCAGAACUGCCAAAAGGGGUGAACAUGCCCAAAAAGGGAGCAUGUCUGUCCAAAGAAUUGGAAGGCCAGCCUGGUAUCAGUGUCCUUAUGUAUCACAGUGUCUGUGUCCCCAUGUCACCCAGUACCCUAGUCUCACAGUGCCUGUGUGCCCAUUUCUCCCAGUGUCCCCAUGUCUCAGUGUGUCACUAGGAUACUAGGGGACACUGAGAGACAUGGGGAAACUGAGAGACCGGGGACCCUGAGACACUUGGGGACACUGGGAGACAUGGGGGCACUUGUGGAUACAGACAUGGGGACACUGGGAGAAAUGGAGACACUGAAGACAUGGAGACACUGGGAGAAAUGGGGUCACAGACACUAGGGACAAAGAGACAUGGGAACACAGACGCUGGGAGACUAGGGGAAACUUUGAGACAUGGGGACACUGAGACACUAGGGACACUGGCUGGGAGGCAUGGAGACACAGACACUUGGCGACACUGGGAGACAUGGGGCCACUUGUGGACAUAGACAUGGGGACACUGGGAGACUGGGGGCACAGACACUGGGAGACAUGGGGACACAGACACUGGGAGACAUGGGGACCUUAAGACACUAGGGACACUGGCUGGGAGACAUAGGGACACUGGGAGACAUGGGGACACUGAUACACUGGCUGGGAGACAUGUGGACACUGGGAGACAUGGGGACACAGACAUUUGGGGACACUGGGAGACAUGGGGACACUGAGAGAUAUGGGGACACAGACACUGGGAGACUAGUGGACACUGGGAGCCAUGUGGACACUGAGACACUAGGGACACUGGCUGGGAGACAUGGGGACACUGGGAGACAUGGAGACACUGUGUCCCUAGUGUAUCUGUGUCUCAAUGUGUCUCUGUAUGUCUCACAGCAUCCCCAUGUGUCUCAGCGUUCCCCAUGUCUCACAGUGUCCCCUAGUGUCUCAGUGUCCCCAUGUUUCCCAGUGUCCCCAAGUCUCCCUGCUGCCUUUUCCCCCAACCUUCACAUACCUGAACUGUAGUCUGUCUCUGCAGGCUGGAAGCUGCUGUCUGGAAUCUCUGUGCUGUGUAGCUGCUCCCCUGUGGAUCAGUGAGUAGAGAGAGGCAGGGUUAGAUGCUGUAACUUCCUAUCCCUGCCAGUCUCCAUACACAGUGACCCCUACUGGCCGGUGCUGGUAUUGCAGAGUAAUCUCUGUUUAUACUGAGAAAAAUGUUUGCGUUUGUAUUGCCGGGAUUACUGCAAUACCGUCACUGCCAGGCAGCCUCAAAUACUGGCUGUGCCUUAAAAUACCAGUCAGGUGGCAAACCUAAGAGUAGUGUGUAAAAAAAAAGCGGACACCUGGAUGUUCGGGUCCGACGGGUUCUGCCGAACUUUGAAAAAAAGUCCGGGUUCGGGCUCGAACUUGACUCCGAACCUGAACCCCAUUGAAGUCAAUGAGGACCCGAACUUUUGGGCACAAAAAUGGCUCUAAAAAACUCCUGGAAAGGGCUAAAGGGCUGCAAAAGGAAGUAACAUUGGGGUAAGAGUAGGACACGUGCCCUGCAAACAAAUGUGGAUAGGGAAAUCACUUAAAAUAACAUAAAAUAAGCAGCCGCUUAGUAGAUACACGCAUAUCACACACUUUUAAUACACCCAUUACAAAUAUCACACACAGCCAACACAUAGCAUACAUAUCACACACAGUCAUCAAACCUAUCACAUACACAGACAACAAAAACAUUACAUCAUACAUGGAUGAUGGGGGUAGGGGAGUAGGGGCGCUGUGAAGAUUUUUCGCACAGGGCGCCUAAAGGCCUAAGGCUGGCCCUGUAUGUAACAUCCUAUCCCUUCUCUGUAUAGGCACUCACAGCACCUACACCUAAUUGAUACGUCCCGGCAGAACGUGUGUGAUCCCAGGACUCAGACAUUAAUGCUCACCUAUGCUCAAUAAAGUUGCUCAGGGUGCACAGGGAGAACAUUUGAUUUAACCUGCUGGUUCGGCGAAGGCACCCUCACAACCAUAGAGGUCUGAGCCCAGGCCCUAGGCAACAGCCUACACCACCUUGAGUGUAAUUUGACUUUGAAUCUCCCCCUCUGUAUUUUGGAGAUGUACAACUGAGAUGUAGGGGGUACAAGACUCUGAGUUACACAGGUACCAGAGAAGACCUGGAGUGGCAUGGGGUCUCAGGGAAUAAGAGGUAAUAUUGAUGCAAACAUAACAGAAAGUGACAAGGUGCUGAACUUCUCAAGAGAACAAAGACAUGCAGUGCAUUUUCUGUGUCAAGUAGCAGUUUGUUCUUGUCUAGCACUAAGGACAGGGCAGUCCGAGAAGUAGUGUAAUUGAACAAACAAACCAGAGAUAUUGAGAACCAGAACACAGAGGAAGCGUAAUGGAGAAAGGUUCUGAUUGGGUUUCAUGUAGCAAUAGCAAAUACAUGCACUGUCUAGAGCUCACCUGGGGAAGUUACAGGCCUCAUUAGGAAUGCUGUAUUAUCUGUAUCAUUGUUUAUAUGAGCGUGCAUGUGUCAUUUCUAUUUCCAUCAUUAUCAUGUGAUACACAACUUUGAACCUCCGUAGUAGCAACUAUGACCAAAAACAGUCCCUGGUGUGUCAGGAAAGAUGGCCUACAAUGCAGAGUCACGAUAAGAGUAUUUAAAAUAAAAAAAUUAAGAGAAUAGUAAAGUUUGCGAAAUACAAAAAUGGAAAUUCUAGACUACUUAUGUUUUACAUUAAACCAAUGGAUCCUGAAAGUAGUCUAUGUUCUGCACAUGGUAUUAGCUUAUGGACUCUUUAUUCAUAUGUAAAAUUAUCUUUACAAAACACUAUGAAGAAACACUAUAGUUCUUAUGGUGACAGGAGUGCCCUGGGGACCACACAUUGUAAGUAGUCAAACUAUAUUUUAAAACUUGGAUUCCUCCCUUGGAUUUGCUGGGUGCCGAUCCCAGUCUCUACUGCAGCUACAGGAAAGCUGGACGCACCUUCAUAGGAGCUUAAAUUAGCUCUCCUGAGCUAAGCCAUGCAGUGCAGGGUUAGCUCAUUGGCUGAGAGUGUCAGCUCCUUGCUCUCAGUCAAUUACCUAAGCCACUGGGCUUAAUGGAGAAGAAGUUGUUUUUUCUCUCCUAUAGCUAUGCUAGAAAUGUGGAGUGGCACAUAACAAACACUAGGUAAAACGUCAAACUAUUCUUAGUGGUUAUAAUACUUAGAGUGUUCCUUUAAUUUGCUUCUCCCCAAUGUCAGAGGGAUCUCCAUUACACUAGGGUGAGUAAUGCUACAACAGUGAACAAUUUAUCGAGGACAGUAACUUGGGACUGGUGCAAUGUGACAGACUGCUCCAACCAGCAGUGAACUAAUUAAAAUAAUUUCAACACAGACCCAAGGGUUAUGAAACAUUGCAUUAAACACAAUAUAAUGACACAACAAACAACAAAGGAGCUUAAAAAAACCUGUACAUUGUUUGCAUAUAUUAAAACAUGGCUUGGAUGAGAACAGUGCAUGUUUGUAAAUUUAAGUAAUUUGUGUUUAGAAUAUUGGGAUGCUUGGGGUAAUACGAUCUAUGUUUAACACUAUCCAUGCUAUUUUAUUGAAUAAGAAAAAAAAAAUUUCAUUCAAUUUGACACAUUUUAUUAAGGUUUUGGGGUACAGAAAGGAAAGAGGGGCUUCAGGGGGUGAUUGUCAAUCAAGUAAUCGAUGCAUUGUUUGUCAAGAAAACAUCACGUCAACAUGGUAACAUAAAAAUAACAUAAAGAUAAUGCAGAUAAUAUAGAGAUACACUCCCAGUAUCUGGUUAGUUCUUCUGGGUCUGUUUUGGGUGUAUCUACCAUCUGUUCCGUUCUAUCAAGAAACUAAAAAUGUUUUCUUCUUCAACCAGUCGUGGUUGAGGUUUAACGUCCUGGGUUGACAAUUGGGCAGGGUACAGGAAAGAAAAGAGGAUGGGGGGUGGGUAGGAAGGGGACGCACAUAGUAGUAAUCUCGUCAAUGAUUCUAUCAAUGGUUUGUUGGCUGCGUACCUUACUACCUUAUGUUAUCUUAGGGGAGGGGAGAGCUCCCCCCCGCUCCUGGUCUUCCCUCGUUAGUAGCUUUACAUGUAUAAUUAUCCCAUAUGGAUUUGGCUUUGAUGGUGUUGGGGUUAGAGGCUAUGUAGGAGUGAGAAUAAGAACAUUUUAAACAUAUAUAUUAGCGUCUUCUUUUUUUUUUUUUUUUUUACUGAAUGUAUUAAUAGCCCAGGAGAUUUAAACUAUUUAUACUUGCAAUUAUCAUCCUAUUAGGAUGAACCUAUUAGUUGGAAAUACGUUAAAUAGUUGGAUUUAAACCUAUAGGUUAAAAAUACGUGUAAUAGUGUUUGUCAAUUUCUUUUUUAAUUAGUUGAAAAAAAAGAUAGGCGUAAAAGGACUACCUAAUAUUAAAAGCUAUUUACCGUCUAGAGUCAAUGUUGGAUAGAGAUAAUAUAAACUAUUUCAACUAUUUAGAGUGCCUCAUUGCAGGCUUAUAAAUAUUCUAACAGCUUUCGGAACAGCAAUUGAUUGAGAACCAGGGAAAAAGCCACCAGAGGCAUGUCUAACUCUGCAGCAAAACAUUGUAUCUUCUAAAUGGCAACGUUUUAAAUUGCAGGGUACAAACGUAAGGACCAGUGCACCCAGACCACUUAAUUGAGAUGGUCAUUUAUUUAAAAUGGGAAAUAAUUGCAGCAGAUGUGAAUGGGGAAGGGAGGGGAUGAGAGGGAGCAAACAUGUUAGGGGGCUAAUACAGGACUAGUCAGGAGAUGCAAUCAGUAGAGAAAAUAAAGAAAAGAUGGUGGAAGAAAGUGAUUUCUUACUUAUUCAUUUUUUUAAAGUAAGAACUACAAGGUAUGGAAUGUGCUGCCUAGACAGAUUGUAUUCUGAAAUUCAGUAACAGUAUUAAAAUAGGAAUUUGUAAUGGUCUUUUUAAGAUAAUUUUGGCUGUAAUAUUUUAUUUAACACAUUUUCAGUCUGAUUGUUUGACAGUUUAUUAAUCUGAUUGCCAAAUUAAAGUAAAAAUGAAUAUUUCCCUUUUUUUGGCAACACUGGAAAUCAUUUCCAUGAUAUGUAAAAAGUUAAACAUGAUGUACCAUAGGAAAUGAGUCUCAGUCCAUGUAAUAAAAGUAAAUACCAAUUCAGUUGUGACCAUUCAUUCCUCUGAUGCGAAACGCAUCAUGUGACGAUUGCAGAAGGUGUACCCGGAACUCCCCAUGCGAGUAAAGAACUAUGGAUGACAGAUACAGGAGGAGCAAACUGAAAUUCAGUUCAAAUUCGGUCGGUUUUGGUUCUUAAAUUGUUUGGAGUUGUAAACGUACCACUUAAGUAUCAACCCAUGAAAUAGAAGCGGAGUGAUACAUUUAAGGGGACACUAUAGGCACCCAGACCACUUUAGCUCAUUGAAGUGCUUAGGUGCAAUGUCCCUGUCCCCCUUUAGUCCUGUAAUGCAAAACAUUGCAAUUUUAGAGACUGCACUAAGGCUGCCUCCAGUGGCUGCCUAGUAUACAGACACUAGAGGCACUAUCAGGAGUUUACUGCACUCUAGGACCCUUACAUGACUCUGGACGUCCUCACUCUCUGCAUGUGGAAUGUCAGUGAAAUCUCCAUAAUUGAUUCAGUGCUUUCCUAUGAGGAGGGCCUAAUGCAUUCUCUGCGCUUAAUGUGCAUGUGCAUUAGGUCCCCCUAUUGGAUGACAUUGGAGAUGGCAGAGUGCUGACCUGCCUCCGAGAUUGGCGCUUGAAUCAGGUGAAUCAGCCUUUACGUGCCAUCGCAGUGGGGAGGCUGCCGCGAGGGGGAGAGGGAGGGGGACCAGAGUGCACACUAGUGUUAGGAUUACAGAUUUGUAUACCUUACACUAUAAAUUAUCUUUAAGCCUAUAUAGCCAGAGCUGGUUUGAAUUUAUAGAGGCGGAGCAAAUUUGUUGUUCCAGCACAUUUGGAGGCCAAGGCAACACCUUGAACUCUUUGUCAUUCUCGUCAAACCAUUUUCAAAAUUAGUUGCAGGGCUAUUGCUUUUGUUAUGUUUAUUUAAUACUAUUCAUGGAAUCAUACACAAUCCUUUUAUUAUGGGUUUUUAUUGUGCAAGAAGUUUGAUGGUACCAUUCAGAAUCAGUGACAUGAUGUGUUGUUAUUUUUCAAAUCUUUUUGAUUGGAAUAAUGUUUUACUUGCUCAACUCAAUGAAAAUUACCAAUAAAAAAUGUUUCAAACAUACUUAGGUUUUUUUCAUAAGGGGUGCAUCUAAAACAAGCUUGCAAAAGCUUUAAAUUUCUUGUCUUCAGCCUUUGAAAGUCCUCUCCUUCUAACCCUCCCAGACUUUCUGUGGCUGUCCAAACACAGACUUGCCAAUGCAAUUCAAUAAGACGUCUUUGCAAGGCAAGUGCUCUCUGAAAUUUUUUGUCUCUUGAGUUUAGCUUAAGUGAGCUAACCAAACCAGAAAGUAACGGACUGAAUGUCUGAUUGACAGCCAGGGUGAUGUAACAAGGUUUAUUUAUAAAAGUGCCAAUUUCUAUUGAAAUCUGCAUUUUUCAUAAAAUAAAAAAAAGAACACUUUUUUUUUUUUACAUAUAAAGCACUUCAGCAACAAACCAAAAUCUUGGUAAAUGAGAUUAUGAGAACCCAUUUUUCUGCAUCUUUGGACUAAUACACAAAAUAGGAACAACUGGAUGUUGUAGUACACUCCACUAAUUGGCAGCCUUUGUAAAUAUGAGCAAAGAAGGUUGUGAAAAACUGUCCAUAUUGUUUAACCUUUUAAUCUCAAUGUCUAAAUCACAAACGUAUUCAUUUAUUUUGUAUUUUCCAUUUCAAUUCCUUCAGCGUCUUAGAAGCAAAAUUUAUUACAAAUUCAAGAAGUGGAAUAUUUUUUAUCCGUGCAGUGGGAAUUCUGUAAAUUUUUUGCAUCAUGUUGCAAAGUCAAAAUUAGAUUGAAAACAAAAUGAUCCAUUAUAAAUUUUAAUAAAACAAGAAUUUAUUAGUAGCUUGUUAUUAAUGCGUGUAAUGUGAAUAAUUGGCUGUUUUUGUAUUAUGUUUACUUUUUGUUAAUCAGUAUUCUGAAAUGAAAAUGAACAAUUUUAACAAACCCUUUUUGCAGGCAUUGUAUUAUACGUUACAUAACUGUAUAAUGGAAUAGUAUUUACCAAAAGAUCUUUCAACGUUUUAACUACUUAGUUAAAACAGAUAUUCACAGACAUUUAUUUGUAAUUCGAGGUGUACACAUAGUAAAAUAAAUAGAACAAAACAGAAAUGUUUUGUAAGAUUGUCACGAAUGCUUUAAAAAAACCUAAAUGAUAAAAAUGUAGAAAACUUAGAGGAAAAUUCCAAUCCAACAUUGGUAUCAGCUCAAUUAUAUUUUCUGAUUUACAUUUGAAAUUGUGUUUUCUGCACAAUUUCCAAAAUUUCCCAGCAGUAAUGCUGAUGAAGUUAGAAAAAGUUAUUGGCUUAAAACUGAACUUACCUUCCAUCAUUAUUAAACUUUAGGUCGAUAUUCUGAAAUGAUGAGGUUUACCUGUAAGAUUAUUGCUUACUAAAAUAAUCAAUGUAAAUGGAAGUGUCUGUGCACUUUAAAAUUUGAUCAUGAUCACAGUAUUUCUUAGAGUAAAAUGUGUGAUGUUUGUGUUCUAGAAAAACAGAUGAGUUUGAAAUUCAAUAGUUUAAAUACUGUAUUUAUAAGGUUCAGUAUAUGUUGAUUUUAUUAACCUGUUGUACUACGGUAUAUAGGGGUUUACUUGUGGUUACAUGACAAUACAUGCAUGCUGGAUAUUUUAGGAACACCACCUGGAUUACAGUUGUAGGAUGCAAGCAUGGGAAUAUGUGUGGUCCACUAGGCAUUUGUUCUGUGAGUAUAUCCAAUUCACACCUUGACACAUGGACACUCCACACAAAUAAGUACGCUUGCUCCAGCUCUAUGUUUUAAAAAGGGUUAACUACAACUUCUCCGUAAUAGAAGGAAUGUAGUUUUCAAUGCACAAUUUUAACUUUAUUAUCUCAUCCUAAGCAGAGGGGAGUGGGUUUUGUGAGCUGUAGAAAUAUGCAAUUUUGUCAAACUGCUUAAAAUGGUUAAAAGAACACUAUAGGGUCAGAAACACAAAUAUAUAUUUCUGACCCUACAGUGAGGCAACUGUCUCAUUCAAAGUUAAAACUUUUAAUUGAGACAUUAGUCUCAAAGUGAUGCAUGUCCCUCUUAAAGGGACACUGUAAUCGCUAUAACCAGUUCAUCUCUUUGAAUUGGUUAUAGUGUCUGGAGUGGCACUGGCACUGUCCCUUUAUUCAGUGUUAAAUCAUGUUUAAGCAGUCUAAAACUGAACACUGGCCACCCACAGCCCAGCCCCUUAUGUAGGUGUGGCUAAGGCAGAGAUGACCCACUUCCUUGUAUUCACACCCAUUCACACCAUCAGUUAGAGCUAUGAUAGGCUCAAAGCAGUCAGCUGAUACUCUCAGCCAAUCACAGCUGUCCAUUGCUGCUCAGGCUAAUACUUCCUCAUUUGCAAAAGCAGCACAGAGGGGAUGGGCUACCGAGGACUCUUGUUUAGCAUUAUGACAUAAAUACAUUAAAAACUGUUUAAUGCUGAAUGGAAUUAUGGAACUUGGGGACUCCAGACACUAUAAUUAGUUUAAUGAGAUGAAGCAGACACAGUGCCUACAGUGUCCCUUUAAGCUUGACUGCUAAUGGAGCCAUUCUCAAUGAACUGAUAGUGGUUACAGUGUUUUUGAAUGUAUAUGAAUGGCGGGAUAGUGAUCACUUUGUUAAUGGCUCGUUUAGUUAUCAAAAGGGAGAUUCUAAUGCUCCUCUUUACUUUUUCAUUGUGUUCUUUGAAUAAACACUGGGGACUAUAAUGUAUUUGAUUAUACACAUAACUAGUAUUGUAAUAUUUAAUACAGGUUUUGAAAAAUUAAUUAAGUACAGUAUGUAUUUUGUAAUAUUCAAUGGUGUCGGGGCUGCCCAGGAAAACACUUAUCUGGUUCUUGGCUCCGAUGUGGAACCCAGUGUUACAGGACAUGAUGCUAAUUGGUGGCAUCACGGUGUCAGAAUCACACUGGAUGCCUAGAACAAUGGUUCUCAUGGAUAUCCAAAGCCAGGAUAAUCACAUUUGUUACCAAUGAGAUGUCUUUAAGUUAGUCCACUUUUAUAUAUCUUGCUCCAAACAGAUUACUUUUAUGGUUAUUAUCUUAUAACUUAUAGAUAUGUUUUUCAAACAAGCCAUUAUUAAUGACUAUUAAUUCAUACAAAACUAUUAAAAGCCAUAUGUACUAAUUCCAAAGAGUAGGGCAUUCUUCGACUGGCAUUUUAUUUGCUUUAUUUGUAAUGAAUCUUCUGGUAUAUUUGGGAAUGCUGAUACUGUUUGCUUUUGAAUUCUUGUAUUUAAAAAUCCAUCGAUUCAUUAACAGUACAUUCAAGUUUUCAGAGACUGCAAAAUAAAACAUAGAAUCUGGUCCAACAGUCUCUAUUCUAAAUAAACCCAUGUGAUUUUUACCAUAACUGCUAUGAACAGGCCAGUUUAGUUUUAAAAUUUGGAAGUUUCGUACUUAUGUCCCAAAUGACAAGGCCGUUGUUUAAAAUUCAACUAGCAUAAGGGCUGAAUGUUUUAUUUUUUUUCUCUUUUAAAAAAAGUGAACAAUUACACCCUAAAACUGUCACAUAAAUAAAUGUAGUUGUUCGAAGAAGGGUAUUAAAGAACAGAGGACGAGUGUGUCAGGCUGGCUAAUGUCACUUCUGUGCAUAUCCUGUGCACAGACACUCACUCAUUGGCUGACAGCACACAGAUGACUCUCUCAGCCAAUAACUGACAGAUUUCACAGCGGAGUUCUACAGAACUCAGCACUGAGGGAAACUCAGCAUCGAGGGAAACUCAGCGCUGGACUCUGGUAAAAGAAGUAAACCAUUACAAAACUGCUUGUCCCAUUGCCAAGGAAAUGGUACUCCUAUCAUCAUAACGUUAAAGCCAAUCCUCCCUCAUACUCGUGAUCACAAUGAUCAUGAUGAAGGAGACUUGAAAUCUAUUUAUCUCUCACUGUAUUAUUUAAUUGAUGAAAGGCUAAUUACUAUUGGGAAAGUCCGACUUUAAAGGAGGACAGACUUCUCUAUUCUUACUGUGAGGGAGGCUUGGAAUGUUCGUACAUAUAGUGUUGCUGGUGGUGUGUCUACAUAUUGUUUCCCUGCAUGUAUUUCACUUUCAGAGCAAUUAUGCUGGGAAAUUCUGGUUAUGAGGUUGAUACUUUGUAUCUGCAUUUUCUCUUAUCUUUCAGCAUCUAUACUUGCAAAACAUAUCUAGUAGAUGCUACAUUAUUAUUAUUAUUAUUAUUAUUGCCAUUUAUAUAGCGCCAACGGAUUCCGUAGCGCUUUACAAUAGUUUGAGAGGGGGGGUGUAACAAUAAAUAGGACAAUUACAAGAAAACUUACAGGAACAAUAGGUUGAAGAGGACCCUGCUCAAACGAGCUUACAGACUAUAGGAGGUGGGGUGUUUGAAACAUUAGGACAAUAAAUAUCAAGUAGGAGUGAAGCAGAGCUGGAGGAGAGAGCAAAGCACUGUCCCACAGGAGAGAGCAGGAGGCAGGUAUGUAAGGUAGAGAUUACUCUGGGAGGCCAUAAGCUUUCCUGAAGAGAUGGGUUUUAAGGCCCUUCUUAAAUGAUUGAAGACUAGGGGAGAGUCUGAUGGCAGUAGGCAAGCUAUUCCAUAGGAGAGGAGCCGCCCGCGAGAAGUCCUGCAAGCGCGAGUUGGCCGUACGGUUGCGAGCAGCGGUCAGGAGGUGGUCACGGGCCACCUCCUGACCGCUUACUGAGACAGUGCUAUGCUGAAAUACUAUUAUUUUAACUUCAUUUGAUUGGUGGAAGUAUUUAGUUGUGUUUUUUAGUGAUUAUUAAAGCAAACCAUUUUUGCAGUAUGCGCCACUCAUAAAUUAACUUUAUGCUCAUUUAUACAAAGCAGGCAAAUACCUUUCAAAGUCCCUUCAGGGAAAACCAAUUAAUUGGCACUUAUAUAAAUUGUAGUUGCACAUAUGUUGUCUAUUCAGGUACUUGCAAAUAUGGGAUGAAUUAUGCAGAAAGCCACUAUAAUAACAAUUAAAAAGAUAAUUUAUGGAACAUAAAAAAAAAUCAUUUUCAUUAAACACAGUGUGGUGAGACAUUUUGUAGACACCUUUACUUUUACAUAUUAAAAAAAAAAAAUAGAGCACUAUUAGCAAAUCCGCAAAUUUCCUUCUUCUGAAAAGAGAUUUUCCAGAACAGAAUUUGGCAUUUCCACAGAUUUUACAAAUUGCAACAAUUAUGUAUAAAACCCUGAUUUUAGCACAAAUAUUUGAUCAAUUAUUAUUGAGAUAAUUUCAUGAUAUACAUAUGACUCUUAUGUCUUAUUUAAUAGUAUGAUAUGACACUCACUCAGUCAUCUAUCAAUAUUAAGAGAUGCUGAAGGCUCAUUGGAAUAAUUCGAUCAAUACCCACCCCAGAGUAUGGAAAAAUAACAAUGAUGUUUACCGCUUGUUACACGCCGGCACACACAAAUGAGAUAAGAGCUUGUGUCAUUGAAAUAUGUGGUACGUUAGAAAUAGCAAUGCAAAAAUAGGCGCUCACAAUAUACUAUAGCAGCAGCAGUCAAUCCUACAAGGUUUCCCAAAAUAUUAUGAAAAAACAACAAUCAAAACAAAGUGGAUGUCCCACGCUUAAAUAGUACUGUAACCCUUUAAGUGAAAAUCACAUAUAGAACAUAUAUAAAUACAUAUAUUGUCAUGGUCUUUUAGGUUCAUAACAAAAUACCAAGUAUCUAAAAAAAAAAAGAGAAAUAGAACAGUAAUGGUGCAGUAUGUUUUUAAUUUUAAAUUAAGUACAAUAUUGUGAUGAUUGCACACUCACAGUUUUCUGAGCUACGAAGAGCUCUGCUGUAUUGGACAUAGACGGCAUAAUUCCCGUCACGGAAUUUAUAUUCAGCAGUGCUGAAUGUGUAUUUUCCAAGAUAUCAAGUAUGUAAAAAUAAAAGUGUGAAAAAUCCUAUAGUGCAAUAUGUAUAGUAAAGUGACUGGUCACAAAAUAAAAGUAAGUACACUACUCACAUGGGAUAGAGCAUGGACCUGUUAUAGUAUUGAAGCGUUUUGGUGGAACAAUCACAACCAAGGAUAUAUGUAAUCAGGAAGCCAAAGUAGUAAAAAGUGCAAGCCAAAAUUAAUUCAAAAUAUAUUUAAUUUACAAAGGAAUAACUUUAUUACAACCAAAACAAAAAAGUAUUUAAAACAACCCAAAUAAAUGGUAAAACUACGCUUUACGCAUUUCAACUUGGGGUUUCAUCCGAAGUGUGGUGUGGUAAUGCAUAGUGCCUGUUUAUAUAGGUAACAUGUUAAUACAAUUAAUGAUAACAGGUGUGAUUGGAACAUUUCCAUUGGCUUCCAUUAGUACUUCCGGUUUGUAAUUAUUCCAAGAAGUGAUGUCAUGAGGGUUAGAUACUAUAUACAUAAACUCAUUAGUGGUCUUUAAACACCAAUAGUACUUAAUUGUACUUUCGAACGUCACAUGAAAUGUGACGCUUCGUAAUCGCCAUCCAUUAUGUCAGUCAUGUAAUGCUGGUCGUGAGCGUCACCCAGAAGUAACGUCUCGCAUAGUUCAAGUGUAUCCAAAGCUUCUUACCAUCCAUUCGCGCAUAAGCAUUAAACACAAUCAUGGACGCAUACGCACACAAGCAGCAAACACAUAUACCCACAUGUACAGUCAACUUUCCAACCAGCUCAGCUGAGGUUAGAGAUAAGGAACAGUGAUUGGCAGUGACAUUAGCAGUCAGCGGUGAAGCGAAGGGUAAGGGAGCUGACAGGAAUGAUAAACUUAUGUCCCAGCAUUCACUGCCUGUUAACGAAGAAACACAGAAGGUAGGGGGUUACUAGUUAGUAACUCUCUGCUCCACCUAUGUUGCAUUAACCUCUAACUGCCCAGCAUCCUUUUUUAAAUCACUGCACAGCACUAGAAGUUAGCAUUGUUGUCUAUAGGGAAACCAUGCAUCAACUCUGAUAAGCAACUGCAUAACGUAAAAAAGAUCAAACAUAUAUAAGAUUUACAUUAAAAAUAAAACAAUUAUUCUGAUACCCCCAAGAUGGGCACAAGGCCAAUGUUUAAAUAUACCCCUGCCUCUGUCAUUGUUUUGUCUCUGUUUUCUGUCUUUCUUUAUAGUUCAAGUGCAUAUAAGCAGAGUUCACAGAUCGUUACAGUGAUCAGACAGUCUUUUUAACUUUUCUAAACAAGUUGCAUGGUCUGUGACUUUAUUUUCCGAAUCCCACGUACAGACAGACUAUAGGCAAACAAACUUUAAAAAAAGGAAUGUAUUGUGCACAAGAGUACAGACAAACUUUAUAGCAUAAGACAGUAUAAUGUAGCUGGGUUUAUUAAUGUCCGUAGAGGAACCCAAAGUGUUAACAUUGCUCUGUUUAUUCAGUCUAUUCUUCUAUGUUUAUUUACCCUACAGGACACAUGUAGAAAACCAAUUUCUUUUUAUCUCCCCGUGGUGCCUAGGAAUAAAGAUCAGAGAUCAGAUACAUGGUCAUUCUUCCUAAGCAAACAAUACAACUACAAUCUUACAGUGUAAACAUUGCAGUAAUAGAAUCCCAUCAGUGUAGGAAUCACUAAAUAUUACAAGUAGCAGAUAGCAGUGGGACUGGCAGGUUGGGUAAACCAUUGUGUUAUCAACUCCAGUACUCAAAGGGACAAAAAUCAUCCCCACUUAUCCACAGGUUAACUGGCAAAAUGCCUCAAACUGGUUUUGUGUGUAGAUUUUCCAUGUCAGUGAUAUGUAGGAUCCUACUAAAAUAUAGGAUGACAUUCAUAUAUAUUUACCAGUUAUAAAUAAUGAACUUUAAUACACAGGAUGGGCCAAAAUACAAAGUAGGGUUUGAGGCAUUAAUACAAAAACAAAUAAAUGAUACCACACUCCAAAAAACUAAUGCUUAAAAUAUAAGGAGGUUUUAAUUCAAAUUAUAGAUAAAAUCAGAGGCAAUUAAUAGCGCAUCACUUCAUACACUUGUGAAAUAGAAAAACCUGAAUUCAUAUUAUGUACAAAAUAAAAGGCAUAAUCCAUAUAUAUAUAUAUAUAUAUAUAUAUACACACACACACACACACACACACACACCAGUCAAAAAAAGCAAUUCAUAAUUAGACUAAAUGGACAAACAAUGUCUUGAAUCCUGACCACAUCAAAGGUACAUACUAUAAUGUGUAUUGAGAGGUAUCUCCUACAGUAAUAUUUAUUUAUUUAUAAAAUAUUUUACCAGGAUGGAUACAUUGAGAUUUCUCUUGUUUUCAAGUAUGUCCUGGGUCCACUGUAUACUUGAAUUGUUUGGUACUAUGGGUAUAACUCUCUUAGGCAACUCCAAGGCCUUAAAAAAGAAAAAAAGACUGGAAAAAGGAAAAAUGAAAAAAGUAGAAAAAAUAAGGAAAACAUAUGAAAUACACAAGUUUGCAGCUUAAAAAAAACAGUAAAAACAUACAAAAAGAAAGUCACUCUUUAGUAGAUUUUCUGAAUACUCAAAAAAAAUAAAACAUUUUUAAAAAUGGUUAGAUCUCCCCAAAAGAUGACGUUCAGGUUCAGGUUCAGAUCACCAGGGGGCUGAGCGCUUGGGAUCACCAUCCCUUCGAAAACCCUGGCGGUGAAUAAAAGAGUAGGGCUAUUUAAAGCCGAUUCACAUGGCACCAUUCGUGGCAGGGCACGUCCCCUGUAUAGCAUUCCAACGGGGCAUGACGACAUGUAAUGGAGAUCCUUGCCAAAUGCAUACAUGCUUGUCAUUACAUACCUGUGGUGACGUCAUGCGUCUGUAUGAUAAACUUUAUUUACAAUAAACAAAACCAAAAAGGACACAAUUAAAAGAAUAUAUACACACAUAAAACAUGAUACUCAACACAUUGUAUAACUCGUUCUGCCGACUUGUGCUACAAUGUAAUUACAGGACCCACCAUUGUGACAUGCUAAAGGCACUAAACUGGCUGUCGCUGGAAUCCUAAUGCACUCUUCAUCUUUCCAGCCUUGUGUUUAAGAGCUUUUCUGGGAAACUCCCACCCUAACUGAACAAAAUGCUUUCCCCAGCUGUUCCCACUUCCUAUAAGCUCCGAUCCAGUACCAACACUUUACUUAGUCUAUCUCAAUACAAAAAGAAAACGGCCUGAUCCUCCUUCUCCUACAGAGCACCGCAAUUGUGGAACGACCUCCCGCACAAAUUUAAAAUCAUCCCUAAGCCUAAAGUCCUUUAAGAGAUCCCUCUCUACAUACCUCAAAACAGAAUGCACCUGUCAUGGUUGAUUAUAUAUUUCCUACCUGUUCUAUGUUAAAUUUUGUAUUUAUUGUGUAUUAAUAUUGUUGUUGUAUUUUAUUGUACCCUAAUGUAACAAUGCAAUGAUUUGUGGACCCAGGACAUACUUUAAAACGAGAGAAAUCUCAAUGUAUCUUUCCUGGUAAAAUAUUUUAUAAAUAAAUAUUUUAUAAAUAAAUAACUUUGCUUUAUUUAUAACUGAUUUAGAAUAAUUAAUACAGGGAGUAGGGAUCUCCUAUAUAGGGAAAUGGGGAGCCAGAGGCAAUAAUGAAGUAAAAAAUUAUUUUAGCUGGUAAUGAUUGAUACACCAGUGGAGAGGGAAAAAAUACUUUAUAGAACUUAUUGAAAAUAUGUGAGAAAUACUAAUAUGGAAAAAUUAAAAAAAAUGAAAAAUAGAAAAAUACAAUAAAAAUUGAGGAAUCAAAAAAAGUUGAUGACAAAUAAGGACCUGUUUAAGAAAUAAAAAAGAUUAUUAAUAGUGAAAGAUAAUGAAUGAAAAAAAUAAUAAUAUAAUUUAAAAAAAUAAGAAAUCUAAAAAUUAUAAAUAAAUAAUAAAAUUGAAAAGGGAAAUACAAAAAGAAACAAAUAAUGUAAAAAAUAUCGUGAAAAGAAAAUCGUAAAAAGGAGAAAAAUAAGAAAAAAAUAAGGAAAAAAAGAAAAAAAGUGUAGAAAAAUAUAUUGAUAAUUUGGAUCAACAUCACAGUGAUUCCUUAAAGGAACUAGUACAAGUACUCACCAGCAGUGUUGUGUAUGAAAUACCUGUGGGAACCCAUGUGGGAACCUGUAUAUAAGGCAGGUAUCGGACCAAACCUGGUCAAUCUGGUAUAAGUAGAAAGAGGAGCAAAUAUAUGGAAAAUCAGCCUAUAAGGCACUAGAUUAGAAGCUGAAGAAAAAUUAAAAAAAUAUUCUUUAAUUAUACAUCCUUGAGUAUUAAACAAACAGCAUAAUAGGCUACAGGAAGAAUAUUUGUUAAAAAGCAAAAGUGAAGAAUCCUAUAUAGGUUGUCCCUCCAAUAAUGGGAGACAAACCCAAUUCCUUAUUCAAGUGUUUCAUAGAUAGUGUUUAGGGUCAUAGUCUUCAUUGAGCCCCAUAAAAUGCAAAGUCUCUAAUGUGCUAAUCCACUUUGUCUCCUUUUGUAGCAAUAGACGCUGUCUAUCGCCUCCCCUCCAUAAAGGAGGGACGCUGUCUAUGACCUGGAAGCGCAACUGGUUGACACUAUGACCAUGUUGUUUAAAGUGCCUGGGUACUGGUGCUUCACUAGUGCUUCCUGAUAAUUCUUCUCUAAUACCCCAUUUAUGUUCUCCAAUACGCUCCUUUACAGGUCUUAUGGUUUCUCCCACAUAGAUCAAACCACACAGACACUUCAGUAAAUAUACCACAUGAUCUGACAUACAUGUAUAGUAGUUGUUGAUCUGAUAUCUUUUACCAGAGUGUGGGUGAACAAAACAAUCUCCCUUGAUUACACUGUUACAGUGUAUACAGUCUAAACAAGGGAAUGUCCCUUUCUUUGGUUCAGAAAAAACUUUUGUUGCUUCUUUUUGCUGCCAAUAUCUGACUUAACUAAGUGAUCUUUUAAAUUCUUAGCUCUCUGAUACGUAAAUAUGGGAGCAUUCUUAAAUUCCACGGGUAAAUGUUCAUUGCCCUCAAAUAUUUUCCAAUGCCUCAAUAUUAUUUUUCGCAGUUCUUUAUUUACUGGAAUAUAUGGUGAGAUGAUGGGAAUCCUAGUAUUGUUAGUCCUAUCUUUAGUAUUAUAGGAGUACUUGUUCUCUAGUUAAGUUUACUCGCUGAUGUUGUUUGUUGACUAAUUCCACAGUGUAUCCAUGUAUAAUGAACUUAUUACACAUGUAAUCAAAUCCAGUUUGGACCUUAUCCUCUUGCGACACUAUUCUGCGUACAUGUAAUUGUUGGCUAUGUGGAAGACCAUCCCUAAGGUGUUGUGCAUGAUCUAUUAUAUGUCAGUUAAUUGUUCCUAUCUGUUGGUUUGGUGUACAGGUCACUAUGUAAUCUAUCAUCCAUUCUUUAGAUCUGGGCAUCCAAAAGCUGUAUAGUGUAUCUGUUACAAGUCAUAGUAAAAAUUAUAUUGGGGUCUAAUUGGUUAAGCUGUUGAAAAAAAUUGUCCAAUUGUAUUUUUGUACAUACAAAAUAUCAUCAAUAAACCUCUUCCAUAAUAAACAACAGGAGAAUAGAAGCAGUUGGUAAAUGCCCAUUUCUUCCAAGCAGUUUAUAAAUAUAUUAGCAUAUGUUGGGGCUACAUUAGAACCCACUGCCGUACCCUUAAUUUGUUUAUAAAAUUGAUCUUCAAAGAGAAAAUUGUUUUCAGUCAACACAAUUCUCAAUAUAUCCAAUAUGUACUGCCUAGUGUGUGUGAAUUGUGCUAUCUCCUGAUCUCUGCCUAGUGUCCAGUCCACUGCGUGUAUACCACCUUUGUGGUAUAUAAGGCUUGCACAUUCAAGGAUACCAACCAUAAAUCCUAAUUUCCCUCAGGGAAAAACCUUCUAUUAAUCUCAGAAACCCCGUAGUGUACUUGAUAUAUGUUUUUUGAGUGGAUAUAUAUUUUAUCAAGAACUUAUCUAGAAUCUCUCUGCUGGAGGUUGCAAUAUGGAUCCUGUCCCGCUCACUAUGGGUCUGCCUAGUGGAAAUUGAGGAUUUUUGUGAGUUUUGGGCAAUGUGUAAAAAACAUGAUUGAUACACCAGUGGGGAGGUGAUUCGGGGUAGCCGAAUAUCUCCAAUUCAUGUAUCUAUAUCCCCCCUCUGUAAUAAUACCUUCAGUUCUAGCCUUUUCAUUAAUUUUUUGAAGUGCAAUUUUCCAACUGUGGGAUGGAUCUCUAUAAUUAGGGAGAUAAUUAGUAGUCUCGCUAAGCUGAGCCUUAAUUUCAUUUAUAUAGUAAUCACGGUUCAUUAUCACCCCCUUCCUGUAAAGUGCUUUGUGAUGAUAAAGUUGGGACAUUGAUCAUAGUAGAUGUUACCUGUGGUUCUCCACCUUCUGCUGGUGAAAAAUAAGAUUUUAAUUUCAACUGUAUAAAGAAUCUGUACAAAGCAACAUUAUAAUCGUGCCAGAGGGGUUUAUGGGCCGGGACAAAUGAAAGUCCUUUGUUUAAUGUAUUUUCUUCUAGGGGAGUUAAUGGCCUACCUGAUAUAUUGUGAAUUAAGGUCUCUGCCUGGUGGAUAGGGGUCUCCCUUUCAUUCUUUCCUUUGAGGAAUUAAUAAUGUUUUUAUUAAUUAACCAGUAUUCAGACCGACUACAUGUAAUGCUUUCAAAACUCAAAAAUAAAGAAUGUUAAAAAAAAAAAAUUGGGAGAUAUCCACUCAAUGGAAUCCCUAACUGCAGACCUCCAUGGUAGGCAGGAGCAGUGUGCACUGACCUGGCACCCUUGGGCAACAUACCUAGCCAACAGAUCAGCAAACCCAAGCAUGGCUCCCCAGAGGCCCGCAGAAAGCCGACUCAUACAGAGCUAAGCUACCCAUCUACCCCUAUUCCCUGUGUCUCUUACCUCCCGCCCCCUUUCCAUGACUGGACACCAGACCGAACCCCGAACGACUGACGCUGACGAGCCCGCAUAAGGGGCAUAUUUAUAUACACACUCAUUGUAAGCACAGGAGCAGAACACACAGGGAAUCGAGACCAAAUAUAAUGUUGAUACCGGCAUGACAACAUACCGCCUGACUACCUUGACUGGUAUCCAGCGUACCCUUCCAUAUGCCGAGCCAUACCGAUAAGCAUACAAAUAUACUCACGGACAACUGCCUACCCACAGUAGAGGAAAACUUUAUCUAAAACACCACACUUGGCUCUCACCCAAGUGAUCUGAUGGCCUGAUUGUAAAUAAUUGCUUGUAGACUUUGGAGGUGUGAAGGCACUAAAUGUUUUUUCGCUACUGUAGCUCUAUAUCAUGCUCAACAAUAUAAUUGUCAAGCGAUAAAAGGGAACAUGAUGACUGUAACAUAGUACAACCAAAAUGCUAACACAAAUGCCAGACAACCUUGUCUGACAUCCAGUGGGUUCUCGCAAGGGAUCAGACAUACUUCCUCUCCUCCCAUCAUUUCACAGUAUAAGUACCUGACUACAGGAGUGAAAAAAUUUUGUUUGUAUACUGACAGUUGAGAUGUAAUAAUGCAAAAUGUUCUUCGACAUUGUUGUUUUUCAAACGUGAAAUGGAAAAUAAAGAUUGUCAAAAAAAAAUAAAAUAAAAAAUUGGGGAGAUACCAAAAAAGCUGACAUUUGCUAAUGAACUGUAGGCCAAAAAAAAAAAGAGAAGUUAAAACCUAAAUAAUUCAAAUCGAUAUAGACGAAGACUAAUAAACACACUGUUACAAACACCUGCUUAUUUUGUCCCAACUAUAUAUAGUACAAAGGUUUUGCAUUAAGUCUGGCCAUUCUGAGACAUUGACAGUAAAACUGAUGAUAGUCAAGUAUAGCGAAAAUUAAAAAAACUCAUAUUUAUAUUGUAGGUAUAUCAGAAUAAACAUUGCAGUACAGCUUCUCCCUACCGAAGUAAGUACAACUGUGUUAUUGAUAUCUAGUAUUUAUGAUUUGUAGAGGUAUCUACGCUCUGGUAGGAUUAUUCAUUAAAGUUAAAAUACAAAGUGAAUUUCAAAUGUAAGGUCAAAAUAGUCAAAAUGGAAAAGUUCUUAAAGUCUGUUGUGCUUUCAGUAUGGCUACUCUGGCCCUCAAUUUGAAAUUCAAUUUGAAUUGACUUUGAAUUCCCUAUUUAGUGAAGAACCCUGUGAGACGUGUUUCUGAGAGAUCUUUCUUGCAGAAUCAAAAAAGCAGAGCUGGGAGACUAGAGAAGAAGGAUGAGCUUAGAAGAAACAUUUCAUGAGAAACAUUCAGCUCUGACAUUACACAAAGUGGAGCUAAAGUAUGGAGAUCCAGAACUGGACACCUUAUUGGCAUCCUCCUGCAUAACAUUAUUGGAAUUGUUUACAGACCAGUAUUUUUUAUAUUAUAUGCGAGCUUUGUGUAAUUUAGAUGUAAGCCUGUUCAAUCAUUUAGAAUACACUUACUCUCUUACAUUUGUACAUUGUCAUACUUUUUCUCUUUCUUUAUAACUCCCAAAGAUGAGUCAUGGAAGAAUUUCCAUUCCAAAGCACCAUAGCCAUCAAGAGUAUGGUGGAUGAUCGGUAAGAUAUAUAAAUGUUCAUCACUAUUAUGGUUUUGUUUUGUUUUUCAGCCUGUAUGAUGGAUACACGAGUGGAGAUUAUUGCAACACCAGAAGCAUUCAUUUCAUGAUUUAUUUUAAUGUGCUUCCUUUGUUUGUUUUUUUUAAAUUUAUUCUGUAGGAAUAAAUGCCAAGUAGCAGAAAGUUAGUCCAGUUCCACCAGAUGUCCCCAGAGCUUGAUACAUGUAUUACAUAUGCAAUAAAUCAUAUAUAGACAGAAAAAGAAACAAAGGAUUCAUUAGCCUCAAAAAUUAUUAAAUUGCGAGAGUGAUCUUUCCCAUAUGUAUAAACUAAUUUUUAAAAAAUAAUUGAAAGCUAAACAAAAAAGCAUCUGUUUAGGCAGAAAAAUAUUUUAUGACAAUUAAAAAAUGUAGUACUGAUUCUCCUCUUUCGCUCUCCAUUCAAGUUAGUGGUAUCCACAUAAGUCCAUCCUUGCAAGCGCACUGUCUUGGCAUCAUACUUGAUUCUGGCCUCACCUUUGAGCCUUACAUCCAGUAUGUUGCCAAAUCCUGCAGAUUCCAUCUUACAAACAUAGCCCGCAUCCACCCCUUUCUUACACAAGAUGCUACCAAGGAGCUUGUCCAUGCUCUAGUAAUUUCCCACCUGGAUUAUUGUAAGCCUCUCCUAAUUGGUCUUCACAUAAGCUGUAUUGCCCCGCUACAGUCUGUAAUGAAUGCUGCCGCCAGACUGAUUUUCCUCUCUAGUCAGUCCUCUCACACCUCACCCCUCUGUCAGUCCUUACAUUGGCUUCCUGUAUCCUACAGAAGUCAACUCAAAGUGCUAACCCAUAACCAAAGCACUGAACAAUUCUAGCCCCUCUUAUAUCUCUUCACAGAUCCAUAGGUAUGCCCCUUCUCGGUCUCUCUCCUCUGCCCGGGACCUUUUCCUGUCUGCUGCUCGCAUCCAUACGGCCAACUUACGCUUGUAGGACUUCUCGUGGGUGCCUACCUACCACCAUCAGACUCUCCCCUAGACUUGCAUCUUUUAGGAAGUGCCUUAAAACCCAUCUCUUUAGGAAAGCUUAUGGCCUCCCAGAGUAACCUCGACCUUACAUACCUGUCUCUUGCGCUCUCCUAAAGGGCAGCACUUUACUCUCUCCUCCAGCUCUGCUUCACUCCCACCUUAUUUGAUUGCUAUUUCCUAUCCUUAUGUGUUUUAUACCCCACCUCCUAUAGACUGUAAGCUUGUCUGAGCAGGGUCCUCUUCAACCUAUCUUUCCUGUAAGUUUUCUUAUAAUUGUCCUAAUUAUAGUUAAACCCACCUCUCAUAAUAUUUUAAAGCGCUAUGGAAUCUGUUGGCGCCAUAUAAGUGGCAAUAAUAAUAAUAAUAGUAAUGUGUCUUUUUUUUCCUUUUGCUUAUAUUAUUACAGGUCUAUAUAUGAUGCCACAGUAUGUUAAAUAAAGAGGAAAAUAUUUUUUGUGAAAACUUUGAUUAAAUAAAAUAAAAAUAAAAAACGUAGAAUGUAGUGAUAAUGACAAUCACUGCCUUACAGGGAGAUGUCCUUUGUACCUAGUAGUGAGGAUAUAGAAAUAAAUUAAGCCAUUUACACAAUUAAAACCCAAAAUAAUUAUUCAUAACAUGUUUAAAGUGUUGUCAGUGUGGGUUAUUAGUUAUGCUUAUAAAAAUAUAACUCUCGUUCCCAGGGAGACUAUUUCCUUUUGAGGAAACCAGCACAAACUAGUGGAACACAUUAUGGAACUGUGCCAUGACACUACAAGUGACACAUAAAACCAAACGUAAUAUUAUAGAAGAAGUGUUUCCAGAAAGAAUGUUGAAUUGUAUGAACUGAAAUCUGAAUGAUAAAUUUAAGACCGAUAUAGUUAAAAGGUUACUCCACGUAUCAUAACCGUAAAUGGUUUAGCAAGUAAGCAUUAAAAUGAGGUGUAGCCAUUUUGUCCCCCACCUAUUGGAAGUGGGUGGUGGUCCUAAAUAAAUGGGGGGGGAGGGGGGGUAGAGCAGGGGUUCUCAAGCCCCUAGUCAACCAACUUAGAAAAGACAAUUUUUACCCCUCUCACCACAAUAAAAGUGAAGGGAGGGCAAGUAAAUGAAAGAAAUGUAAAAUAAAAAUGAAUACUUACCAUUAGAUGUCUUUUUUAUUCUUCCAUCUUCUUUUCUUGAACCACAUAAAAAUCCAUAAAGAUUUAAACCUCACUUACAACAAUAUGGGGGCAAUAUUGACCUUCAUAGGGUGAGUGAGGUCUUGGGGAGUAACACAUUUAUACUCCACAAAGCGAAGGACUAGACACCUAAACAUGGACUUCAGCACUAUAGUGUUAGGGAUACAUGUAUGUAUUCCAAGCACAAUAGCAUUCCUUUAAAUCCCAAUAAAUCAUCUAAACCUAGAACUUAGAAUAAGGUGGAAGCAGAGGUCAAUAUAGAAGACUGAGAAAGUGUGUCAGUGGCUGUUCCUGUUUAACAAAGACCUUGCCAGAUCCGUUCCUGUGUAAUAGAGGCUGGCCAGACCUAUCCCUGGGUACCAGAAGCUAAUUCUGUCCACCUCUGCCUUGCAUUGUUUAAUUAAAGCAGAGCUUUAACUUUAUAAAGUUCAUCUUAUGCAGCAUCAUUGUUUUGGCAAAAUAGGAAAAUGGGUAAUGCUACCAAUGCAAAAUAGAUGCCUAUAAAAUCUUACGGAGCUUGCUUUAGAAGAUCUAUGGAAGAUCCUGUGGGAAAAUUACAACAGCAUUUAUACAUACUAUACUGCCUUCGUGGUCAUUUCAUAGUUAUAUAGUUUAUGUUCCAUGAAUCUCAUAAAUAGACAGAGCCAUGUCACGUACACCCAUUUGUUACAUAUCACUCAGUCAGCAUCCCUACUAAUAUUUGGAGUAUGUAAGAAAAAUACCCACAUAAUAUGAAAUAUUCUAUAGAUCCAAUGGUCUCACGGGAUCUUUGAUAGAUUAUGGUUUGCAGUCUUGCACAUGACUGAGAGUACAUGACCAUUGUGGCUCCUGGCAGGUGAAAACCACAGGAGCAGAAGAAAAAUGGCAGCACUGAGAAGGGAUAGGAUCAGAUAAGUAUAAUUCCUUACGUAUCCCCACCGCCAAGUGCCUCCAUGCAAGCAAACAUGUCACCUUGGGUGGACAGUGCCAUUUUAAGUAUCACUUUUCUGUAUUAAUUUUGUUUAUUGCAUUAUCCUUUUCAGAGUUUAUUUGUUCUUACAUUACUGCAUGAUGUAUCAUGAAUAUCAUUGAAUAGUUAAAUAAUUUUACCUAAUACUCUGUGUUGCCUGUUUUUUUCCCGUACUUAUACUUGAGUUGUUUUUUGUUUUUCUUGUUUUUUAGGUUACUAUUUAUCCAGAUAAAGUCACCUUAUUUCAGUACCAUGCCAACAUACAGUGCCCUCACGUAUAUUGUGCCACCCAUAAAGAUGUUUUUUAUUUUAUAAACCUGUGUUGUGUUGCAAUUGUUUGAUGCCCAUGAUAGAGGAUUUAUG